rnacentral:lncRNA from 1 species
AUAUAUGAGUAGGACUACUAUAUUCUUAUGAGUAUAGAGUCCUUCGUACUCAUAAGUUAUUUUCGAUGUUGGGCUUUUCGAAUCGACGAUCCACACCGUUAAACAUGAUCUAGAGUAUUUGAAACUUUUAGAAAAUAAAUUUCGUAAUUUUUCAAAAUCAUUAUAAAGUCCAUCAAGCGGGUAUAAAAUGAACGGUUAAAAUCAACAUCCUAAAAAUGGAUGAUCGGAUCCUUCAAUUUAAGAUCGGAGUUAUUAAUCUUUAUUUAGGUAGGGAAUAGAAUUUUCUAUCAAAAAUUCAACCUAUUCCGAUUCUUUUUCACCGUUAAACUACCAAAUAUCUCAUACCAGCCGUUAAAAAUUAUCAAUUUUGUGAGCUUUUGAUUGUAAGAUAAAUGAUAUCGAAAAAUUAUAAAAUUUGAUUUCUAAAAGUUUUAAAUACUCUAGAUAAUGUUUAACGGUAUAGAUCGUCGAGUCGGAAGCUCUAUCAUCGAAAAUAAUUUAUGAGUACUGUCACGCCCGGGUACCAGCGGAAGCAUAUCCGGCACGUGCACAGACCCGCCAUACACCUGCAGUAUAUAAGGCGUCUACGAGAAGUAAGUCGAUAGGAAGUAAAACAAGAGAGUCCUAUCCUGAUAUCAGAGCAAAGUACAAGUCGAUAUACAACGAGUAUCCAAUCCGAGUCAAAAUCCAAAGUGUAUACAAACCAUGAUCACAGCAAAAAGAGAAGUAACACUACUAUCAUCUCACCCCGAAAGUAAAUAUACAUCACGGGUGUACAAAAAGAAUAGAUACAAUGGUGGUCUCUCUAUAUAUAUAUGGACAUCACCCUCGGCCGUAGCCCCCCAGCCCGAAGUAGCAAGGUGAUCGACUAGGCAGCCGCCUCCUAGUAUCCCUAGCCUACGGCGCGACUCUUGCGCACGAUCCCUAGCCUCUCCUGUAACAGGCUUCUGUAAAAACAACCACCAAAGGGGUGAGAAACUAUUAACAUUUCCCAGUGGGUAAGCCGCCAGCCUCCGGCGAACUUACACCACUAGGCCCUCCGAGAAUGUAGAAUGGAAAUAAAUGAGCAGAAUUGCAUGAUACUAUUUUCAAUGCUAACAAUUCCAUAAGCCAAUGUUAACAAAUAAUCGCAACAUGGUAAGCAACAGUAAAAAUCAUAGGCAUCAACAGAUAAUGAAUUAACUGAAUGAUAGAAGCAUGGGCUACUACUAUCGAAGCAUAAACGUAGCAUAAGUGUGUAGUAAUGCUACUGUACACUGUAAGCUGGUAAUAUUAGUUACUGUCCAAUUUUCCUUUAGGCAACUUUCCUUUCAUUCAGCUAGGGAUCUACAUCAAGGUAGCCCAAGCUUGCGCCGCGCCUAAUGGCCCGUGGUAGUUACACUUCCCCCAGCGGCAAUCCACUUCGGCAUCGCCCCAAUCCCGCACGGGCGAGGCAAACUGUCCGCGUAGGGCCAACCUCCGGAGCGUGCCGGCCUUGUAGGAGCCUACCCUCACAAGCGUGUGCGUAAUGAGCAGCGAUGGGCCAAGGGCAAGCAAAGUCCAUUAUCCCACAUGUCUCAAUUUUCAUAUUUUCAGCAUACAUAAGUUCAGAAACCCUCCGAUGCCUCUGAUCGGAAUACUCAAUAGCACACAAUAGUAAAAAAAGCUAGUAUCGCACCCUAAUUGUCAAACAUGCUAAGGGUAAAUGGCUAAAAUCAAAAAUAGCAUUAAUCUAAUCCUUUCCACUUAGGUAUCGCCGGGGCACUAUCAACCAUAGGUCAUGAGGCAUGUCAUCAGUCCCAUAUGUUACGGUCAGAAAAUCGUCAUGGUCUCGUACAAAGUGCAGCGAGAAUCAUCCUUGUUCUCCAACUCCUACCCCUAAAGCAUCCAAUCUGAGUCAUGUCCAUGCCUAGUCUAUCUCUUGAAACUAAAAAUAGCCGUCCAAGCAUAAACAUCCAGGCAUAAAGCAAAGCUUGAUGGCAUGAGUACUCCAAUCUACUUCAUAGAGGUUCUAUUCAAUCAUACUGUACCUACGGGCAUAUCACCACUAUCAAUCAUCACGUGACCCUCGUCUCAAUUGCUGUAUCCAACUCAGCAAAACGAUAGCAAAACUGUAUCACACUUCUAUAACGUGACCAUAUACACAUCGGAGAGGCCAGCUUCAGCUUGCUCUGGUUAGGUUCGCGACCCCCCACCCUAGUAGCUAGCGGCUCCCGAUUAAUCACAAGAAGCCUCGCAACACGGCUCAAGCGAAGCGCUCAAGUGCUGCUCGAAAAACGAACGCUCAACUGAUCCGGAUUAAACUCACGGCCGAAAAUGUCGGCCGACUUUCGAAGCUACCAAUUCCCUUAAUAGCAAAGUAACACUCUUUAAAUCCCCGUUUUGGGAAACUAGUGUGAAUCACUCCCAAAGAGACGGCCUCACAAAAGAGCUCUCCAAGCAAGUCAGCCCCUCACGACGAUCCAGAAGCUCGUUCGGCACUCUCUCGGCGUGCGACAACAUCGAGACGCGCAUGCAAUAUGCAAGCAUAUAUAGCAACAUAUAGGUCGGAAUCUUGCAAAUUCAGCUUCUAACUGAAAAUUCCUGCUUAACCUCAGGUUCAGAAUACUCUUCCAAACCAGCUUCUAAGGGUACAAAUUUCCAGGCUCCACACGAAGCUUGAAGAGCGGCUUGCUGGCGAAGAAAUAAUUCUAAAUUGUAUCCAUCUCCGGCGGUAACAAUUUGGCAUUUCGUUCCAAUAUGAGGGCCUUCCAUAAAGUGCGCAAAUAUUCCGGGCAGAUUAAGCCUUCAAGAGUAGGCUUAAUUCGGCAGUCACCCAGCGAAGGUUAUUCAGCAGCCUAAAUAAUCCAAUUCUCUAAUUGCUGAAAUCUCAUAUCUAAAGGCGAAGCUACGAAGCAAUCAGGCUCCAAAAGGCAGCCACAUACCAACGUCUACCUCCGAACGUCGAUGAAUGGAGAAAAUCGAUCGUUUACCUUCUCAAUAGGCGCGGCCAAAAACCGCAGCAGCCCUACUGGUUCAGGACACGCAAAGAGCCCUUCCCACGAANNNNNNNNNNNNNNNNNNNNNNNNNNNNNNNNNNNNNNNNNNNNNNNNNNNNNNNNNNNNNNNNNNNNNNNNNNNNNNNNNNNNNNNNNNNNNNNNNNNNUCAAUAUAGUUUCGUAUUUUUACACUUUAAUACUCUAUAGUUUAAAGUGUAUCAAUUUAAUACUCUAUGAUUUCGCACUUUCUCACUUUAGUACCAUGUGGUUUAAAAUGCAUCAAUUUAAUACUUUGUGAUUUCGUUUUUAAUAGAGAUCAAUAUUCUCACCUUCAGCAAUUUUGAUUCUUUUCAAACACCAAAAAGAACCAAAACUGGCAGUUUCAUUCAAUUCAAUGCCUCUGCAUUAUAUACUAAUAACAAGUAAACAAUCUCAUAUCAAUAAAGACAUACAUACAACAUAAUGCAGUUUUUUUCGCAUUCAUCGCGCUUCGUGGGACAAGCAAUACACUCAAAUCUUACACACUUAGCAUCAUUACAUAUCUUAUUCGACGAUCGUAGACACGCAAGAGAAGAACCAAGCAUUUAUUCACCCCAGCUGAACAUAGUUUCAGCUUUAUUUUAUCGCGCGCGAUGAGAUGACGAAUUUGCACGAAUGUUUAGGAAUUGUCGAUCAGGGGCGGUGCGGGCAUCGGGCUCCCCGAUAAGAAUGCUUUGAGUAGAAUGAGAGCCUGCUUUGGUCGAUGCAGAGGAACUUCGUGCCCAGCGCCCCCGUACCGUCACGAAUGAGAGACCGUCGUAUACUUGUGUCCAUCCACCAACCUAUGCAUUGAUAUAAAUAAGAAUAUGCCCUUUCUGAUUCUAAAUGAACAAGAAACUUUCUAAUAUGUUAGGAAUGUAAUGUGCGCCGACAAUUUUGCUCUUUCUAUUGAAGGCAAAGGACCGAAUUAAAUCACGUUCACAUUUCCAUGCCUGCAUGAAAUGCAAGCAAAAGCGGCAAGGGUUCAAAAUUUUAGCUAGUUUUGUAGCAAACUCGGACAUUAUGUCAUUCUUUAUAUAUAUAUAUAUAUAUAUAUAUAUAUAUAUAUAUAUAUAGCUGGAAUGCUAUCGAUAGCAAACGGGCUCCGUUGCCACCCAUUUGUUUUCGAUGAUGGAGCUUUCAAAUCGACGAUCGGCACCGUUGAACAUGAUCUAUAUCACUUGAAGUAUCUAGAAAUCAAAUUUCAAAUCUUUUUGACAUCAUUUACCUAAUGAUCAAAGGGUUUCAAAAUUAGUAAUUUUAAUGGUUGAUAUGAGGGGUGUUCUCGUUUAACGGUGUAAAGCUAUCCAAAUCAAUUGAAUUUUGGUUAGAAAAUUCUUUAAACUAUUUAGAACAAGAUCUGUACUCUCGAUCAUGAUUACAAAAUUUCGAUCAUCACUUUUUAGAGGAUAUUCAUUUUCAGCCUUUCAUUUUUACGCCCACUUAAUGGAUAAGAAAACAAUAUCGGAAAAGUAUGAAAUUUGAUUUCUAGAUAUUUCAAGUGGUAUAGAUCAUUUUCAACGGUGCCGAUCGUCGAUUUGGAGGCUCCAUCAUCGAAAACAAAUGGGUGGCAACGGAGCACGUUUGCUACCGAUAGUAUUCCAGCUCAACUCUAUAUAUAUAUAUAUAUAUAUAUAUAUAUAUAUAUAUAUAUAGUAGGGCUAGAAUACUUUUACAAGUAUCACCCAAGUGAUACUUGUGUGUUUUUAGCCUUUAGAUGGAGAGAUGUGAGGUUGAGAUGAUGAUGGUAGGUGGUGGUAGGUGGAAUAGUGUUUGAUCCAAAAGCUAUUUGUAAUAAAAAAGUAGAUCCAAUGGCUAAAAACGUGAUAGCAACAUGGGGAUGAUACUUGUAAAAGUAUCCUAGAUCAACUCUAUAUAUAUGUCACCAUAUAUAUUAUAUAAUAAGUACUAAAACAUUUUCUGAUUAAAUGCAAAAGUCUUCUUUUCGUUUUUCAAAACCUUUUUUUUCUGGAAAAUAGUUUUCCACUAUAUUUUGAGAAGCCAAACACCCUCUUUAGAGAUUAACUAGUUAUAAUUACAUCUCUAAGUCCAAAUAACUCAAACAACACCAUUGAUAUAUAUAUAUAUAUAUAUAUAUAGUCUCUUUGGGUGGAAUAUUGAAACACUACUUAGUUAAUUGAACAUGGUCACAAUGAUGUGAUAAAUAGCAUGAACUUACUAAUGCAUAAUGGGUUUGUCCACAUGAUGAGCAUAAAUUGUUAGGAACUUCUUUUGUGAGUAGGAAUUUCUCCAAGUUAUCAUGUAAUUGGGAAAACUUCAAAAAGCCCCCUGUGGUUUCUCAGUUUCUCACUUUAGUACCAUGUGGUUUAAAGUGUAUCAAUUUGCCCUCCUAUGGUUUUUUUUUCUCUUUUUAGUAUCAUUUUUUUUUUCUUAAACCAGUGACUAAGUUAAAAUUAAAGGGUACUAAAGUAAAUAUUUCAUAAAUCUAGAUGGGUAUCUAAAAUUUUUUUAUAUAUAAUUUAACGAAAUAUUAACAGAAAAAAUGCCGAAAAGAUAAAAACAAAACCACAAGGGGGCAAAUUGAUACACUUUAAACCACAGGAUACUAAAGUGAGAAAGUGCGAAACCAUAAGGGGGGUUUUUGAAGUUUUUCCUAUGUAAUUCUAACACUUGAAUAUUUCACUUUGUUGCAGGUCUUCGUCCUAACGGCGCCAAUUCUCUAUAUCGAGCGACUUGGACUGGGAUGUCAGGCGCGUUUAGCUUGUUAUUUAUGUUUUUGUGGUUCAUCGUGGUGUAAGACUGUCGAUACUAUAUAUAUCGAUUAGUUUGCGAGUUAUUCUUUAUUUAUGGUGUUAUCCAACUUUUGAGUGCUUUCCUUUGUUUUAUCUUUAAUGAGAAACUUUAGUACAUUAUUUCAUGCACUCAAGUGUUAUUAUCGUUUAAUGUUCAGAGUACAAUGUAUGGUGCAAACUAUAAACUUGAUUUUGUAAUAUUGAAGAUCAUUUUGUUGCAAAUAAAAGAUGUAGCUUUCGUAUGCUUUCUAGUACAAUCUUUAAGUAUUUAUAUGUCUCACUUGAUAGUGGUUUAAUUAGAGGAGUUCGGCUACUAUACUUUUAUGAGUAUUAGCUUCCUUAUACUCAUAAAUUUUCGGCCCUUAGAUUUAUUCCAUUAAUCAUUUGCACCCGUUAGAUCAUACUAUUCAACCAAUUACCCACUCAACCAUAGAGGACCACUAUUAUUCUAAGUGGGGACCACCAUCAUUCUAACCACAAAUCCCAUCAAUCAACGGUUAAAAAUUUAUGAGUAUAGUAAUCCCAGCCUAAUUAGAGAUAUCUUUGGCUUUAUUUUCUCAAGUUAGGAUUCUUCGCUAUUUAAGGUUGUUUCGCAGUUGAUUUCUCACCCGGGCUACUGGGUUGCGUGCAGUUACAAUAGUACUGCAGUCGCAAAUUCAAAUUUGUUAUUUAGUUUGAUGCAUUUGAAUUCAAGUUUUAUAGGUUUUUUUUUUGAGAAAUAGAUAGCACGCUACCCGCUUCAUUUAUUUUAUUUAGAAAUAAACUUAGCUAGAAAUAUGAAUCAACUAGGAUUCGAACUUAGAAUGUCGGGUACCAAUCACCAAGCCCUUUGUCACUUGCUCUAGGGACAGUUGGUUUCAAGUUCUAUAGUUAGAACUGCAUGAAGAGGCUUAAUUAUAGUAGUUAGAACAAUAUUCAAAUUGAUCACAGUUCCAACUGCAACAAUUAAAGUGAACAAUUUUAAAUGAAAAGUAAGUUUACCUAAUUUAAUCGCCUUAUAAAAUAAUAUAAUUUCAUAAAUGCAUUUUUGCAACAUUUUUUGUGAUAUCUAGCCAAGUGAGAUGUAUAUGAUUAUGACCGUAAUAUUUUCAAUUGCAUAAAUCUCUAUCUAUAUUGUAUUGAUAAUUACAUCCAACCAAGCUUCUCAACCAAAUUUAUUAUGUCUCACCGUUCAAUCAACAUUCAUAUUUGUGCUGGCAAAUUUAAAGUUUGGGAUGUCAGCAAAUCGGCUUCCGGGCAGUUUUUGCAAAAUCCGAAACCACACCUGAAAAGAAAAUCAAAAUUGAAAAUCGUAUCCAAACCUGACCGUAUGUAAAUUCGACUAUUUUAUAUGCUANAGGUACGAAUUAAAGUUUGAAUUAAUUUUAAUAUUUUAUUUAAUUUUGAUUUAAUAUAUUUAUAUUAUAUAAUAUAUAAUAUUAUGUAAUAAAAAUAAUAUUUUAAUAAUUAACAUGAUAUAAUUAUGUAUAAUAAAUAUAAAUGUAUAAUAUUAUUUAAAAUAAAUUUAUAAUAUUAUUUAAAAUAUUAUUUAAUAUAAAUUUAUAAUUUUAUUUAAAUUAUAAAUUUUAUAAUAUUAUUUAAUAUAAAUUUUAAAUUUUAAACAUUAGAGUGUUAAUUUCAAAUAUUAAAAUUUAAGGUGUAAAAUUUAAAAUUUAAAUUUAAAAUUUUAAAAUUUAAAAACUUUAAAAUUUAAACUUAAAUAAAAAAAAGUUUAAAUUUAAACUAGAAUUUAAAUUUCAAUCUUUAAAUUUUAAAUUUAAAACUUAAAUUUUAAACUCUAAAAUUUAAAAUUUAAAAUUAAAAUUUUAAACUUUAAAUUUUCAAUUUUAAAAUUUUAAAUUUUAUAUUUAUAUUUUAUAUUUUUAAAUUUAAGAUUAUAUUUAUUUUUUCACUAUUAUAAUAAUUAAAAAUAAAUAUUAAUGGGUGAAAUUUAGAAUAAGGUAGAAUGGAUUUGUUUGCAAUAAAAAGAAUAAGGGUCCUUAUUGGGUUAAAAGUAGGUUUGCGUUUUAACUAGAUUAGGUACGAAUAUGGAGUUAAAUAUGGAUAGGGACCUUAUGGGUGAAAAACGAAUAGGGGUUUGGUUUGCUAUGCAAACCUUUAUUUAAACAGUAAGUGAUAUAAACGUACGUCCCUUGACAUAUUUUAAUUAGGAUUCAUUAUUAUCUUUUUUCUUGCGGGUUACCUAAGUCUAGCUAAUUUUAAAAAUAAACAUAAAGUUGCUUUUGAAUUUUAAUUUAAACAUAUAUAUAUAUAUAUAUAUAUAUAUAUAUAUAUAGUCCUGACGAUACGAAUAGCACUAUUCCACAAAAAUGGUGGAAUAGUAAAAAGCUUGCUAUUCCGGGAUAACCGGGAAUAGCAAGCUUUGACCGGAAUAAAAUAUCCCGAUAAAAAUUGAGCUCGUUUGGCGGAAUAGCGGGGAUAACUUUCGUUAUCCCCGCUUAUCCCCCGAACCAAACGGGGCCAGUUUAACUUUCAUAUAUUGUUCCUACAAAAUUUUAAUAUUUUCAAAUAUAUCCCUCUAAUUUGUUACCUUUAGAGAACAGUUAGAGAAUCGUUUAUAUUUUCAAUUUUGCCAUCAUAAAUAUAUCCCUUCAAAAGCCAUAAAAGUAUAAUAUAAUCAAAGUUAAGUAUUUAACUUAUGGUUAACUAAGUUUUUCUAAUAGAUUCUAACGGCUGGAAUAUAUUUAAAAAUAUCAAAAUUUUUAAAAGAAUAAUAUAUAAAUAAAAAUUAAAUUUUAUAAAGAUAUAUGUAUUAUUCACUAUAUUUAUAUGGACUGGUACGAAAUUAACCCUAUUGCUUAAAUUGAAUUCUCAGUAGCGCAGAGACAGUGGCAGUUUUGUAAUAUUUUCGAAAAAAAAAUCAACCAUGCGCGGCGCCUGCUUCGCCCGCACAUCCCUCCCCACGUGCGCCAUCCCCCGCCGCACGAAGCGAGGCAAAACCCCGCUUCACGGCCGAUCUCGGCGCCGACUUCGUAAGCCCUCCACUUUCUCCUACCCGAAGUCGGCGCCGACUCCUCUCCUCGUCCCCGCGCCCCCCCCUCUCUCCCGCGUCCAACUGUUCGACCGCGUCCUCUCCGACCUCGAAUCCUUAUCCUCCUCCUCCUCCUCUCCCCCCGACCCCUCCCUCCUCUCCUCCCUCCUCGACUCCGCCCUCCUCCUCCUCCCCGCCGCCUCCUCCCCGCUCCUCGCCGCGCGCCUCCGCCGCCUCCUCCCCCCCGCCCUCCUCCGCCGCCGCCGCGCCCUCUCCGCCAAGCUCCUCCGCCUCCUCUGCGCCCUCGGCCUCCUCGACGACGCCCACCACCUGUUCGACCAAAUGCCCCGCCGCGCCAGGUCCAACCCCUUCGUCUGGAACACCCUCAUCUCCGCCUACGCCGACUCCGGCCUCUUCGAGGACGCCCUCGCCCUCUUCUUCCAGAUGGACGAGGAGGACGACGACGCGGUCGCCCCCGACCGCUUCACCUUCCCCCGCGCGCUCAAGGCCUGCGCCGGCGUCGGGUCCCUGCCCCUCGGCCUCGCCGUGCACCGGCGCGCCGUGCGCGCGGGGUUCGGCGCCGACGUCUUCGUGCUCAACGCGCUCGUCGACAUGUACGCCAAGUGCGGCGACAUACAGCGCGCGCGCCGCGCGUUCGACGCGAUCGCCCGCCGAGACCUCGUCUCGUGGAAUUCGAUGCUGAUCGGGUACCUAAGACACGGCCUUCUGCUCAACGCGCUCGAUAUUUGUAGACGAAUGCUCGACGCCGGAUUCGAGCCUGAUUCCAUUACCAUCUCCGCCAUUCUAUCUGGGUUCAGUUCAUCUUCUUCUUCCGCAUAUCGUAAUAAGCUCGGAAUUGAGAUCCAUGGAUGGGCUAUCCGGCACGGGCUCGAGCAUGAUUUAUCGGUGGCAAACUCUUUGAUCGGAAUGUACUCUGAAAAAGGCAAUGUAGGCCGUGCCCGAUUGAUCUUUGAAUCGAUGCCGCGCAAGGAUCUGGUCACCUGGAAUUCUAUAAUCUCCGCGCACCGCAGAGACCGUAGUGUGCUACUCCUUUAUCAAAGAAUGGUGGAUUCGGGUUUGAUUCCCGACCGCAUCACAUUCGUUUCCGUGCUCUCGGCGUGCGCUAAAUUGGGCCUGGUGGAGGACGGCCGGAGAUUGUUCGCAGAAAUGGAGGAGAUAUAUGGCAUAAAGCCGGGGAUGGAGCACUACGGGUGCGUGGCCGACAUGUUGGGGAGGGCGGGGUUGGUCGAAGAGGCUUACAAUCUUAUAUCCAACCAAAUGCCGUUCGACGGCGGGCCGACCGUUUGGGGGGCUCUGCUGUUUGCUUGCUCGGUGCGCGGCAACGUCGAGAUCGGGGAGAGCGCGGCGGAGAGAUUGUUCGAGCUGGAGCCCGACAACGAGCACAACUUCGAGCUGCUGAUGCAGAUAUACAGAGAUGCAGGGAGGUUGGAAGAUGCGGAGAGGGUGGGGAGAUUGAUGAAAGCUAGAGGGUUGCUUGAGAGGUGUGAUGAAUCUAGUUUAUCAGGAUCUUGCAUUCACAUAGAAUAACCCCUCUAUUAAUUCUCUCUAUGUAUAAUAAUGUGUGUCUCUUGUAAUUAAGCUUCAUUUGAGAUUGUAGGGAGAUUGCGUUACUUGCGGUGAGAAAGUACGAUAGAAAAAUAUUCUAUUUGUUUUCGUACGUAAUAUUGCAUUUCGAAUAUUGCGAUGAGUCGAUUAUGAUAUAUUUUUUGCGGUCCCACUGAAGAAUGCAGAAAUAUAUUUUCAUAUGUUUUUUUCUAACUCCAUUUUAUUUAACCGCGUCAGAUAAACCUCAAUAUCAAACUAACUCUUAGUAUAGUUCUUGCUGUGUAUUUGUACAACGUCAGAGGGUGAAAAAGUAAGCAAAAAUUGGUUGAUCCUAUUAUUUAGUUUGAGAAUCACUUGAUUUUGGUAGUCUUAUUCUACACUCUUUUUAUCUGAAUUUCUGUUCUUUAUAUGCAGUAGUAACUCAGAAGAGCAAGUUUUUUUUUUUUUUUUUUUUUUUUUUAUAANCCGGACCUGGAUCGGACUCGGGCUUUCUCUGAUCAGACUUGGGUCUAGUUCGAACCUUAUGGAAUGGGCGUCAUCGCGUCACGUGCGUUGCACGUGCCAAGGAAAAGAUUCCUUUCCUUGUGGUGUAUUAUUUGGGAUUAAUCAAAAUAAAUCAAAACAAAAAACCAAAAAAAAGUUAAAAAAAGGAAAAAAAAAAAAGGAAAAGAAAAAGAUAAAGGUCCAGAGAAAAGGGGCAGCUCCAACCCCUCUUCUCUCUCUCUCUCUCUCUCUCUCUCUCUCUAACAAUGCCCUCUCCCUCGUCGCUGUAACCCCCUCCCACGUCUAAUCUCCCGAAACCCUAGUCUCACAUAUCUCACUGGUAAGAUUCUUUCACUUGAUCUUUGCGUUUAUGCAUCGGUUACCAUCAAUGGUGCGAUUUUUGGCUGUAUACUGUGAAUUUUCAUCUCCCUUUUUGUGUAAAAAUGUCAUCUUCGUGUUGAACCACUAAUGGUGUUUAGGUUUUGGGUUUUUUACACGACUAAACCCGGUUGAUUCGGAGAUCAAACCCUAAAUCCUGAUCCUUGAAAUCUAGUAGAUGAAGCUCCCAAAUCGGGGUUGUGCAGUAGUUUCGUGAAACUCGGUAUUAGUUGAAUUGAUUUUUCUUUUUUUAAUUUAAUUUUUGUGGAAUGUGUAAUUAUCGUAGGAUUAUUGAUAUUUGGGUAAAAAUGUCUUUUGUGUUUGAACUACGGGGUUUAGGUUUUUGGCUUUUCAUGUGCCUAAUCCUGCUGAUUUGGAGAUCAAACCCUAAAUCCUGAUCUUUGAAAUCUAGUGACUGCAGCUCCCAUAUCAGGAUGAAUUGAGUCAUUUUGCAAUAGUUGGUUGUGACUUAUUACUGGUUAAAUUGUUGGUUUCUUCUUGAAUGUGUUGGGUAAAAAUUGCACCUUUAUGUUGAACUAUAGGGUUUGGUUUUGAGCUUUUAUUUGCACAUACUAGUUGAUGUGUAGAUUAAACCCUAAGUCUUGACCCCUCAAAUCUAGUUGAUGUAACUCCCAAAUAAUAAUGAUCUGUGUCCUUUUGCAAUACUUUUGUUGAACCUUAGUAAAUCUUGAAUCGUUAAAAUUCUGUGGAAUGUGCACUUAGUGACGACUUAUAAAAUAUUUGGGUUAAAAAGCUACCUUUAUAUUGAAGUAUGGGGUUAAGAUUUGCUCUUUUAUCUUGCUAAAUCUUUCGAUUUAGAGAUCAAGCCCUAAAUAUCGACCCCUCGAUUCAAAGUUACCUAUGUCAUUGUGCAAUACUAAGUUGAAAAUUGUUACUAGUUGAAUGGUUAUUUUCAAGGAAUUUCCACUUAUGGGAAGAUUAUUGAUAUUCAGCUUUGUCAUAAAGCAUGUGAAAUUGGUUGUUGUAGGUAUAGGCUGAUAAGGGGAGGAAAGGUUAUUAGGUGGGAGUAGGUAUGUUGAGUGGUGCUUCUAAUAAUUCUCCAUUUUGAUAUAGUUGAGCUAUUUCAGUUUUUAAGCACUUGUUUCAUGCUAAGGUGGUCAUGAAGAGGGGUGCAGUUCAUGGGAAGUAGGUUUUCCUACAGCCUGGGGAAUAUAGUGUCCAUAAUCUUUUGAUGAAUGCAAUUAUCACAGAAGGUGGGAUUUAGAAAUUUGUGUUUUAUUUCAGGAAAAUUUAAUGGAAAAAAUAAUGAUCCCCCUCAGUUACAUAACUUUCCUUUCUUCUCUUGUUAUCUUUGAGUGAGGAUCUUUUUAAGCAAUAAAUAUGCUUUGACAAUGUUUAUAAGUCAUAUAUUUGUUUCCACUAUUGUAUAGUUGGGUUUGCAAAGUGUUGUUAUAUACUGUAGACUUGUAGGGCUGUCAAAUAAGAUUUUUACUAUAAAAAGUGGCUUAUGUUUCAUUUGAAUCUUGACUUGAAUGGGGCCUUUUUAAUUUGCUCAUGUAAUGAAUAAGAAGAGCUUUCGUUGUUCUAGUGUUUCUUGUAUUUGGCUCUCUUUUUUUUUGAGAGAAAGUAUUUGGCUCUCUUGACCUCAAAAGUAUAAAUGAAACAGAAAGAAAUAUCAUACGAUUCUAUGAAUUGUUUAUGAUGAAGUCUCAGUUUCUUGAUUAAGAGUUAAUAGCUUCAUAUAGGCAAAGAACUUUGUGUUGUUGUGGUUCAAGCAAUCCCUUAAGUCUGAAAUUAGCUGUUUUCUAGUCAUUUGACGACUAUUAACAAAUGAAUCUUUAAAUUAAAAUUCCUGCUUAAUGUGAAGAGCUAGAACAGCCAAGAAUACCUUAGCUCCUUCCGCUGUGGUGAGAUGAUUGCAUGUUAUUGUUAAACUUUGCAUUUAUUUUGUAGACUAAUAUGAUAAUCAGCUUGUCAUCUGCCUUUUUGGUAAUCAAAGUUUUUAAAGUGUUUUAGACAUUGAUUUGUCAGAGGAAGGCUGGAAGAGCUGCUUUUUUUGCAGAAAAAGGAAGCUAUGAUACGAACAGGACCUAAGGACACUCAAAACCACGACAACAACAACAACAGCAGCAGCAAUCAGAAGGUCUAUCCGCAACCAAUAAUGGAAGAGAAUGGCAAUCAUCAGAAUAAUAACAAGGACCCAUCAUCAGUGGAUGCUUUGAUUUCCAAGAUAUUCGGCAACAUCUCCUCUCUGAAAGCCGCAUACAUCCAGCUCCAGGACGCCCACACUCCAUACGACCCUGACAAAAUCCAAGCUGCUGAUAAGCUCGUGAUCGAGGAGCUCAUGCACCUAUCCGAACUCAAGCACUCGUAUCGCGAGAAAAACCCUAACAAGCCUAUCUCGGUUUCCCCUCGGGAUUCACGCCUCCUUGAUGAAAUCCAGGAGCAGCAGAACUUGCUAAAAACUUACGAGGUCAUGGUCAAAAAAUUUCAGUCACAGAUUCAGAACAGAGAGUCCGAGAUCGCCCAGGUACAGCAGCAGAUCCAAGAAUCGAGCCAGAGGAAGCAGAAGCUCGAGAAGAAGCUGAAGCAGAGGGGUUUGCUAUCUGAGGAGGGCUCUCAACAAGAAGAAGAAGAAGAGAACUUCUUCUCGAUCGAACUGACGCCAAAUUUGUUCACCUCAGCAGCCGAUACUGCAUAUAAAUCUAUACAUGAUUUUGCAAAGUUAUUAAUUAACAUGAUGAAAGCGGCGGCAUGGGAUCUUGAUGCCGCUGCUAAGGCAAUCGAGCCGGGGGUUACUUAUGCCAAACGGGCACAUAAGAAAUACGCGUUCGAGGCUCACAUUUGCCAGAGAAUGUUUAGUGGGUUCCAAGAAGAGAGUUUCACUGUCAAAUUAGCAAGCAAUGCUAGUACUGUUUCUUCUAAUGAGGGUUUCUUCCAUCAAUUUCUUGCUGUGCGGGCGAUGGACCCGUUGGAUGUUUUGAGCCAAAACCCAGAUUCUAUUUUUGGAAAAUUCUGCAGGAGCAAGUAUUUGCUGGCCGUGCAUCCAAAAAUGGAAAGUUCGUUUUUUGGUAAUAUGGAUCAGAGGAACUAUGUGAUGGGCGGAGGGCAUCCGAGAACACCCUUCUACCAAGCUUUUCUUAAACUGGCAAAGUCGAUAUGGCUUUUGCACAAGCUCGCUUACUCCUUCGAUCCCAAAGUUAAAGUAUUUCAAGUGAGGAAGGGAAGCGAAUUCUCAGAGGUUUACAUGGAGAGCAUUGUGAAAGACAUUAUACUCGGCGAGGGAAGCGGUCAGAGACCGAAAGUUGGGCUAAUGGUGAUGCCGGGCUUUACGAUCGGGAGCAGCAUCAUACAGUCUCAAGUGUAUCUAUCUGGUGUUAAAUGCACCGAAUAGAAGCACAGAAAAUUAAAAUUUUCUUUUAAGGGUGUGACUUAAGAAUGUGCUGGUAAUUUAAGUGCAAUUAAGCUAUUUAUGCAUGUAUAAAUCAUGACAGGGAAUGUAAUGAACUUUGACAAAAAAGAGUUUGGACCCAAAGAUAUAGUAAGCCUUGCAUUGGGAAAGUGUGAUUGUUCCGUCGAAAACUGGUCACUACAUUUUGGAUGAUUACAAGUGUAGAUACAAAGUAAGUGAUUUGCUGUUUCCAUGUUGUAUUGAUUUUCCUACAUUCUGAUGGACGGUUAGAUUUGCUGGUGCGUAGAAAUUUUCUGUAUGCCAGAUGUUCAAAAACUCCAGCUUCUUGCUCAAAUCACUGCGAAGUUGUUGUCUAAAUCCGGAGCAUGAAAAACAUUAAUGAUCCAUGAACUUCCAAAUUCAUCCAAAAAUGGUUGUUCGUUAGCCAGAUUUGUAAACAACCACUUCAUACUAUUCUAGUUGUUCGUUACAAAUGUUUAACAGAUCUGAUAAUUUAAUUUGUUACUCGCGAACUAGCUCGUGUUUGACCGCUAAUAAAUAAAUUGAAUAUGAUCUAAAUUUUGUAUUUCCAUAUUCUAACGAAUUAGUUGAUGUUGGAUUUGUUUAAUAAAUGAAUGAACAUGCGGUUGACAGCCCUAUGUGCCGGCAGCAUUUCUCUUUCCCAGUAUAUAAUAAUAAAACGUGGCAUUGACCCGACGGACUGCUGCAAACUGAUUAAAUCACUGACAAGAACUCCGUAACCUAAUGAGAAGAAUUCCAGUCAAGGUGACAUGGCUGUCGUCAUCAAUGCCGUCAGCCUUUUCUUGAUCACGUCAGCAGUGACCCGAGCCACUUCAUUUCCCACGCGGAAUUUUCUAAUGAGGCUUUCCUCCUCCGUAUAAAUACACUACAAAACCACACACACACACACACACACAAAUUACGAGCUCAAUUUUGCAAAGUAGAGAGAGAGAGAGAGAGAGAGAGAGAGAGAGAGAGAGAGAGGGGGGUAUUGGUAAGUUGAAUCUAUUGUUCUUUCCCUUUUAUUGUUCUCUCUCACUGUUUUUGUGCAUUAUUUCUUCCUCUGUAUUAACCAGUGAGUUUUUUUUUUUGCUUAAUUUGGGGAUAUAUAUGUAUUUUUAAAUUCUUUGAAUAUAUUCUGUGAUGAAAGUUUAAAAUUUUUUGCAGUAUUUUCAUUUUUCUUCGCCACCUAAUUUUUUUUAAAAAUAGAAAAUAUUGUAAAAAGUAUUUAUUUAAUGGUAAAAUGGUCAUUGUUGCAGGGUAAAAGAAAUGAACUUCAGGGAGAGUGAUAAAUUUAUAAAAUUUAAAGGGUUAAUUUUAUACAGAUUAUUAUAAAUAUAGUAAAUUACAAAUAUAUUCCUAUAAAAUUCAACUUUCAUAUUUUGUUUCUUCAAAAAUCUUAAUAUUUUCAAAUACAUUUCUUUGGCUUGUUACCUUGAAAAUACUAUUUAUUUUAUAAAUGAAAUGAUCUUUUUGUCAUCACAAAUGUGUUAUUUCAAAAUUUUCAACUUUUAAUUAAAGAGAGGUAAAAAGGUCAAUUCACCUCAUUAACUAAUUAUGAUUAAUAAAUUUUUUCUAACGGAUUCUAAUGGCAAAAACAUAUUUAAAAAUAUCAGAACUUUAAUAUAGACAACAUAUGAAAGGUGAACUUUAUAGGGAUAUAUUUAUAAUUCACUAUAUUAGUAAGACCUAUAAUGAAAUUAAUCCAAAUUUAAAAUAUGUAAUUUGACUAUUUUGCAGGGUUAUGUAGGUAAAUUUCUCAUUAAUUUACACUGCUACUUCUUUUUAUAGAACUUAGGGGAGAAAAAAAAAAAGAAAAAAAAAAAGAGGCAAUGGCUGGUGAAUGUGGAGAGGGGAAUUGUCUCGGUUGGGCUGCAAGAGAUGUUUCUGGAACUCUCUCGCCCUACAAAUUCAACCGAAGGUAUAAUUAUUUCUUUUACAAAUUCGACAGAUUACAUGUUUAUUUGUUUGGGUUAAAUCAUAAAGAAAAACACUUAAGUUUCUUUCGGUUGCAAUUUGACCCAUUAACUUGAAAUUGAUUUGAAAAAAACACAAUACCAUUUUUAGCAUAAUAGUUUGACCCACAAAAUGAGUAAUCUAAUGUUACUUAGUUUGAUUCGUGGACUUUAACAUGUGGUUUCACACUUUCUUACUUAGUACUCUAUGGCUUAAAUGUAUCAAUUUAGUAUUCUAUGGUUUUAUUUUUCUCUUUUUGUCAGUCCCUCUGAUAACAUUUUGUUAAAUCAUCAUAUACAAAAAAUUUCAGAUACCACACCUAGAUUUAUCAAAUAUUUACUUUAGUAUCCUUUAGUUUUAAUUUUAUUACUAAUCUAACGAAAAAUAAUUAGUGGAGGGAAUAAUAAAAUAAAAAAUAAAAUCACAGGGUACGAAAGUAAUACAUUUUAAACCACAGAGUACUAAACUGAGAAAGUCUGAAACUGCAGAAAUGAUAUUUGAAGUUUUCCCUAGUUUUUACUUAUUCAAGCUUAAGCUCAUUGUAGACAAAAUUAUGGACAAAUUAAAUAUUCCUAAAUCUCUAUAAUCACUAGUUAACAAACCUUGAUUCUUUUGCUUCAUUUACCUUUGCCUACCCUGCUUAUGAUCAGUCAUUUUAACCCUUUCAAAAUUGCUUUGUCGAUCGCCGUUGUUUUGGUUCCUCUUCAUUAAUAAUUCUUAUUAAUCUUUCUUAGACAAAGUAGUCAUGACAACUGUUAUUUCGAGCUAAUCAAAUAGUUAUAUUUGUGAACUAAUGCGUAAAUUUAACUUCGCGUCAUAAACACGUUGUUAGAAAAAUCAUGUACUAAUAUGCUAACAUUAAGACUAAUUCCUACACGAAGCUAACAUGAUUUUGAUUACUGUUGAUUUGGCCUUUUAAAACUGAUUGAAAAUGGUAACUAUGAACCACAAUUUUACAGGGAUCUUCGGAACGACGAUGUCUCGAUAAAGAUAACAUAUUGUGGCGUUUGCUAUGCCGACGUCAUCUGGACGAGAAAUAAACUCGGCGAUUCGAAGUACCCGUUGGUUCCUGGGUAUGUUUUGUUGAAUUCAAAUACUAAAGAAUCUGUCUCAGCAUGCGUAUAUGCUACUUAUACGGUGCGAUUGGCGCGAUUUGUUUGUAGGCAUGAAAUUGCAGGGGUUGUGCAAGCGGUCGGUUCCGACGUUAAACGCUUCAAAGUUGGUGAUCAUGUCGGAGUUGGAACCUACGUAGACUCGUGCAGAGAUUGCGAGUAUUGUAAUGUUUUCCGAGAGGUUCACUGUGUGAACUUCCCAACAGGGACUUUCAACCGCUUAGAUUCCGAUGGUACGAUCACUAAAGGCGGAUAUUCUAGCUACAUAGUGGUUCGCGAGAGGCAAGUAACUGCACAUGAACAAAUCGAUCAAUCUCUGUCGCAGAAAAGUGCACAAAAUAAGCUAACAAGUUCACAAGUUUCAUGCUUACUAUUAUGUCGACAGGUUUGUCGACAAGAUACCUGAUGGGUACCCCUUAGAGAAGGCGGCGCCACUGCUAUGCGCAGGGAUUACAGUGUACGCGCCGAUGAUGCGCCAUAAAAUGAACCAACCUGGCAAAUCUCUCGGCGUGGUCGGGCUCGGUGGAUUGGGUCAUAUGGCUGUGAAGUUUGGAAAAGCCUUUGGAUUGAAUGUAACCGUUAUUAGUACGAGCGAGUCCAAGCGCGAAGAAGCCAUCAAAGUUCUCAAAGCAGAUAAAUUUGUGGUAUCAUCAGAUGAACAGCAGAUGCAGGUACUUUCUAUCUUUAGAUUUGCCGCCCUGUCGAAUUUCGUGUUGAAUCUCGUGUUCGUAGUCAUUGCAACACUCGACUUGCUUUCGUUGCAGUCGCUGACGAAGUCCCUGGACUUCAUUAUCGAUACUGCUUCUGGCGACCACCCGUUCGACCCAUAUCUUUCGCUCCUAAAGAUCGACGGUGUCAUGGUCUUGGUGGGCUUUCCUAGCGAAAUUCGAAUCAGUCCUCUAACACUCAAUUUUGGUACUUCUUUUUCUUUUUUUUUACUCUCCCUUUGCAUCAAUCCUUCAAACUACAUGCACAUGUAAAUCACAGUUAACAUUUUCCUUUUCUUUUGUUCGUAGGCGCGAGAUCGCUUGCAGGGAGUGUAACCGGCGGUACCAAGGAAAGGCAAGAGAUGAUCGACUUUUGUGCAGCGAAUAAAGUGUACCCGGAUAUCGAGCUCAUCGGUAUCGACUACAUCAAUGAGGCUCUCGACAGGCUUACUAAGAGCGACGUCAAGUAUCGAUUCGUGAUCGACAUUGCGAAUUCUCUUAAGUGAUGAUCCUAAAUUUUCUGCAUGUGCCCACUAUAGACACAACAUGUAGUUUGAUUGUGUGUGUGUGUUUGCAGUGAAGAGUGUUACUGUUGUUGCUGAUACAUGGAAAGCUUGCAUGCCUCUGGAAUAAAAGUUUUUUUUUGUCUUUUUGGUGAAUUUAGUCAAAUUUGUGUUUGAAUGAUCCUUGGUUUUUGUUAUGUUCUGUUCAAAUGUAUUAGUAGAUGAGUUUAGAAAUAUAUUCUGACUAUAGAUAUGCUAAUACCUUUAACUGCAUAUAUGACACUCAACUUUUCAGAAGGAUCACUCAUCCUAGAACUACUUUAGUCCUAACACGCAUAACUCUCUUAAUCUUUUAGGCCUAAUUACCGCCUAUAAUACUAUAACCGGGUUCAGAUAUUUAGUUCUAUUACUAUGUCUUAUAUAUAAAACUAUUUGGGGUCUUACGGUAUAGUUGGCUAAGUGCUGGAGAAAGCUACAACUAAAAGCCAAUGAGAGGAUUUGAUACCCACCAAGUUACUAUUUAGGUAAAAAUAUAUAAAACGUACUUAAACUAUCAAUCAUUUUGAAUCGGCUACCUAACCUUUCAAAAUUUUAAUUUUGAUUUUGCAAUCCGAUCAUUUAAUUUUUUGAUUUAAAUAGUCAAUGAUACUUUGACUUCAAAAUUUAUGCUAAUUACUUCUUUUAAUGAAGUUAUAGAUGCAAAAACUAUAUAAACGAUAGAUUCAAAUUUUAAAAAUAAACAGAUUGAAAAUAGUCUCAAUAUUUUUCUUUCAUAUGCAUGAUGGAGAUCAGAUGAACCAUACCGGAAUGCCGAUGGGUAUAGGAAUGGAACCCUAUACACCUCUUGAAAUAGGGAGGGUUAGCUUAAGAUUGACUUUGAUACCAAUUAUCCAAAAAAUUGAUGUAACACCAAUCAAAUCUAAAAAACAGUAGGCCUUGUUUGAAUGAAUGAACACAUUACUUAGUACAUCUUUCUAAUUUACUUAAGAAAUUUGUAAUAUUUGAUAGAUAAGAAAUAUGAAUAUUUAAAAUGGAUAGCAUAUCCCGCCGUCAAACUAUAUUUUUUUUAUAAUAAGAUAAAUCACCUCGUAGGUGGAAUAUACUUUCUUAUCUAAUCCAUAGCUAGUUAAUUCGAAUUCGGCAAAAAUUCGGUACAGGCAUAAUUCGAAUAAAAUUAGUAUCUCAAUUUUUAAAUUCGUUGAAAAAUACGGCUUAAAAACGGAUUCGCCAAUUAUUCGGAUAUGCUAUUUAUAUGAAAAUUAUACGUUUACCAAUUAAUAAUUCGGGAUAAAAAAUUUGGCUAUUAAACUAAGCUCUUUUUUUUUUCUAGAUUUAUGCUACUAGCAUAGAUAGUUAUAAAUUCUUAAGAAUAUAAAAAAGAGAGCUACAAAAUAAAGUAGAUAAAGUAAAAAAAGUAUUAGCAAAUUUUAUUGCCGUUUCCAUCUUCAUCUUUUUCAUCAUCAACAUAUUUCAGAAGUUCAUGAAACUUUUCAAUAAUUUACAAAUAAUUCGCGAAUAAUUCGGCAAUAAUUCGGAAAGAAAUGUUAUUAAAAAAAUUGCACGUUUUUUUGGCCGAAUAGUUUGGCACACUCAAAUUAUUAGCGAAUAAUAAAUCUAACCCAAAAUUUCACGUAUUAUCUUGAUUUUUUAAAAAUAAAUCGUAUACAGAUCGUUUUAUUCGAAUUUUUAAUAAUUUACGAAUAAUUCACGAAUUAACUAUGAUCUAAUCAUUAAUGACAAGACCUUUUUGUCUUAUUCGGAUGUCGGAGUACAUAAUUCAGUACGAUCCUAUUCGAUAUGAAAUUAAAAAAUUAAUGUUUUAAGGAAAAAAAAAAAAAGAGAAGGCCUAAGGUAUUGCGCCGGCUCGCCUCCCCUUCCCCCUCCCCUUCCACCAAAUUUUUUUUAAAAAAUAAAAUUUAAUCUUGGACUAAAAUACCUCUCCAAUGGUUUGAAAAAUUAGAAUGUUGGGUAAAUAUUUUGGCAUUUUUUUUAUUUAUUUUAAACUUUUACAAAAGUGAAAUUUGGAUUUGGGACUGUAUCUCGAAUUCGUACCGUGCUGUGUGCCGCCCGGUGCCGACCUAUUUUCAGCCUAGGUGACUGUAGAUCAUAUUAGUGCAGUAAAGUUCAUGUAAUGCUCCGUGUCAAAAAAGAAAAAAAAAAUACUAAUAAUAAAAUUAAAAACCAACCACUUCAUGGUACUAUAGAAGUUGUUUCAUUACAAAUGUUUUACUAUUUCGAUUUUAGGCCAAUCAAAUUGAUUGUAAUUUUUUAAGUGUUUUUCAGCUUGUCGCUCAGUGUUAGGGCUGAUAAUUUAAUUUGUUACUCGCGAGCUAACUCUUAUUCGGCUCGUUAAUAAAUAAACCAAACAUGAUUUAAAUUUUUCGGAUCGAUAUUUUAACGAACCAGCUCAUAUUCGGCUCGUUUAAUAAACGAAUAAGUCGGUGUUUGGAUUAGCUUCUCAGAAGUGAUUUUGGACUCAAAAGUAAUUUUUAGCUUAAUAGACCAUUUGGCAAUCUCAUUUUCAGAAUUUGGUUCUUAUAUUUAACAUCAAUUUUAUUAUUUUCAAGUCCCAAAAUUAGAAGCAGCUAAAAUUUGCUUCUUGCAAUCUGAUUCUGAUUUUAGACUUAAAUUUUAAAAUUUUAUUUUAAUUUUGAAUUCAAAUUUUAAAUUUUAAAUUUAAAUUCAAAAUUUUAAAUUUAAAGUUUAAAUUUUUAUGAGUCAAUGACUCAGUUCCACUCAGCUCGUUGGCAGUUUUAACUAAGAAUUUAAGUGCAGUGGUACGGAGUCGUGUUGGAAACUUGCAAGUACGGUAUGGCAUGAUGUGUGCCGAGCCAUGCCGAUACAUGCCUGUCAAAAAAAUUCUUGUGUGCCGACACAUAAUAGUAUGAAAUAUUUAUUUUCUUUAGUAACAAAAUAUUCUAACUAUUUAUUAUAUUUUUUUAUUAUAUUUUUUAAAUUUUAUUGAGAAAAUUACUUACUAAUUUAAAGAAUAGAAAAUUUUAAGAUAUAUCACCGGCACGAAAUUUAUAUCGUGACGAUAUUUUAUUAAUACGAUACAAUACAAUGAAUACGGUUUGUGCCGACGGAUACUUAAAACGUUGGUCCUAACCGGUGGUUCCCCGGUCAUAGACUGAUUAAUUCACUGACAAGAACUCGGCUGACCUAACGAGAAGAAUUCCAGUCUAGUUGAUGUGGCUGUCGGUCGUCAAUGCCGCGAGCCUUUUCUUGAUCACGUCAGCAGUGACCCGAGCCAAUUCAUUACCCACGCUGAAUUUUCUAAUGAGGCUUUUUUUUUUUUCUUUUUUUUUUUUUUUUUUUUUUUUUUUGAGAGAUAGAUAACACGUUAUUUGUUUCGUUUAUUUUAUUUAGAAAUAAACUUAACUAGAAAUAUGAAUCAAUUAGGAUUCAAAUUUGGGUCUCGAAUACCAACCACCAAACUCUUUACUACUUGCUCUAAGGACGGUCGGUAUAAUGAGGUUUUUUCUUUUUCAUAUAAAUAUACGACAAAACCAAACACUCACACACACCAAUUAAGAGCUCAAUUUUGCGAAGUAUAGAGAGAGAGAGAGAGAGAGGUGUUGGUAAGUUGGAUCUAUUGUUCUUAAUUAGGGUUUUCUUUUAUUGUUCUCUCUCUGUUUUAUGCAUAAUUUUUCCUCUUUGUUAAAAAAAUAAAAUUUAAUCUUGGACUAAAAUGCCUCUCCAAUAGUUCGAAAAAUCAGAAUAUUGGAGAAAUAUUUUGGCCUUUUUUUAUUUAUUUUAAAACUUUACAAAAAUUAAAAUAUGGAUUCGGAACUGUGUAGUAUUCGAAUUCGUACCGUACCGAGCCGGGCCGGGCCGGUGUCAGCAUAUUUUCGGCCCAGGUGAAUGUGGAUCAUGUUAGUGCAGUAAAGUUCAUGUAGCGCUCGGUGUUAAAAAUUUUAAAAAAAUACUAAUAAUAAAAUUUUAAAAAAUAAAAUUUUUAAAAAAAGGUCAAGGUAGCUAACGUAAUCAAUGAGUCAAGGCAGUUUGGAACCUAUAAAUACACCAAGGCUGUAUACGUUAUUGUCCCAGUUUCCCAACACGCACAAAUUAAGAGCUCAAAAAUGGAGAGAGAGAGAGAGAGAGAGAGAGAGAGAGAGAUUGUGCCUUGGAGGUAAGUUUAGUUAAUGCAUUGGUACACAUUUUUUUUUUUUUUUAAUUUUGGGUUAGUUUCGUAUACCUUCCUGUAAGAGCAAUAUUAUAGGGGGUAGAGCUACUAUAUUAUCGAAAACAUAAAGUAGUUGAUGUUUUUAAUUUUUUAGCCCUAAGAUCAAAAAUUCUACGAUUGGGAUGAUAACGGUCCCUUAGGGUUGAGUGGUCUCUAUUGAUUAAUAAUAUUAAUCCAAUGAUUAGAAAUGAUCAAUGAGCUUGAUUUAAGGGCUAAAAAAUUGGAAGCACUAACCACUUUAUACUUCUGAUAGCAUAGUAGCUCUACUCAUAUUAUAAUUUAUAAGUACACUCUAAGAUAGAAUGUAUAUCUUACACCCAAAAUUAUUUUUAUCAUAUCAAUUUUUUAAAAUUUUACUAAAAAUCAAUUCGAUUUUUAUCAACUCUAGAAUUACGGAGGUAAGAUAUACACUCUUUUUUGGGGUGUAUCCGUAGCAUUGCUCUUUACAAAAAUUUUUCUAUAAUUUAGCCUUAAAUUUGUAUAGAGCUAAUUUAGAAUUUCACUAUUUGGCAGGGGUAUAUAGUCAAUUUGCCCACUGCUAUUUUAUUUUUUUUAAUAGAUGUAAUAUUAGGGCAAUGGAUGGUGAAUGUGGAGAGGGGAAUUGUCUCGGCUGGGCCGUGAGAGAAGGUUCUGGAACUCUCUCACCCUACAGAUUCAAUCGAAGGUAUUAUUUAUUUAUGAUUUAUUUCCUUUACAAACUCCUCCACAUCUUUACUAAGAUUUAAAAGUAAAUAAUUAAUUAUCUAUCUGGGUUUACUGAGUUUAAUUUGGGCAUCAAUUGAAGUUUUUUGGGUCAAAUUGAAAUCAGUUCGUGAAUUAUUUUUGCAUCAAAUUAGAGUUUGUAGAUCAAUCUGCAAUUUAUAAAAUGUUAGUGGAAGCAAUAUGUUAUCCUAUACUAUGAAUGGUAUUUGGAAUCUUUUGAAUUUAUAAAAUAUUUCCAUUGAUUAAUAGAUGUUUUCACUAAUUCAGAGGCUUAUAUACCAUACCACAAAAUUUUGAUUUAUUCAGAAUUAUGCUCACAGUGAACAAAUUUGUGAAUCUACUUACACAAAUCAAAUUGUAUUUUGCAUUUUUGUACUCUGUAAAAUUGAUCAGAUCAUUUUGAAGCCAUAGAGAAAGUAGUUCUAGUAAUUGCGAAUUUCGCGGAGUUUCGAUAUAUCGACUGUUCUCGCAGAGUUUCAUGCAAGCUGAUAUGUAGCUGAUUAAGUUAGGAUGUAUACCCUUUUUUGUUCUAUGAACAAACAGUUAUAUUUCUUGAUUUCUAAUAUAGUUGUAAAUGAGUAAGUUAUUUCGUGGUUUUUCAGUUUGUGUGUUUUCUUAAUCUAUGUGUGAUUUUCAGCAUAAUUUGGAUGUAAAGUAAUGAUAUUGUUUUAAGAAAUGCUGAAACUGAAAACUGGAAGCUAAUGUGAUUUUAAAUUGAGUUUUUGCAGUCGAACAGUUGAAGUUAAAUUAUGUCACUGUUGCUUGGCUUUUUAAUGUUAAUUGAGAGUAGCAACUAUAGACCAUGUGGGACUAAUUGUAGUAGAGCAUACACAGGGAUCUUAGGAGUGAUGAUAUCUCGGUAAAGAUUACACAUUGUGGAGUUUGUUAUGCCGACGUCUUCUCGACAAGGAAUCAAUUUGGUCAUUCACAGUACCCACUGGUGCCUGGGUAUGUUCGUCGAAUUCAUAGGAUUCUAUAUAUAUUACCUACAUUAGUAAAACUAGUUAUUGAUCUUUCUUGCAGCAGUAUCUUUGUUUGAAGUUCGAAAAUAGAUUAGCUAUUUCAAUUCAUGUAUAUGUUGCUUAUAAGUUUGAUAUCUCUCUAGGCACGAAAUUGUAGGAGUUGUCCAAGAGGUCGGUUCAGAUGUUGAACGCUUCAAAGUUGGUGAUCAAGUUGGAGUUGGAACUUACGUUGACUCGUGCAGAGAAUGCGAGUAUUGUAAUGUUUUUCGAGAGGUCUAUUGUGUGAGACCCGCGACAUUUACUUAUAACAGGCCCGACUCGGAUGGCACCAUCACUAAAGGUGGAUUUUCCAGCUACAUAGUGGUCCGCGAGAGGCAAGUAACUUCCCAUGAGCUAUAUAUGUACUUUCUCUGAGGUAUUUUUAUAGUAUCUUGAUGAUACGAGCACCUGUGUAAGCAAAUAUGAAAAAUAGUAAUCAAAAUUAGAAGUUCAUAAACAAUCUUUAACUUCUCUGGGAUGAUGCUGUUCAUCUUCUAUUUGUUAUUUAUUUUUUUAGAACUAAUUGUUCUAUCUACACAUAAUUUGCUACCAGAACUUGAUAAAUUCAUAGUAUCUAUUUGCAAACAUUUUGAUAAUGUGCUUUUUUUUGUCCUGUUACAGGUUUGUUUACAAGAUACCUGAUGGGUACCCAUUAGACAAGGCGGCGUCAUUGUUAUGUGCGGGAAUUACAGUGUACGCACCGAUGAUGCGCCAUAAAAUGAACCAACCUGGCAAAUCUCUUGGGGUGAUCGGGCUCGGUGGGUUGGGUCAUAUGGCUGUUAAGUUUGGAAAGGCUUUCGGAUUGAAAGUAACUGUUUUAAGUACAAGUGACUCUAAGAGGGAGGAAGCCAUUAAAGUUCUUAAAGUGGAUGAAUUUGUGGUAUCAUCAGAUAAGCAGCAGAUGGAGGUGAUUUUUCUCUUAAAUAUUUUCUUAGAAUUAAACUCUUUUCGUGGUUAACUCCAUGAUUUAGUUGCUUUAACUGCAAGUUUGUAUGAAAUUGUUUGAUGUUCCAAACUUCUAAUUACUUCAUUACUUUGUAGUCUCUGACAAAGUCCUUGGACUUCAUUGUCGAUACUGCUUCCGGUGACCACCCAUUCGAUCCCUAUCUUUAACUCCUGAAGAUCGAUGGUGUUAUGGUCUUGGUGGGCUUUCCUAAUGAAAUCCGAAUCAGUCCCCUGAGCCUCAAUUCCGGUAUUUCUUUUUCUUUCCCUUUUAUAAUUACGAUAAUAUCUCAAAAACCAUCCUAAACUUCAUGUACACGUAAAUCAUGUUUAAUUUUUUUUCUUUUGUUUUUUUUUGGUAGGUGCGAGAUCUCUUGCGGGGAGUGUGGCGGGUGGUACCAAGGAAACACAAGAGAUGAUAGACUUUUGUGCAGCAAAUAAAGUGUACCCAGAAAUCGAGCUCAUUAAUAUUGACUACAUCAAUGAGGCUCUUGACAGGCUUACUAAGAAUGACGUCAAGUAUCGUUUUGUUAUCGACAUUGCGAAAUCUCUCGAGUGAUGAUGCUAAGUCUAUAUGUACCCACAUAGCUGAUUAUUUGUGCUUGUUAAGAGAGUGUAAAUUGUUAUUUUGAUUGCAUUGCAAACUUCUAUUCCCUAUUAAUAUAAAUUUUUGAUGUCUUUUUUAUGAGUUUAAGUCAAAUUUGUGUUUGAAUGAUCUUUGAUUGUGUUAUGUUAUGUUCAAAUGCAGUAGGAGUGGAGUUUUAAAGCUCGAAUCUAAUUAUAGAUAUGCGAAUACCUUUUGUAAUGAAUUGUGUUAUACUCACUUAUUUUAUAGCUAUAUGCUAAUCUUGUACUAACAGGAAUGCCAUUUGAAUGAAGAACAAUUAUAGAAGUAAGGAAGUUCUUGAUUGGAAUUUACAGUGGAUCUGAAAUGGGAUCAAUCGCAGAUGACUAGAAGGUUAUCUGUUGUUUUCCGGAUCAAUGCAAUCAGGUAUGACGGCGGGUAAGGUCAGUUACUCAAAUGCUUUAGUAGUUAAGUUAGUUAAUGUGGCAAAAUUUGAUCUGUAUAUUUCCAAACAAUAUUUUGUAGGAAAAGUUGCAUGAUUUUCCAAUUAAUAGGUAAGUUGCACUUCAAUUUUGUUUGUUCAUUUUUUUUCUUUUGUUUUUUUAAUGAACAAUUGAAUUAUUUAUCCGUUCUCCCUCGGCUCAUUAAGUUAAACAUGCGUUAUAUUUGGUACUUCAGUUAUCUUUUUGAUAAACAGAACUAAUGAAUUAAUGAAGUUCAACCAUUAUUGUUGGAAUUGAACUAAAACUGCUGCAGCUAAUUACGGUACUCAUGCGGAGUAUGUUGUGUAAUAUUGAGUAUUCAAGUUCCAUUGACUAUGUUGAUCCCGUCCGAAUCAUUCCAAGCCAUAACUCCAGUUAAUGAUGGUUCAAUCUUUAAGAGCCAUUAGAGGUUUAUAAUAAACCAUUUAGCAGAAAAGGAUUCGUUAGUUAGCGUAAACAAAAAGAACUGUAGUAUAAGAUCAUCUGAUACUUCUAGUGGAUAAAAGGGUUGAUUGCAAUCUGAUACUAUACUCCACUUUAGAUGUUUAGUAUUAGUAGUGUUUGCAUCGUCAUCAUCAUCAUAACAAACUACUUAUUCUACUGCAUCUGAUCCAUUCAUAGUUGGCAACUUGGCAUACCAAACAGUGAGUAACCUAUCGAAAGGAACCAAUGCUUUGUCCAUCAUUCUACUUGUCCUUUAUAUCCUUCUCUAUUCCUCUACACCCUUUUUAAGUGACCGAAAAAGGGUUCCUCUGUAAUUGUUCAAUGAGUCGAAACUCCACCUGAGCACCAUAUUUUGUUAUUACUCUAUGCAAACAACUUUUAUGUUCCAUCUAAUAAAAGCAGUGAGAAAGAAACCAAUGUCCAGCUGUUGCCGAGAUGAGCUUUCUUAAGGCCUCUGCCCCCUACACUGGAAUGAUCACCAUUCAAUUAGUCUAUGGUGGUUCAAACAUUCUUAGCAAGAUAGCCUUGGAGCAUGGGAUGAGUUUUCUAGUGUUCGUCGUGUAUCGGCAUAUCAUUGCGACGGCCAUCUUAUCUCCUCUUGCGUAUUUCCUUGAAAGGUUUUCGCCACCAUCUGUGUCCUUUUUGGCCAUGUGGCCAUGUUGGAACUUCUGUCAAAAUGCUAUUUGAGUAGAGUUGCUUAAAAAAGUGGCAAUAACUUUUUUUUUCUCAUUUUUAUUUGAAAAUUCCUCCAUAAGUGUUCAUUUCAGCUUUUUGCCAAUGCAAAAACUCUAGAUUUUCUUAGCUGCUGCUUUUCGGAGUAGAGAAAAUAUUCUAAAAAAACAGGUCAAACCGGCUGCUAACGCAUAUUACGAGUUCUAUCAUCACUCCAUUCUCAAGAAAAUAUAACCCUUUAAUGCAGGAACGAGCGGCCUUCGCUCUCAAUCCCCAUACUUAUGAAAAUCUUCAUUCUCGCACUGUUUGGGAUUACAGUACAUCAAAAUGUCUACUACGCAGGGCUGGAUCACACAUCACCGAUGGUGGCGAGCGCCUUGAGCAAUGUCAUUCCGGCUCUCACUUUCCUUCUCGCAGUCCUCUUGAGGUUAGAGUCCCCUAACAUUCUCCAAACUAUAAAUUUUCGUGCGCAUUUCUAAUAUCAAAAGCCUUAUUUUCUCUUUUUGUUUUCGCGAGGAUGGAGAAGGUGAGAAUAAGAAGUGCAACAGGAGGGGCCAAGUUGAUAGGCACCAUAUUUUGUAUUAGUGGGGCUUUAGUUUUUACAUUUUGGAAAGGGCCUUUAUUUAGGGGCUUUGUUAAGAGACCUCUAAUUGUUGUGCAUGACCAUGGAAAGGUGCAUGGUAAAGAGAAUUGGAUCCAAGGUUCUCUUCUUAUUCUAGCCAGCCAUAUUGCUUUUAGUGUCUGGCUCAUCCUUCAGGUAAUAGAAAAGCUCUUUUCUGCUGCUUUUUUUGAUCUAAAAUUUUGAGACGAGCGAAUGAUUUUGCAGGCGAAGGUGUACGAGGUCUAUCCCGCAAGAUUGUCAAUGAACGCCUUGAUUUGCUUCUGCGCAUCAUUUCAAUCGCUGCUGCUCGCCCUAAUCUUCGAGAAGAACACAUCAUCUUGGCAAUUGGGCUGGAACAUGCAGCUAGUAACCAUCAUCUACUGUGUUAGUCCCUCUCAUUCCUAUGAGUAUUAGAUUAUAUCUUUCACUAUUAGCUAGUAUUGAUAUUUUAUGUACAGGGGACAGUGAUAUCCUGCCUCUCAUACUACCUGCUAACAUAUUGUAUUAGUGAGAGGGGCCCUGUUUUUGCUGCCAUGUUCACUCCCCUGCUUCUUGUCAUUGUUGGAAUAUUCUCGGCCGCGUUCUUCGCCGAACGACUUCAUGUAGGCAGGUGAGCAAUCAAAUUUAGUUCAUUUCCUUUAUGUUUCCACAUUCCCUUGAUAUUAUGGUUUCAAGUGCACAUGCUAUCUUAACUAAGAUUAGACGAUACGAGCUAACGAUAACCUGCGAGCGUAUGCUCUGAUAACAGCUGCAGUCCUAAUAAGAUCCUCUCAUAGAUCUUGGCAUCUGUAUUAAUACUUUAGAACUACUGCUUGCAAUGAUACUAGUAAUUAAACUGGAAUUUUUGCUGCUGUAAAUGUUUUGUAGCUUGAUUGGGGCCUUCAUCAUAAUCGCGGGACUGUACUGCGUGUUAUGGGGUAAAAGUAGGGAGUGCGGCAAGAAUGGCGAUAAAAGGCGCGAUGUCGAGAGUACAACAGUCACAGCUGUUCUCCCAGUAUCAACAUCAAACAAUGAUACACAGCUUACACCACAAGAGGGGACAAUUUGAUUACUUUUUGUAUUGAAGGAUCAUAGACAAUCUAUAAGUUACAGUUUUUAGUUUCUAACAUAAUUUUGCAUUUAAAGAUGAACUUAAGCAGCUUGUUGAGAUUAAUUAAUGCCAUUCAUGUAGAAAUUAAUAAGAUGCUUUAUAGCAUACACUUCUAUUGUUGGUGGAGAGUAAUGGUUAAUAAUGAUUAGGUACCUUUUUUAUCUCUCUAAUUUUUCUUUAUAGAAUAUGAUUGGGAAUGUUGAUUGUACUGUUUUCAUUUUCAUUUGUUUACACAAAGAUCUAGUUCUAUAGUGAAAUAUUGCAAUAUUGGUAUCAAAAUAAAUUUAAAAUUUAUUAGUGGGACAACUUGGUUCUCCUAGGUGGAGCUUUUGUAAAAUGAUAUACUAUUUUGGCUAGCACCAGAAAUUAAAAAUAAUUUAACACGCUUCGUGCAUAGAAUGUAGAUACACAUUUUGUAUUUUAAUUUCUACCAUCCACGUAGUGUCAAUAGAUAUGAAACAAAGGGUAGAUAACGGAGUGGAUUGUCCAUUUAUAUUAGGUAAUAACGUAUUUAAACUAUAGACCAUUUUGAGUCGACUAUUAAAUUUUUCAAAAUUUUAAUUUCAUCACUCUACGUUUAUUUGAUUUGAGUUCGUCAAAGUCAAUUUGAUUAUAAAAUUUAAAGCGAUUGUUUAUAGUUGCAAGAAUUAUAUAAAAAAAUUUUACUAAACGCGUAAAGAGAAACAACCCAUAAAUUUUAAAACUGAAGUGUCGUUUGCUGAUACAAAUCAAAUAAAUUAAUUGGUUGGAAGGUAAAAUCAAACUUUGAAAAAGUUGAAUAAUUGACUCAAAAUAAUCUAUAUUCCAUACAAUUUCUGAAUAUUUUGUUAUCUUUACAUUAUUUGAAAUAUUAUAAAAUUUAUUCAUAUUAUUUUAUUCUUUCAAAAAAAAGGAAAAAAAAAUACAGCUUACAAACACACACUUCAUGUGUGCAACACCAACAUAUCCAACUCACUCACUACAUAUUUAUCAUGCAUUAAUCAUGCAUUAAUCAUUUUGUUCUCCUUUGUGGCUUAACACUAAUCCCUACUUCCUUUCUCUUUCAUGUUCAUGCUCACACUCCUCUUCGUCUUCAUCAUCAUCAUCACCAUGCAAACUCUCCGACACGACCUCGAUGUGUAUCCCGGGAUCCUCCGCCGCGCAGCUCCCGCCGACGAGCACGGAGUUGUUCACCGCCUGGUAGUUGCUGUUGGCGUACGCGCGCACCGCGCCGUCGUCGCCGUCCUCGCACACCUCCCCCUGCGUAUCCUGAUCCUUGUGGCUGCAGUAUUGAUUCUCUAGCGCCUGCAGCUUCUUCAUCGUGGCGCCUUUGUUGUCCCCCGCGAUGGUUAUGAUCCUCACGCCCUUCUCGGAGGCGGCAUCCCCGACGUCGAAGGCCGAGAGGCGGUCGGUGAGCUGCGAGAUCGUGUCGUGGACCUCGCGGUCGAGUUUGCGGGCUUCGGCGUCGGAAGAAGCCAUUGUUUGCGCAGGGAGGUUGAGGAGAAGAGGGUGUGGAUCGAGGUGGAUUUACAUACAUAAAUGGAAUGUAUAUAUAUAUAUAUAUAUAUAUAUAUAUAUAUAUAUAUAUAUAUACAUAUGCAUGUGGUUCUUUACUUGGUGAUUAUGUGCAAGUAUAGUAAGAUUGAGUAAUGGAGUGAAUUAAGUAAUUCCAUUAACAAGGUUAGAGGAAAAGGAUAACUUGCACUGUGAGGGCUCCUUUUUUUUUUAUAUAUAAACGCCUGUUUGGUCCCACUUUUGCUUCUACUUUCAGCUACAGUUAUUUAUGAUAUAAUAUUAAAUAAAUAAUAAAAUUUAGAGAUUCUAUUAUAACUGAAAAUUAAAUUAAGAUGUGGAGUCUCCAAAAGUAAAAAUUUAAAAUUUGGAGUUUUCGUUUUUAGGUUUUUCUAAUACAACGCUGUAUUACUACUCAAACAAGAAAUUUUUUUUUUUUUUUUUUUUUAGAGAUAGAUAGUAUGCUACAUGCUUCGUUUAUUUCAUUUAGAAAUAAACUUAGCUAGAAAUGUGAAUCAACUAGAAUUUGAAUUUGGGACCUCGGGUACCAAGCAUCAAGCCCUUUGACAGAAUAAGUAUAUUAUAUCGAGUAAUAAUUUAGAUAUUUUAGCUCUCAUCUAUACCUCUAUACCCAUACAUUAUUUUUCAUAAAAUUCGCCACAUGACAAUUUUUCCUUCACCCCUUGCUUUCUCUCCCCUUGUCAUUCCCUGAUGCUUCGUCUUCCCACUCAUCGCUAUCCGAUGCUUCGUUUUCCCACUGGCUCACUUUUUAAUUAAUGCAUUUAUAUAGUCUAUUGUCAUCUAAACAAAUCGUUUUUACAAGAAAAGAGUAAAAUAAUAUUUCUUCAUACUCUUUUUCUUAUUGAUGUUUCAUGGAAGUCAAAAAAAUUUUAAAUUUUUUACUUCAUCAAUUUUUUGUCUUUUAUAAUAUUAGCCAGCCGCCAUGCGCGGUUAACUUCACUAGUAAUAUCAAAAUUGGCUCUAGAAAUAUUUCUUUUAAAAUAAAAAGUACAGAAGCCGGAUCACACACAAACUAUAAUUUUAUUAAGGACGAAUUAACAAAUAUUACACUUGGAAAUAAUUUGGAUAAACCAAACCAAUGUAACCGAAUUAAAAAAAUUCGAUUUGAUUUGGUUCCAAUUUUACAUACUAUAUAUCUGUUCAAUUUUGAGCCAUAAUGUCUCCUGCUGCACUAUUUAUUUGCCUGCUUGUUUGUGGUGUAUCCAUACAUCUUAUGUGUCAGAUACAAUAUUUUGGAAAUAUCUAUAAACUAUUAUGAAUCCCGUGCGAUUCAAGCUUACUCCUUAUUUUAGAAAAAAAGUGGGACCCACCUCUUCUGUAAAUGUACAAAAUAUAUUUCUUUAGUGGGGUCCACUAAAUAAUAAAGUUUAGCAUAAUAGGAAACAUUUGAACGUUAAUUGAGGAGCCCAUAAAUACUGGGUCUUUUCAAACGUUGCACUAAAAAAUAAUGUUUAGUGGAAUAAGAAAUAUUUGAAAGUUAAUUGACGAGCCCAUAAAUGCUAGGGUGUUUCUAUAUAUGUAACGUUUCACAUAAACACAAUUUUUUUUAAAAAAAAUAUACAAUAAUACAUGUCCAAUAAUUUAGGUAUUUGUUCUUAGGUGUCUUAAAAAAUUAAAUUUGUAUCGUCCGUGUAAUUAAUGCAAAGUCGGUUAUCUCCUCAAGAGACUUCUCGGUUUUUCCCAUCCGCCCCUCCAUCUCCUUCUCUCUCUAUUUUUUUUUUCUUUCGUUCACCUAUUCACGAAACCCACUAAAUAAUAAUGUUUAGCAUAAUAGAAAAUAUUUGGACGUUUAUUGAGGAGCCCAUAAAUGCUAAGUUGUUUCAAACAUUCGCAUUAAAUAAUAAUGUUUAGUGAAAUGAGAAAUAUUUGGAAGUUUAUUGAGGAGCCCAUAAAUAUUGGGUGAUUCUAUAUAUGUAACGUUUCACGUAAGAUAAUGUUUUUUUAAAAAAAUAUAUACAAUAAUAAGUGUCCAAUAAUUUAGGUAUUUGUUCUUAGGUAUUUUAAAAAAUUAAAUUUGUACGCUCCGUGUAAAUAAUGCAAAGUCGGUUGUCUACNAAAAAAUACAGCUUACAAACGCACUCUUUCAAGUGUGCAACACCAACAUAUCCAACUCACUCACUACAUAUUUAUCAUGCAUUAAUCAUGCAUUAAUCAUUUUGUUCUCCUUUGUGGCUUAACACUAAUCCCUACUUCCUUUCUCUUUCAUGUUCAUGCUCACACUCCUCUUCGUCUUCAUCAUCAUCAUCACCAUGCAAACUCUCCGACACGACCUCGAUGUGUAUCCCGGGAUCCUCCGCCGCGCAGCUCCCGCCGACGAGCACGGAGUUGUUCACCGCCUGGUAGUUGCUGUUGGCGUACGCGCGCACCGCGCCGUCGUCGCCGUCCUCGCACACCUCCCCCUGCGUAUCCUGAUCCUUGUGGCUGCAGUAUUGAUUCUCUAGCGCCUGCAGCUUCUUCAUCGUGGCGCCUUUGUUGUCCCCCGCGAUGGUUAUGAUCCUCACGCCCUUCUCGGAGGCGGCGUCGCCGAUGUCGAAGGCCGAGAGGCGGUCGGUGAGCUGCGAGAUCGUGUCGUGGACCUCGCGGUCGAGUUUGCGGGCUUCGGCGUCGGAAGAAGCCAUUGUUUGCGCAGGGAGGUUGAGGAGAAGAGGGUGUGGAUCGAGGUGGAUUUACAUACAUAAAUGGAAUGUAUAUAUAUAUAUAUAUAUAUAUAUAUAUAUAUAUACAUAUGCAUGUGGUUCUUUACUUGGUGAUUAUGUGCAAGUAUAGUAAGAUUGAGUAAUGGAGUGAGUUAAGUAAUUCCAUUAACAAGGUUAGAAGAAAAGGAUCACUUGCACUGUGAGGGCUCCUUUUUUUUUAUAUAUAAAUGUCUGUUUGGUCCCACUUUUGCUUCUACUUUCAGCUACAGUUAUUUAUGAUAUGAUAUUAAAUAAAUAAUAAAAUUUAGAGAUUCUAUUGUAGCUGAAAAUUAAAUUAAGAUGUGGAGUCUCCAAAAGUAAAAAUUUAAAAUUUGGAGUUUUCGUUUUUGGAUUUUUCUAAUACAACGUUGUAUUACUACUCAAACAAGAAUUUUUUUUUUUUUUUUUGAGAGAUAGAUAGUAUGCUACAUGCUUCAUUUAUUUCAUUUAGAAAUAAACUUAGCUAGAAAUGUGAAUCAACUAGGAUUUGAAUUUGGGACCUCGGGUACCAACCAUCAAGCCCUUUGACAGAAUAAGUAUAUUAUAUCGAGUAAUGAUUUAGAUAUUUUAGCUCUCAUCUAUACCUCUAUACCUAUACAUUAUUUUCCAUAAAAUUCGCCACAUGACAAUAUUUCUUUCACCCCUUGCUUUCUCUCCCCUUAGCAUUCCCUGAUGCUUCGUCUUCCCACUCAUCUCUAUCUGAUGCUUCGUCUUUUCACUGGCUCACUUUUUAAUUAAUGCAUUCAUAUAGUCUAUUGUCAUCUAAAUAAAUUAUUUUUACAAGAAAAGAGUAAAAUAAUAUCUCUUCAUACUCUUUUUUCAUAUUAUUUAUAUUUAUUGAUGUUUCAUGAAAGUCAAAAAAAUUUUAAAUUUUUUAUUUUAUCAAUUUUCUGUCUUUUAUAAUAUUAGCCAGCCGCAAUGCGCUGUUAACUUCACUAAUAAUAUCAAAAUUAGCUCUAGAAAUAUUUCUUUUAAAAUAAAAAGUACAGAAGUCGGAUCACACACAAACUAUAAUUUUAUUCAGGACGAAUUAACAAAUAUUACAUUUAGAAAUAAUUUGGAUAAACCAAACCAAUGUAACCGAAUUAAAAAAUUUCGAUUUGAUUUGGUUCCAAUUUUACAUACUAUAUAUCUGUUUAAUUUUGAGCCAUAAUGUCUCCUGGUGCACUAUUUAUUUGCCUGCUUGUUUGUGGUGUAUCCAUACAUCUUAUGUGUCAGAUACAAUAUUUUGGAAAUAUAUUAUCUAAAUAUUAGUAAUUUCGAAAAUGGCCAAUUUGCAUAAAAAAUUCACUAAUUUUGGGCUUUUGCAAAAGUGGACCACUUUUUUGGAUUUUGCAGAUUCGGACCGAAAUUUCAGCAAACUGACCAAAAUACCUUUAUUACUUUUUCUCUCUCCUCUUUCUUUUUCUCCGUUCUUUUUUUCCUCUCUCCGAAGAAGGCAGCGGAGACGGAGGUGGAGGUGGAAACACCCCGCCUCGCCUCCGCCCUGCACGCCCUCGCCCGUGCACUCCAGCCCUCCUCGCCUCUGACCCUGCUGAGGCCGCGUCGCCACCCUUCUUUUACACUAGGGCACAGCGACGUCGAGACGCAGGCUCUUCUCCUCCACCGCGCGUCGGAACGCCAAGACGUCGUCGACGACGUCGUGAUGGUUGCGAUAGAAAGUAAGGGAGAGGUGGUGACAAAAAAAAAUUAUAGAAAAAAAUAAAAAUAAAAAAAAUUAUUUUUUUCUUACAGAAAAGAUCAAAACAUAUAGGAGAAGAAAGAAGAUGAUGAAAUUACACUCUUAAAAAAAAUUACACUGUUUUAAAAAAAAUUGCACUGUUUUAAUGAAAAUUGCACUAUUUUAUAUAAAAAUUACACUCUUUUAAAAUAGACUUUACACUCUUUAGGCCAAUAUUGCACAAUUUAGAAAAAUUUUGCAAUAUUUCAUUUCUUUCUUUUCUUUUCCUCUCUCUUCUUCUUCUUCUUCUUCCUCCUCCUGCGGGAGCAGCACCCACCUUUCUUCUUCUUCUUCCUACAAGAGCAGCACCCACCCUGCAGGAGCACCUCCCCGUCGCUGCCGCCGCCGAGGAGGCCGCGGCGGCGACGCUGCGCAUGAUGUCGGCGCCGCCCCCCAGCCGCGAUCGCGCGUGGGCUGUUCUCCUUCGCCAGCACAGCGCGAACAGCCCCGCACCAUGCUUAACCUGGGCUGGCUUGAUGGACCGCGCUCGAGGCACCCGAGGGCCUACUGCACCGCCUCCGGCAUGUUCGCCAUCGCCGCCGUCCUGCUCCGCUCGUCAGCGCCGGUGCACCGUCGUCGCUCCAAGUGCCUCACGGCGGCACCGCGGCACACUCUCUCCGCUGCCUGCGCAUCCGCGCCACCUUCGUCGACGCCCAACACACCCACGUCCGUCUUGCGCGCGCCGUCCACUGAGGUGACACCAAGGUCAUCCAAUCUCUCAUUUUUAUUAUAUAUAUAGCAUUGUGAUAUUAAUUGUAUCAUUUUCUCUGGAUGUUAAGCUUGUGAAGAGAAUAUAAUUAAGGGUUGUUGUAUAUUAUAUACUAUUUUUUGGAAGUGAAUCAAACCUAAAAGUGUUAUAGAUGAAACGGAACAGUCGCGGAACGCCGCCGGCGUCGCCGCGGGGAGACCCACCAUGGGCGUGAAGGUGUUGUCCACCACGACGUUGCAGUAGCGGACGUGUCGCCACCGGCUAGCUCACCCCCUUGCGAGUCGAUCGCGGAGGGGGGUACUGCGGCCUGCGGUGGUCUGGGAGAAGGGGGUGAAGCUGGUGGUGGACAACACCUUCACGCCCAUGGUGGUCUCCCCCGCGCGACUCCGCGCCGACGUCAUCAUACAUAGUGUCUCCAAGUUCAUCAGCGGCGGUGCCGACAUCAUCGCCAGUUACUAACCAACUUAUCCUUUUCUUUUCUUUUCCUUCUUAUUUUUUAGGCGGCGCCGACAUCAUGCGCAGCGUCGCCGCCGCGGCCUCCUCGGCGGCGGCAGCGACGGGGAGGUGCUCCUGCAGGGUGGGUGCUGCUCUUGUAGGAAGAAGAAGAAGAAAGGUGGGUGCUGCUCCCGCAGGAGGAGGAAGAAGAAGAAGAAGAAGAGAGAGGAAAAGAAAAGAAAGAAAUGAAAUAUUGCAAAAUUUUUCUAAAUUGUGCAAUAUUGGCCUAAAGAGUGUAAAGUCUAUUUUAAAAGAGUGUAAUUUUUAUAUAAAAUAGUGCAAUUUUCAUUAAAACAGUGCAAUUUUUUUUAAAACAGUGUAAUUUUUUUUAAGAGUGUAAUUUCAUCAUCUUCUUUCUUCUCCUAUAUGUUUUGAUCUUUUCUGUAAGAAAAAAAUAAUUUUUUUUAUUUUUAUUUUUUUCUAUAAUUUUUUUUUGUUACCACCUCUCCCUUACUUUCUAUCGCAACCAUCAUGACGUCGUCGAUGACGUCUCGGCGUUCCGACGCGCUGUGGAGGAGAAGAGCCUGCGUCUCGACGUUGCCGUGCCCUAGUGUAGAAGAAGGGUGGCGACGCGGCCUCAGCAGGGUUAGAGGCGAGGAGACUGGAGUGUACGGGUGAGGGCGUGUAGGGCGGAGGCGAGGCUGGCUGUUUCCGCCUCCGCCUCCGCUGCCUUCUUCGGAGAGAGAAAAAAAAAACGAGAAAAAAAGAAAGAGGAGAGAGAAAAAGUAAUAAGGGUAUUUUAGUCAGUUUGCUGAAAUUUUGGUCCAAAUUUACAAAAUCUAAAAAAGUGGUCCACUUUUGCAAAAGCCCAAAAUUAAUAGAUUUUUUAUGCAAAUUGACCUUCGAAAAUUUUGGAUAUAAUUUUAGUAGUUUCAAAAAUAUAUUAUCUAAAUAUUAACAGGCAAAGUUGCUUUUCGAUCUAUGCUUCGCGGCGAUUUGUUGGAAACUGUGGAAAGAAAGAAACACUAGAGUUUUUGAAAAUCGUGAAACGGAAAGUGGGGAAGUGGGUAAUAAGGUCGUGUCCUCUGCUAUCCUUUGGAAAUCACUUCUGAGGUCAAAGGGGGACUUUUUUCGAAAAUAACCCUAUAAAAAUUCGUAUUUGCAAAACAAAUCCUGUGAAAUUUUUAUUUGUGAAACUAACCCUCCUCUCGCCACGUGGGCGCUACGUCAGAGAUUCCUCAAAAAGACGGUGAAUCGUUCACCGUCUUUGAUAUUUGUUGUGAAGGCGGUGAAUGGUUCACCGUCUUCAUAAGACGGUAAACCAUUCACCGUCUUUAGUACAAAUCCCUACACUGCGCAAAUCUUUCCAAGUCCAUAAUAUGAUGUCCUUGAUAAGACGGUGAAUCGUUCCUCGUCUUCUCGAGGGCACAGAAAAGGCAGAUUUGAGAGGGCGGAAAGGGAAAAUGGCGGAAAAGAAAAUUUUGCACUAAAGACAGUGAAUGGUUUACCGUCUUCUAAAGACGGUGCACCAUUCACCGCUUUUACAACAAAAAUUACAAAGACGGUGAACGAUUCAUCGCCUUUUUUAGGAAUUCUUGACGUGGCGCCCACGUGGCGAAAGGAGAAUUAAUUUUACAAAUAAAAAUUUCAUGAGGUUAUUUUGGCAAAUACGAACUUUCACAUAAUUAUUUUCGAAAAAAGUCCUCAUAGGGAGCAACAGAGGCGGUUAGCCUCUUACCUCUCUCCUACUGGCAUGUACUAUGGUAUUCUCAAAUAGGGUAUUUCCCUGUUUAAUAAUAUAUAUAUAUAUAUAUAUAUAUUAGUAGUUUCAAAAAUUAAUACUUAAAAAAAAAUUAUUUAAAUCGUAUAUAAAAUCUAGUAUUUCAUAUUUUAUUAGUAAUGAAUCUAAAUACUUCAAUUUUAUACAAAAAUUAAAAAAAAAAUAAAACCUCACAUUACCAUGUCUCUUCCUACAGAAUAUUUUAUAACUAUCAAAAAAUUAUGAAUCUAGUUAAAUUAUUUUUUGAUAAUAAAAUAUUUGAAUCAGUUUUGUUAAAUUUAUUUUAUUAUAUUUAAAAAUUUUAAAAUAAUAAAAUUAUUAAUUUUUAUAUUAUUUAGCAAAUGACUCGAAAUUAAACGCAAAUUCGAAUUUUAUUAUAUUAUUAUAUAUUAAAUUAAAAUUAAAAGAAAGCGGUGGGCGGUGUUGUUCAAAUCUCCAUCAUCAAUUAAAAUAAUAAUAAUAAUAAUAACAAUAAUUGCCCUACGGAGGCUCGACCAAUCGACCCCACCAUUUCCGCGUCUCUCCGCUUUUUUUUCUCCCAAAAACCUAGGGCUUGCGAAUCCCAAAUUGAGGGGGGUGAGAGAGAGAGGAAUCGGGGGAGGAGGAAGAAGACGAAGAGGAGAUUGUCGCCAUGUCGCCCGGAGCUUCCGAUGGAUCCAGCGUUGUCGGUGAGGAGACGAAUUAAUGUCUCGUUUUUGUCUAAUUUAGGGUUCUUUGUGGUGUUUUUAGGGAUUUAGCGUCGGUAAUCGCUUCAGUUAGGUGUGAUUUGCGCUUUGAAUCGGUUGUGGUGCGAAAGAUAGGAUCUUUAAUCUGUUAAUUUUGGGAUUGAUUGUGCUAGGAUUUGUGUUUUGGUAAUUUUUGUGUACUCGUGAACCGAAAGAUCGAUAUAAUAGGAAAUGAUCUUAAUAAUCUUAAUACCUUUGCUUAUUUGCGUGGUGGAUAUAUGACAAGAGAGAGGUGAACGAAGGGCGAUUUAACUCGUUAAACAGUAGAUGUGGGGAAUUGAACACAAGACCUCUUUGAACCGUUGCGAGAUUCGGGGUUAGGGGUUGGGGUUCGGGGUCGGAAUUGAAUCCAGGACCUCUUGGAACUGGUGGGUUUGGGGGUGGCGAAAUUGAACCAUGGACCUCUUGGUUGCGGUUGCGGUCGCGGUAGGGGUGGGGAGGAGGGUCGGGCUGUGGGUGGGAGGAGUUCUUAGGACUUGCUGUGAUCGCCGUGUAGCUCAAAAGAUUGAUCUACUAGGAAAUGGUUCGGGAAUAGUCUUAACAAUACUAAUGAUUAUUUGAAAUUGUUUGCUAUAUUCAGUUAUCUGGUUCUUAGAUAGUUUUUACCGUAUGUGCUGAGUUGUGAAUAAUUCUUAAAAAUAAGAUCGAGAAAUUUGUUCUCAUAUGCCAAAAUGAUGAUUUUAAUGCCAAAAAGCUAUAUGUUUUGUGAGAACCUGCUGGAAUUUCAAUGAAAAGACUUCUGGGUUUAAUGUUUAUGCCAAUUUAGCAGCUAAAGAGAAGUCCUUUAGUCGGUGGUAUUCCCCGUUAUGAAGGCAUACAUGUAUCCAUUUUUCUGUAUAUAUAAGAGAAGGCAAUUGAAGGGACUUUCGCAUUAUUAUUCUACCUCGAAAAAUGAUUUUGACAUCUAAAUCAUUUAUUAGCACGUUGUCGUGAAGCUUCGGGCGGGUGUCCUCAGAGGCAGGAGCAUUUGGGGUGUACAAAUUAGGAGCUUUGUGAGGUUAAACACUGUAACUGAAUUAACGUGUUCAGAGAACAUGGUCAAUAAAAUUUCCUGGGAUCCUAAAAUGCUACGCAGGUGUGGCGCUUAAUUGGCAACGAUACAGUUAUUGCGAUUGAAAAGAAGUUACCUAUAAUUUUUUCUCAAAUAAAAGAUUGAAAUUGUUUAGUUUUCUCUAAUGAUGUUUCCUAUGGCACAAAAGAUGCACAAUAUCCCAAUGCAUCUUCCCCCUGUCUUUAAUUUGUUUGAUUUUUGUUAGACUACUGACUAUUAAGAAGAAAGAAGAUUCUAGGCAACCUAUAGUUCCUUGUAAGGGAAAAUAAUCUUCUUAAAGGGAACCCUAUAAUUGAUGAAAUAAUGCAUUUCUGUCUCAUUAUAAUUGGUCGUUACUAAUCCUUUAGCUGUUACUAUUUUACUUAAAUUAUUUGUUGUCCAUGCUCGAUAUAUAUACACACUUUUUAAGUGCUGGUUUUCAUUUACUUGGGACUUUUUCUUGUUCCAUUUGUAAUGAGAGUGAUCAUUUUGUUAAACAAUUUGCACAGUUCCACGGAACUUUAGACUGCUAGAAGAACUCGAACGAGGAGAAAAGGGGAUUGGAGAUGGUACCGUGAGUUAUGGGAUGGAGGAUGGAGAUGACAUCCUGAUGCGCUCAUGGACGGGCACUAUAAUCGGCCCUCAUCAUGUAAACAAAAAUAGCACUUUUCACAUAUUUCAUCUUAUAAUUACUUUUUAUAUAUUAUGGACUUUAUUGGUUUUUUUUUUUAUUUUGUGAAUCUUAACAUUCUUGCAGUCCGCUCAUGAGGGUCGGAUCUAUCAGCUCAGGUUAUUCUGCGACAUGGAUUAUCCUGAGAAGCCUCCCAGUGUCUGGUUCCGCUCGAGAAUAAACAUGACGUGUAUCAAUCCUCAUUCAGGAGCGGUAAUAUGGAUGAACAACAUCUCUCUUCCCUUUGAAAUAAAAAAGAAGAAGAUAUAGCACUGCAAAUAUUAUCUUUUAUCAUAUAUCCAUGAAAAAGCAGAAUUUCCUUAGAUGUGCUUCAAACAACUCAAUAUCUUACAUGUAUAACCAUGUAGUUAUGGAAUGCCCAUCUCUGAAAAACAUCAAAACUAACUUCCCCCUAUGAGUUGGAUGAAUUUCCAACUUAACGGUUAUGCUUGAAAGAAACUGCACUUGCAAGAUGUAUACAUGUGAAAAUUCAAACGUUAGUGAGGUACAUAUGCAAAUCAUUAUUUUGCAACCAUUUCCACAAAAUUCUAAUAGCUUGGGCGAACAAACACAGGUUGAACCGAAGAAAUUUGGCAUUUUGGCGAAUUGGCAACGCAGGUUUACAAUGGAAGAUAUCCUAGUAGAGCUGAAGAGGGAAAUGGCUGCCCCGCAUAACCGCAAGCUACCCCAACCCCCUGAAGGUACAUUCUUUUAGAAGAUCAUCGGGUAUUAAUAGUGUAUCUUGAUGGAUUUCCCACUAGUAUUGCUCAGUCAAAGACACUUUAUGUCACAAUUCAGAACGGGGAAGUAGUAAUAUUUUUUCAUAAUUGCUGGUGAAAUUUGUGUCAUUUGUUGCAAGAAUGCGAUUAUGCAAGGACUAAUUACUGUCUCUGAUAUUUAUUUUGUAUGAAUGAUUUUCGACCAAGUCUUUUGACUAGUGCUGUUUUCUUCUCCUCCCCUUUGUAAUCCAUACUUUAUUCUUGUUCACUUUCUCUUGCUUACAUAUCAUCUAAUUGUUGAAGUGCCUCAGAAUUUUCACACUGUUUGGUAUCAAUAGAAAUGAAAUCAAUUCGAUUUUCAAUUCAAUGUUCUCAAGUGAAUAAGGCUUGUGGUUGUCUUGGAAUGAAAUGUAUUUGGACUGGAUUCCAUUGCGUAUUUCCUGUUUUACUUGUGAUCAUUUGAGAUUCAUGAGAUUUACAAAGUUUGUGUUUAGAUGGGAAUCAUAAUUAGAUCUCAAAUCAUCUGAUUUGCUUUCUCUUAUGAAAUCCACCAAAAUUAGUGGAAAGAAAUACAAAUCAUGAACUAUAAGUAUCCAAACAACGGAUUGAGUAAAAUAUCAAUUUGAAUUUUUGCCCAAGUCACCUAGAAGGGUUUUGCCAAACAGGGUGCUAAUAGAGUUGGAAAGUAGGAAGUUUUGAAGUUUCAGAGCUUGUCCUGUUGCAGUAUCAAUUUUUGUCUCUUUGAAAACUUAAGAGAAAAGGUAGAUUUGGAAAAGCAAGAAUACUUUUUAUACAUUUUGGGUUUGUGAUUCAAUCCAAAUCGGUGAUUUAAAGGACUCUAAAUAGGGUGUACAGCUAAUGGAAUAUAAAACUGAAUCUUAUUAUUUUUAUGUUGGUUAUGGUAAUCUGACAAUAGAUUGCAACACUUCUGUUGGAGAGUUUCUGAUUCAUCAGUUUCUGAGUCAUCAGAUAACUGAACACUCCUUUGAUGCUUUUAGAACUCUGCAUUUAAAUAAUGUCCAAUCAUCAUCUCUACUUUAGGCAAAGCUAUGUUAGAUGAUUGCUAUGAAAGUUGAGGAUAGUGGAGUAUCAGAUUAAAGCAUUUAGGGUUUUUAGUGGUUGUAUAUUUUAGUUACUAAAUCUGUAUAGCAUAUUCUUAAUCAUCUCCUAAAUGUUGUAUUACUAUAGAUAUAUAAUUUGUAUCUAGAAGAGCUCUUUUUAUUUCGAUGCACAUAUGCAUACACAUCAGAAUGCCGAUAAGCUCUCUGGUAAUAUGACCUGGAUUCGUAUCCUAAAAGACCGAAGACACUGGGUUGAGUUUCAAAUAGCUGAACUAUAUUAGGUUUCAAACUUGAAUUUGAAUUUGAAUAUGAGUCUGAUAAGCUAUGAGAUCCAAUUUAUGGGUGUGUUUGGUUCGCCCCUUUUUCACCCUGGAAUCGGAAUCGACAAAUGGUAUGCGGAAUUUUCAUUCCUACUCCGAUUCCGAUUCUCAGGUGAAUGAGAAUCCCUCUAAUUACCUCUUUUUCCAAUCCGGCCUAGGAAGGCCGGAUUGGAAGGAUUAAAUUUAACUUUUUUAAGCUUAUUUUUUAAUUAAAACAUAAGUUUAAGUUUAAAAAUUAUAUUUAUAAUUUAAAAUUUAAUUUAAACUUAAAUUAAAAAUUAAAAUUCAAUCAAGCAUUCGAAUCUAAUUUAUAAAAUUAAAUUUAAAUUUAAAUUUAAUUUAAAAUCUAAAGUUCUAUUCAUAUUUUAUUUAAAAUUUAAAUUAAAUUUAUGGAUUCAAAUUGAAAUUGAAAUUAUAAUUUUAAGUUUGAAUUUGAAUAAAUAGAAAUAGUUUUAUAUUUUGAAUUAUCCGUUCAAUUUCAAAUUUUAAUUUUUUUAAAAAAUAUAUUUAAAAUUUUGACAUCAUUUUAAAAUUUUGAUGUACAUUUUUAAUAUUUAUUCUUCAAUUUGAAUUUAAACUAAUAUAUUAUAAAGAUAAAAUUGACAUAUUAAUUUGAUUACAUUUCUAAUAUCUAUUUAAGCCAAACACAUACAAUGGAAAUGGUUCAAUCCGAUUCCAAUUCAUGUGGCAAACUAAAUAGAAUGAGGUAAUGAAUUAUUCAGAUUUCGUUUCCAGCUUAUUCUUAUUUCGAUUUCAAUACCGAUUUUGACUUCGAAUCAAACACACCCUAUAUUUCUAGGUACUUUCUAGUGUGGGUUGGAUUCAGAUCAGGUUGGUGGAUUAGCCUUGUUCAUAGAUGUCUCUAGAUCGAAACAAGCAUUUGGUGUGGUGUAAGAUGUCCAUCCACUCUUAAUAGAUAAAUGAGUGCUAUAUUCAGCCAAUAAGUUAUUUUUUAUGAAUAAGACAAAUCAACACAUUGGUGGAAGGCAUUGUUCUAGUAAAAUCGUGACCGCGAAACUUUGCAAGUAACUAAAAAUAGACUUUUUAGUCUUUACAGCCAUAAAAGAAAAUCUUCAUGGCACACUAGCUAUUGCUGGAUAACUUCUCUUGACAUCUGAACAGAUCCUAAAUUGCACUGUCAAAUUUUUUUUCACAUAGAAUAAUCAUAAGUAGCUCUUUGAGUUCUCUCUCUCUCUCUGUCUCUUGUGAACUCGGUUUCCUUCAUUUGUAGAGAAGCCUUUAGAACUCCUCAAUGCCCAUUAGGAUGUCACUUUCAAUGUAUGGGUGAUCACAUCCAUUAUGAUUAAUUAAGCAAUGGUGUCUCGGUUAAGUAGCCUAGCAUGCCUCUUCCUUUUUGGGUAUAUGAAAGAGAAGUCCAACAAUUGAAGGUGGAAUAAGCCAUUGAAAAUAUUGGACCAUGGAAGUCUCAUCUUGUAGAUCAUACUCUAGAAUAUGAAUUGUGCCUUCUGGUAGUGCCUUUCAUUUUCCAUUCUCAGUUUGUGAAAUCUAAUCUCCCUUGGUUCGACGCGGUCGAAAAGUUGAUUAGGCAAUCUUUUGGAAUCUGUAGUGGGUCAAAACUGUAGUGAUGCUACCUUUAUCCAUCAAUUUACUCUACAAGAUUGUUGCGAGAUAUUAGGGUUCAAAUUGUAGAAAAAACUUUAAGUGUGGUUAAUGCUAAUUGACUUUAUGGUAGGGUGUAAGAGAAAAGUUUUCAGAGGGAUUGAGAAUGGGACCCAUCUAAAAUUAGCAUUCAAAAUUAUUGAUGAGCUACUACCAUGCUCUUUUUCCUCAUAAUUCACAAAGCAAUCACCAACUGUCGCUAGAGCAAGUGGCAAAAGGUUUAGUGGUUGAUACCCGAGACCCAAGUUCGAAUUCUAGUUGAUUCACAUUUCCAGCUAAGUUUAUUUCUAAAUGAAAUAAACGAAGCGGGUAGCGUGCUAGCUAUCUCUCAAAAAAAAAAAAAAAAAAAAUCCUGUAUACAUAAACAUUGAACUGGACUUGUCCAAGGAAGAGGAGUCUCAUUUUCAAAUUCCCCAAAACUGCAGAAAACAAAAGCUAUCAUCAUUCCUGUAGAUGAUCUCAUGCUUAUCUCAUUUCCUUAAUAUGAGAUUACCAUAAGGAGAGGGUCUUGAUGCAUGCCAAGUGUCUCUACUUUAAAAUCCCGACCGUCCAUUGAGUUGCAGCUGUUGAUAUAGAUAAAUCUUGUAAGGAGCUUUAAGUAGGAUUUGUGCUCUGUUGUGUUUGGCUAGUGCAAGUUCCUCAGUAGGGCAUGUUUUGAUCACAUUUAUUGAAGCACAAUAUUGGUCACUCCACCAAAUCUCUCUCUUCUCUCUCUCUGUUUCUCACUCUCUCAUGGAUGGAAGUGAGACAAGAUCUAAUGGACCAUCAGUAUGUUUACACAAUUCAGCCUCUUCUUCCUCCAAUUCUCAAAGCAUCUCUUCAACGGCGCCAACUACAUCGUCGUCGUCGUCAUCAUCAUCGUCAUCGUCAUCUUCAUCGUCAUCGACCACAUCAAGCACACACGGGGAACCCGGGGGGAGGAUGGUGCUACGGGGAUGCCCGCGGUGCCUCAUGUACGUGAUCGUGCAUGAGCAGAACCAGAGAUGCCCGAGGUGCUACUCGACUGCUUUGCUCCACCUCUUCUCAUAAGGAUGUGAUGUACGUAUAUACGUACGUACGUAUGUUCCGUAUAGCUUCAUCAAGCCUCAGUUUUAUUACUAAUGCAUACUUACAGAGGAAGUUUCAGAAUAAAGAGAAUUGACAUUUCUUGUGUAUAAUUCUUAGGAAAAGAAGAAAACAAUGAACUAGAUUGCACCCUUCGAUUUUUGAGUGUCGUAAAAGUUGUAGAGAUACUAUAAUUUUGAUCUUCUGAUGAGCAGAGAACAUAUGGUGUAGGUAAAAAAGAAAAAAGAAAAAACAGAGGUAUAACUGAAAAUAUGAUCAUAUUGCUGAUCACUGUGUUAUCAAUAUUCUUCGGUGUUUUUAAAUAGAAGUAAUGGAUCCUGUGAAGAUCAUCUUGAACAAGCAUUGCAAAACCCAGUGUUAGGAGUUUAAUUAAGAGGCGGUUUUUUUUAAGAAGAGUCUGUAACAACCCGGAAGAUAGCUAGUAUUAGUAGUUAGAUGUAGGAGAGAAGUAAAGGUAACAGCUUUACUAGUUAGAAGGAGAAUAAGGACAGCAGCAGGUGGAGAGGAGGAGGUGCGGCAGGAGGGUCCGACGAGAAGCGCCUUCAAAGAGGCUCAGGCGAGCUUGUCGGAGCAAUCUGGCGAGAGGAGGUCCGGGCGGAGUUCUGGUGGGGUCAUUUUACUACCGAUUUGUUUUCGAUGAUAGAGCUUUCAAAUUGACGAUCGGCUCCGUUAAAUAUGAUCUAAACCAUUUAAACUAUCUAGAAAUCAAAUUUUACGCACUUUCGAUAUUGUUCUUUUAUCCAUCAAGUGAAUAGAAAAUUGAAUNUUAUUUUCUUUAGCAACAAAAUAUUUUAACUAUUUAUUAUGUCUUUUUAUCACAUAUUUUGAACUUUAUUGAGAAAAUUACUUACUAAUUUAAAGAAUAGGGGGUUUUGAGCUGUGCCAUCGGUACGGGGUCUGUAUCAUGUCGUUAUCUUGUUGACACGGCACAAUACGGUAGAUACGGUCGUGUUGACGGGCACUUAAAAUCUUGCUAAGAGUAAAUUAAGUGCUAAUUUUUUAGAAUGUUUUUUAUUAGAUUGUUAGUAGUAUGUUGACAUCAUCUUUUUUAAAUGUUUUAUGAUAUAUUUGUUAAGCGUAUUAACAAAUUAUUAGGAGCCUUUGUGGAAUAAAACCAAUGCAUUUCCUAUACAUUAGAUUUUAUCUCACCUCUCUCUCUCUCUCUCUCUCUCUCUCUCUCUCUCUUUAUAUAUAUAUAUAUAUAUAUAUAUAUAUAUAUAUAUAUCCAUAGCAAACGGGCUCCGUUGUCACCCAUUUGUUUUCGAUGAUAGAGCCUCCAAAUCGACGAUUGGCACCGUUGAAUAUGAUCUAUACCACUUGAAGUGUUUAGAAAUCAAAUUUCAUAUAUUUUCGAUAUUGUUCUCUUAUCCAUCGAGUGGACACAAAAAUGAAUGACUGAAAAUAAAUAUUUUUUAAAAAAUGAUGAUAGGAGUCUUGUAAUCAAGAUCAAGAGUAUAGAUCUUGUUUUAAAUAGUUUAAAAAAUUUUCUAAUAAAAAUUCAAUUGAUUUGAAUAUUUUUACGCUAUUAAACGAGAAAACGCCUCAUAUCGACCAUUAAAAUUACAAAUUUUAAAAUCCUUUGAUAAUUAGGCAAAUGAUGUCGAAAAGAUUUGAAAUUUAAUUUCUAAACACUUCAAGUGGUAUAGAUUAUGUUCAACGGUGCCAUUAUCGAUUUGAAAGCUCCAUCAUCGAAAACAAAUGGGUGACAACGAAGCCCGUUUGCUAUCGAUAGUAUAUAUAUAUAUAUAAUAUAUAUAUAUUAUAUAUAUAUAUAUAUAUAUAUAUAUAUAUAUAUAUAUAUAUAUAUAUACUAUAGUAGCUAAUAUACUAUUAAUAGCACCAAGUCAUUGAUGCUACCAAGUUUUUGGCCAUUGGAUUAAGAGAAUGCGCUGUUUGGAUGAUGUUGGCCCCUUAGGGUUGACUUGGUGGUUGGUUGAAUAGUAUGAUCUAACAGGUGAAAAUGAUCAAAAAGAUAGAUCUAACGGCGGAAAACUUAGUAGCACCAAGUGCUUCGUACUAUUAAUAGCAUAGUAGCCGGACUCUCUCUCUCUCUCUCUCUCUCUCUCUCUCUCUCUCUCUCUCUCUCUCUCUCUCUCUAUAUAUAUAUAUAUAUAUAUAUAUAUAUAUAUAUAUAUUCGGCUACUAUGCUAUUAAUAGCACGAAGCACUUGAUGCUACCAAGCUCUCUCUCUCUCUCUCUCUCUCUCUAUAUAUAUAUAUAUAUAUAUAUAUAAUUGAGCUUCUACACUUUUAAAAGCUUUCGGUUAGUAGUGCUUUUAAGUUUUUAACCGUUGGAUGAAGAUUUAUAAGGUUAGGAUAAUAGUGAUCAUCUACUAGGGUUGAUCGUGGAAUAGCAUAAUCUAAAGAAUGAAAUUGAUCAAAGAGAUCGAUCUAAUGGUAGAAACUUAUAAGCAUGAUGCUUUUGCAAGCACUGUAGCCGGACUCUCUCUCUCUCUCUCUCUCUCUCUCUCUCUAUAUAUAUAUAUAUAUACUGGCUACGGUGCUUAUAAAAGCACCAAGCAUUUGGUGCUUGUCAAUUCUUUUUUUUAGAUCUACGCCUUUGAUCAUUUUCACUCGUUAGAUUAUACUAUUCAACCACACACUUACUUAACCCUAGGAGGCCCACAUCAUCCUAUGCUUGAUAAGAGAAAUAAAAUUAUGUUAGCGGGAAAGAUGAGACGAUAUUGUGAACACAAAUUGGUUUAGACUCGAAAUAAAUAUAUAACUACGUAAGUUAGCACCUUAGCAUUAGUCUCUCUUUUGCAAAUUAAUCUGUUGGCGCCGUAAAAUCGUGCUAAGUGGUGAACCGGAAUGCACCAUCAGCAUGGUUCUUGAAGUCAGGGAUAAGCAACAUAUGGUGCAUCAGGAAUUGAGAAAAACAUACUGAAAACUGAAAAGCAGUUAAUGCCUAUGCGAUUCAGAUCGGCUAGUAGUACCGACCGUCUAGAGAAAGUGGCAAAAGGCUUGAUGGUUGGUACUCGAGACCCAAAUUCGAAUCCUAGUUGAUUCACAUUUCUAGCUAAGUUUAUUUCUAAAUGAAAUAAACAAAGCUCGUAGCGUGCUACCUAUCUCUCUCAAAAAAAAAAANAAUCGGCUAGUAGUGGUCCGCGAAAUCAAUGAUGUGUCAGAUCAUGAGAAAAACGGGAUAAUAACGGACGAGAUUAUAAAUAAAAAAAAAAAAAGACACCUAACACAGGAGUCUUUUUCUCCUGAGAAACAAGGAGACCAAUUUCCUUUUUAUUAUAUUUUUUAUUUUUUAGGAGUAGUUUACAUAUGAUACCUUUUCAUUUUCUACAUUUACUGUCUUUUCUAGAAGUAAUUUGUAGAUUUAAUUUUUCUCUAAGACUGUAAGCUAUAGCAGUGCACCUUCUUCUAUAAAUAUUUUUUAACUUUAAGCAAUAUAUAAGCAUUUCGACUUUCAGCCGAAUCAGAAAUACUGUGCAGUUUCUGGACUCGGUUGAUCCAGCGGAACCAAAAAUACUGUGUAAUUUCUGAACUUGGCUGAUUCGAUUCCUUAUCAGCCGAAUUGCUUGAUUCGACAGUGGGCGCAAAUCUCAAGGAUCAUCAACAAUAUCUGCUCUGUCUCUUUGCGCUUUCUAAAAGAGAAUUGUGACUGAAUCAGCGGUCAAAAAAAUCAGCUUGCAGCAUAAUCAUAAAUGGCACCUGAUUUAUUCAUAUUUUUACACUAUUUAUAGGUCUAAUCAAAUGAUCAAUUUUUAUAAUAUAGAAAAGCAAUUUACUGAGUGAUAAGAUUGAAAUAUAAUGUAAAAAAAAAUCGAGGGCCGAUUGAUGCGGGAUGCAUGAUCCGACCCGCUAAGAAAACGUAAUGGGAACUGGGAAGUAAAAGAUUCCUCCCGUCCCUCCGAAUCCGCCCCGUUUGCAUGGUGCACCACCGGAGAAUGCGCAGUUUUAAAUAUUUUUCUCCAUUUGCCACGCGUCCGAUUCUCAUUCGCUGUGUCCGACCUUUCUACGUCACCGUACACUAAACAUCCUCCCACGUUUCGCAGUAAACACUCUGCAACUUCUUCGGUGCAACGGUUACACGGUCACGGACUUGCACCUCCUCACUACACCUCCGACAAGUGGGCCCCCCCUUGUCCGUUUCCCCCACUUCAAAACCCCUCGAACCCCUCCCCUCCCCUCCCUCGUGAGCUCUCUCUCUCUCUCUCUCUCUCUCUCAUGGCGUCGCGCGCUCUCCUCCUCGCUCUCGCGAUCUCCGCGUUCCUCCUCCUCUCCGCCUCCGGCGCCGGCGCGAACGGCGGCGCCGCCAACGACCUCGACGACGAGGACCUCAGCUUCCUCGAGGACGGCGACGAAGCCGCCCCCCACCACGGCUCCGAGGAACCCUCCUUCGGAGGCGACAGCGACGAGCUCGGGGACUUCGACCCCGCCGAGCUCGACGACGAGGAGGACGGCGUCGAGCCCUACUCGGCGGCGGGGGCGGGGGCCGAGAUCGACGAGAGCGACGUGGUGGUGCUCGCCGAGGGCAACUUCAGCGAGUUCCUCGCCUCGCGCCGCCACGUGAUGGUGGAGUUCUACGCGCCGUGGUGCAUGCACUGCCAGGCGCUGACCCCGGAGUACGCCGCGGCGGCCACGGCGCUCCGCGGCGAGGACGUGGCCCUCGCCAAGGUCGACGCCACCGAGGAGAAUGACCUCGCCCAGAGGUACGAGAUCCAGGGGUUCCCCACCGUGCUCUUCUUCGUCGACGGCGUUCACAGAGACUACCCCGGAGCAAGGAGCAGGUAACAAGCUUUGGAUCUGAUGCCUUCUCUCACUCGAUCUCCUCAAAUCCUUGUCAAAUUCGCAGUAGCUGUUGUAAUUUCUAAGCAGUUUUGCCCUAAUUUUGCUUCUUCCCAGGGUUUCUGCUCUAGAUCGACCCAUGAUAUUAUCAGGGACUAAUUAUGUGAGGGAUUUGGUUUUAAUUUUGCAGAGAUGCUAUAGUGACAUGGAUCAAGAAGAAGAUAGGCCCUGGAGUCCAGAAUAUCACCACAGUUGAUGAGGCAGAGAAGAUAUUAACUUCUGAAGAUAAAGUUGUUUUGGGCUUCCUCGACUCUUUGGUGGUAAUUUUAUAGAAUUGACUCCCUUUUAUCUUUUCAAUUGCAAAGAGGAUCAUACUGGAAUAAAGAAAAUGUACUCUUUCUUGUUAAAUUUUUCACAGAUAGUUGUUAUACUGUUGGAGCCCUAGGGAAGUGCCAAAUUGCAUUGUUUCGAAAGUUUGUUGUUUCGAUCUUUAAGGUUCCCGACGUUAUUUGGCUCAGAAUCAUCUUCUUGAUGUCUGCAGGGUGCUCACAGCGACGAGCUUUCUGCAGCUUCAAAGCUUGAAGAUGAGGUUAAUUUCUACCAGACUGUCAACCCUGAUGUAGCCAAGCUUUUCCACAUUGAUCCGAAAGAGAACCACCCGCCAUCUUUGAUAUUGCUGAAGAAGGAGGCUGAGAAAUUAGCCUACUUUGGUAUGCUUGUCUCCUAAGUGCUUCAACUUUCUAGGGUUCUAUGUCAUGAGAAAAGUGUAGGUAACUGCAUUGAUAUGACUGUUAUUCGAUAUGCAGAUGGAGAGUUCACUAAGUCUAGCAUUGCUGACUUUGUGUUUGCAAACAAGCUUCCAUUGGUGACCACAUUUACCAGGGAAAGUGCCCCUGCAAUUUUUGAUAAUCCUAUAAAGCAGCAGGUAAAUCUAUGUUGACUGCAUCAAACUACUGCCUUGCCGUUUAAUGCACAUUCUCUCGUGUCAAUGUAAGCAUGCCUUAUGUUUGACAUCUGUUCUUCUGUACUACUAUUAGAUUCUGCUCUUUGCUACAUCGAAUGAAUCUGAGAAGAUCGUGCCAACAUUCCAAGAAGCUGCAAAACUGUUCAAGGGAAAGGUAAGUGCCGAGUAUUCUGAUCUACCUCCUCCUUCAGAGUAACUCUGCAUAAUCACCUAAAACCCAAUAUUUGUCAAUUUAAUUAUGUGUUUCAUUCUUUGUAUAAUCUUUAUGAUGAAGCUUGACAUGUAAAAAUGUAGUUUUGGCCUUAUACAUAGCAUUGAGCCAUUUCUUCACUUAACAGCUGCUAACUUUUGUACUGGUGUGAUAUUUCAAGCGGUUUAUAUUUUUGACUCAUUUUACUUUAGCAUUGCUUACGUUGUGUCGAGUCAUGACUUAGUUCUGUUAUGUAUUUUGGAUGUCUUCCCAGAAAAAGGGAAGUAUCUGGUUGGAUCUUAUCUUUACUAGAUUCUUCAUAGCUUCCCAGAUUUCAAUUUCUCAGUGAAUACUUUAAUGCAAGGGAAUCCAGUGAAAAUCAAUCUUUUGUGAAGUGUAUUUGAUUAGUUCUAUACCGCAACGAUUCAAGUGAAGAGAGAUUCGGGUCGACUGUUAGGCGUGUUUGGUUCGAAGUCGGAAUCGGAAUUGGAAUGACACAUUACCUAAUUCUGUUUGGUUUAUCACCUGAAUAGGAAUCGGAAUAAAUCAUUCCCAUUGUCGGUGUUUGGUUCAGAUAAAUAUAAAAAACGUAAUCAGAUUAAUAUAUUAACUUUAUCUUUAUAAUAUAUUAAUUAAAAUUCAAAUUAAAAACUAAAUAUUAAAAAUUUACGUCAAAAUUUUGAAAUAAUGUCAAAAUUUUAAAUCUAUUUUUUUACAAAAAUUUAACUUUGAAGUUGAGUGGAUAAUUCGAAAUAUAAAACUAAAUUUCGAUUUAUUCAAAUUCAAAUUUAAAAUUAUAAUUUAAAUUUUAAUUUGAAUCCAUAAAUUUAAUUUAACUUUUAAAUAAAAUUUGAAUAAAACUUUAUAUAAAUUAAAAUUUAAUUUAAAUUCAAAUUCAUAAGUUAGAUUCGAAAUACUUGAUUAAAUUUUAAUUUUUAAUUCAAGUUCAAAUUAAAAUUUAAAAUUUAAAAUUUAAUUUCUAAAUUUAAACUCAUACUUUAAUUAAAAAAGUUGAAAAAAUAAAUUUGAUCCAAAAAAAUAUCUAUUCCGUCCGGAUUCAACUUCUAAUACGGCUCGGGAAUCGGAAUCGGAAUGGUACUCCCCCGUACCAAACACCCACAAACGGAUUCGCCCAUUCCGAUUCCGAUUCCAGGGUGAAAAAGAAGUGAACCAAACACGUCCUUUGCUUUAUUAAUCAAAGUUGGGUUAGGUACAUUUUGUUCACCCAUCCUCCUUGAAUGUACUUGUUCUCAAUGUUGGAAGCUACAACAGAAUCUGUUACUUCUGGAUCUUUAGCCAUCAGUUGUGAUUUAUGUUCGAAAUGUUGGCACAUUGCACUACCAAUUGGGCUUCCACUUUUUGUUGGAGUUUUAGCACAAGGCUUAUUUUGCACCUAAUUACUUAUUUGGGCAAUCUGAAGCUUUUCAUUGGACAUUUAGUUUACAACUCUUCAACAUAAAAUUAAUUCUCUCUACAUGACUAAACAUAAAUGAAUUAGAAAGUUAUUAGGAAUCUAACGUAUGCUCAGACAAGUCAAUCAAAGGGGGUUCUUAUUGGCAUGACUCUCAGAUUGUUAACUAGAGUUGCUGGGUGCUUCAUUGGACUACUUUCUGGUUGACCACGGUCAACUGCUGGGUCAGCUAGCCCUUAUUUUUUUGGGUGGUUGCGCUGGAGAUAGUGUGCCAGAUAAACACAUUUGGUGUGCUGCAACGUUUUCUCCUUAAUAUCUGUACGUGGUUGAUUCAAUUGCCAGCCAUUUGGCUGAAUUUGAAGAGAGUUCUUUGUUGCGUUCAACUCUCACUGAAUGCAGUAGUUGCGCUCUUUUCAUGUGAUCCUGUACCCUUGAAAUAUUUCUGUGUAAGGACAGUACAUUCUUGUCAUGCGAUCACGUCCAUAAUUAUUUCCUUUUCCUGUUUCGAAGUCAUUAAACUGCUUUAGAAGCUUGAUCGUCAGGUUUUGUAAAUUGAUGUACGGUAUAUGUUUGUAGCUUGCUCUGAGAUACCUAUGAUUUUGUUGCAGCUCAUCUUUAUUUAUGUGGAGAGGGAUAAUGAGGAUGUCGGUGUACCAGUUUCAAAUUACUUCGGUGUGACUGGAGAUGGUCCUAAAGUAAUAUACUCUUCUCUCUUCUUCUUCCGAUUAUUCGAACAUAUAUUAUUGUGCCUUUGUGCUGCUGGAUAAAUUUCAUCAUCUGAUUAACACAAUUAUGUAGGUUUUGGCAUACUCAGGAAAUGAAGAUGCCAAGAAAUAUAUACUCGAUGGUGAGCUAUCAUUGGACAGCAUAAAGGUUUGUAUUCCAUUACUAUUGCAAAGUGAGCAUACAUCAUUUUUUUCCUCUUUGAUUAGUUUUAAAUAGAAAAGAUGGAUAAGGUCUUUUCUUUACUGCAGAAAUUUGCCGAGGGUUUCUUGGAAGACAAGCUGAAGCCUUUCUACAAAUCUGACCCCAUUCCUGAGACUGUAAGUGCCCAAAAUUAUCCAACUCUCGUUUAUUUCUUCCCUAGUUCUAUUUUUCUUUUCUUUUUUUCCUUAUUUUUUUCUUUUCCAUUUUCAACAUUUGCAUAGAACGAUGGUGAUGUGAAGAUUGUUGUUGGGAACAAUUUUGAUGAGAUAGUUCUCGAUGAAUCCAAGGAUGUCCUCCUAGAGGUAAGUCAUUCCUCAGUAAUCAAUAGCGAACAUCUUUAUUCGUUCAGCGUAAUAUAACUUAAUACCGUUAUUCUUUUUGUGGGUUUGGAUGAACCAGAUCUAUGCACCAUGGUGUGGGCAUUGUCAAGCAUUGGAACCGGUUUACAACAAGCUCGCCAAGCAUCUCCGCGGCAUUGACUCUCUAGUCAUCGCAAAAAUGGACGGCACCACAAAUGAGCACCCUCGUGCCAAGGUCUUGCCUCUCACUCAAUAACUCUCUCUCUCUCUCUCUCUCUCUCUCUCUCUCAGUAUUGAGAGAUUAGGAACAGAAUCUAGAAAUGGAACUCUGAACAUUCCUCUUUGGCUUAUUUUUCAAAUAUUUUCAUAAACUGGAGAAUGUUGUCAUCAAUCCCUUGAAUCUGAAUGUGUUUUUCUGUUCAUACGUUCCAGACCGAUGGCUUCCCGACUCUGCUCUUCUUCCCAGCAGGGAACAAAAGCUUUGAACCCGUAAGUUUAAUAAUCACUUUGUAUCAACCAUUCGCAUCAUAUCAGUAUCAUCAUUAUCAUGCUCAGCUCAGUAGUUAGUUCCCUGUCUCACUUUUCUGCAUUUUGUACAGGUCACGGUCGAUACAGAUCGAACGGUGGUGGCGUUCUACAAGUUCAUAAAGAAGCACGCCUCGAUCCCAUUCAAGCUCCAGAGGCCGGACUCGGCAACAAAGUCCGAGAGCACCGCCGCUGGCGAUUCCUCUGCAGUGGAGAGUGAGAAGAGUACCAGCUCUGACGUUAAGGACGAGUUGUAGAGAGAGAGAGAGAGAGAGAGAGAGAGAGUGAUAGGGAGCUAUUCUAGGGUUUUUUUUGUCAGGGAAGGAUGAUGUUCUUUUAAGUUAUCUGAGCAGGUAUUUAAAGAGCUUUUCGGCGUAGCAUUAGUUGCCCGGGAAAUGUGAUCUCAAGAGUAGUUUAUCUUGAUACACCUCCUGUAAGAUAAGGAAACUGGAAACUAAUAAGAGUGUCAACUCUCCGUUUUUCACUUACUAUUCUCAUGAAGAUUACAAAAACAAGAACUUGCAAGCAGCAGGUGAUCGAACAUUGUUAAUGAGGAGCAAUUGAUCCAUCAAGCAGAGGACUGGGCCAAUCAAGAUCGAUUAAUCGAGAACCUGAGGUAAUCCAACUCCCAAAUUAUCGAAUUGAGACAGUUUAAAGGUGGAGUGUUCGAAAAGGCUUAUUUUUUUUUUUUUAAAAAAAAUUGAAUGGUCAGAAACCAAAAUAGGAUGAAGAACGAAUCAUCCUAAAUAACUUGAAUUUGAACCCAACCCAGGCACUGAUCGUCAAACUUUUGCCCUGGCUUUAGGUGAUACUGAAAACGUAAAAGAACAAAAUCUGAACCCACAAACAGAUCGUCAAACUUUUGCCGCGAUUUUCCGUGAUACUAAGAACAUAAAAAGAACAACAAGAAAAAACAGAUCGUCAAACUUUUGCCGCGAUUUUCGGUGAUAUAAAGAACAUAAAAAGAACAAAAAGAAAAAGAAGAACAAAGAGGAGUACGUGAUGCAGUCAACUGGGUUGCUUUCAGCAAAGCUAACGGGGAAUGCAAAAUUAAAAAUGGAAAAGCCUCUACUUUCAGCAUCCAACUUUUCUUUUACCAGAAGAAUGAGCUCUAAAAAAAAUAAAAAGUUAGCAUGCAAAUUCACAACACCUCUUCUUGCGCAAGUUAGAGAUGCGGUAUACUUUAUUUGAUAAUUAAUAUUUAAAAAUUAAAGAUUAAUUGACUAGAUUUAUGCUAUAACUUUUGAAGUUAUUUCAUACAUAUAAUAAAAAAGUCUAGAAAAUUUUAGAAUAUAGCAGCAGGACGCCGCCGUUCAAUUCCUAAUAAAUGAUGUUUCAAUUUUUUGAUCAUUGAUGUACAAGCCUUUUGAGUAUUAUUAAAAAAAUAUAUCUAUUCAAUAAUUAAAUUCUAAUUCUACGAAUUCAAUAAUAAGUUUGAAAUAUACGACUUAUCCGUCGAUACGAUAACUUUACUAAAACUUGGAGAGUUUAAAUUUUUUAAAAUAAUAUAUAUAUAUUUAAAUGAGACGGAUAGCGUACUAUUUUUUCUGAAAAAAAAGUUAUUUUUUUUUUUUUUUUUUCAGAGCAAAAUAAAAAAUUUGCAGAAGCUUGAAACGUGAAAACAUGUCAACGACAGAAAUGCACGAGAUCCAAUUAAUAUAUAAGCAUAUGAAAAUAGGAGGUCAACGCCUCACUCAAUCCAGUGUAUCCUCACUCCUCGUGAAUAAUUAAUAUUUUAAAAUUAAAGUUUAAUAUGACAGAUUCAACGUUCUACACCAUCUAAAAACUUAUAUAUAAAAAUUAUUAUUAUUUAAUUUGUAAGAAAUAAAGCUUCAAAAUUUAUAAUAUCUUUGUAAUUUGUUGCUUGGUUACGAAGACUCGAAGAGGAAAGGCGAAAAUGUCUGUGAAUCAAAUUGUGCUGUAGUUGAGGGGUCUCCAUGCAAUUGUAUCUAAUAUUAAAAAUUAGGAUUAAUUUUGUAUCAGUCCCUGCAAACAAAAUGAAUGAUAAAUAUAUCUCUACAAAGUUCAAUUUUCAUAUAUUGUCCCUAUAAAAAUUUUCAAAUAUAUCUUUUUGGUUUGUUACCAUUCUUCGUUUGAUUCGGAUAUAAGCAAGAACUAGUUAUACCGGGGAUAGAUACAAGUAUGGAUUUUAGUAGGAAUAAGGGUAUUUUUUUAUUUGGAUGAAAAUGUGAGUAUAAGCUGGAACUAGAAAAAUUGUGUUUGGAUAAAAAUGUAAGUAUAAGGUGGAAUAGUUGGUAGUUAUAAAUAGAAAAUAAUGAUAUUACUCCUAUAAUUGAAUUUACAUUUUUAAAUUUAUAAUUUUAAAUUGAAAAGUUUAACUUUUAAAUUUUAAAAUUUGAAAUUAAAAUUUAAAAUUUUAAUUUUAAAAAUUUUAAUUUUAAAUAUCAAAUUUUAAAUUUAAGACCAAAUUUAAAUUUGAAAGAUAUAAAAUAUCAAAUUUAAAAUUUAAAAACUAAAAAUAUCAUAUUUAAAAUUUAAAUUUUAAAAAUUUUAAUUUUAAAUAUCAAAUUUUAAAUUUAAGACCAAAUUUAAAUUUGAAAGAUAUAAAAUAUCAAAUUUAAAAUUUAAAAACUAAAAAUAUCAUAUUUAAAAUUAAAAUUUUAAAUUUUAUAAUUUUAACUUAUAAAUUUUAAAUUUUAAAAAUUUAAAUUUUAAUUUAAAACAAAAAUUUCUCUCUCUCUCUCUUUACCCGAGGGUGGGAACAAGCUUGUUCCCACCCCUAUACCGGAUUGUACCGGGUAGGUAGGAACAAGUGUUCCCACCCACCAAUAAAAGUGUUUGGGUAUAAGGGGGGAUAACCUCCUUAUCCCCCUCUUGUACCCAAUCCAAACACCCUCUGCGGUAUCGUUUGGUUCGGAAAUAAACAAAAAGUGACUAUUCCAGAAAUAAAUAUAAAUUGAGGUAUAAACGGGGAUUAGAUCAAUUUUGCUUUCGGAUGAAAAUUGGGUUAUUCCUGAGAAUAAAAAAAAUAGCAUUUGGUUAGGUAAGAUGGAAUAAGAAAGAUAGUGAAUUUUUAUAAAUAAAAAAAUAAUGAUAUUGAUCUUUUAUUAUAUUUAAAUUUGAAUUUUUAAAAUUUUUAAAAUUAAAAUUUUAACUUUGAAAUUUCAAAAUUUGAAAUUUAAAAUUCUUUUAAAACUAUUNAUAUCUUCGUAAUUUGUUGCUUGGUUACGAAGGCUCGAAGAGGAAAGGCGAAAAUGUCUGUGAAUCAAAUUGUGCUGUAGUUGAGGAGUCUCCAUGCAAUUGUAUCUAAUAUUAAAAAUUAGGAUUAAUUUUGUAUCUGUCCCUGCAAACAUAAUGAAUGAUAAAUAUAUCUCUACAAAGUUCAAUUUUCAUAUAUUGUCCCUAUAAAAAUUUUCAAAUAUAUCUCUUUGGUUUGUUACCAUUUUUCGUUUGGUUCGGAUGUAAGCAAGAACUAGUUAUAGCGGGGAUAGGUAUAAGUAUGGAUUUUAGUAGGAACAAGGAUAUUUUUUUAUUUGGAUGAAAAUGUAAGUAUAAGCUGGAACUAGAAAAAUUGUGUUAGGAUAAAAAUGUAACUAUAAGGUGGAAUAGUUGGUAGUUAUAAAUAGAAAAUAAUGAUAUUACUCCUAUAAUUGAAUUUAAAUUUUUAAAUUUUAAACUUAUAAUUUUAUAUUGAAAAUUUUGAACAAGCUUGUUCCCACCCAUACCCGAUAUGGGUACGCGGGUGGGAACAAGCUUGUUUCCACCGACCCAAAUGGUGUUUGGGUACAAGAGAGGGAUAACCCCUUUAUCCCCCUUCUUAUAUCCAAUCCAAACACCUCCUUAGAAUUAAAGAUAUCCGUGGACGAGGUCAGAUCUAGAUAGUUGAUAUACUAUACCCGUACCCUAAAAAAAUAUGGAUACGAAAAAAAAAAACUAUACCCUACCCAUUUGACUUCGGAUCGGAUCCGUGUCUAGGUACUUAAAUUACUAAUAUACCCAUCGGGUCUAUUUGAGCGGAUCUAAAUAGUAACUAUCCGUAUACUAUUCGCUUAAAAUCAAAUACGGCUCGGAUUUAGAUCGAGUACGGAUACCCAUAUACAUAUAUUUUUAAUUUAUAAGUCCUAUUGAAAUUGAUUCCUCAACUUCAAAUUUUUUUAUUUACUAUCGGGUAUUUCACUGGUUCCAAAUCUGAAUCUGGUUCCGGGUCCGAAUUUGAAAUAUCUUCCGGACCCUACUCAUUAAAAGGUUGGGUUCGGGUCCGAUCAAAGUCGGGUAUGGAUAUAAACUAUCCGGAUCCAUACCCGGAACUUAAAUGAAUAUUUUUUUACCUAUAUACCAUCCAUUUUUUAUCAGGUCCGAUUCGGAUCCGAGUAGGGUCUAAAUAGGAUACAGUAUAUCGAAUAUUUUGGACAGCUUUACUUAGGAUUGAGAUAAAUACACUAGCCAACAAUAUAUAUUUUGCUUUAGACUUUUAAUUGAAAUGCUAAAAUACAAAAUCCUUUUGUAAGUACCUAAUUUUUCACCUUUUUUAUUUUAAAAAAUCGACAAUUUAGUCUCUCNAACAAUUAAUAAAAAUAAUUUAUUAUAAUAAAUUUAUAAUUUUUUUAAAAUUAUACUUAAACUUAAAUUUAAUAAAAAAAUUUAUUAUAAUAUUUAAAUAUAAAUAAUAUGUAUUAAUAUAGUACAAUUAAUGAUUUUAUAAUAAAAAUAAUGUAUUAUAAUAUAUAACAUAUAAUAUUUAUAUAAUUUAGUUUUAAUUCAAUUUAUAAUUUUAAAUAAGUUUGAAAUUAAGUAUUGGAAUAGCACUAGCAAAUCCUUGCUAUUCCGGAAUAACCGGAAAUAGCAAGGUUUGACCGGGAUAAAAUAUUCCGGUCAAAUUUUAUCCCGUUUGGCGGAAUAGCAGGGAUAAUUUUCGUUAUCCCCGUAUCACAAAUAUGUUUCUUCAAAAAAUAUAACAGUAUAAUAUAAGAGAGAUAAAGUUGUCAAAAACUAAACAAGAUUAAGUAUUUAAUCCAUGGUUAACUAAAUUUUUCUAACAAAUUUUAACGACAGUGAUAUAUUUCUAAAUAUCAGAAUUUUUGUAAGAAUCAUAUAUAAAAAUUAAAUUUUAUAGAAAUAUAUUUGUUAUUUCCCUGUAUUUAUAGAAAUAUGUAUGGAAUUAAUCCUAAAAAUUAUUAUUAUUAAACACCACCUCAUUCUCCUCUCUUUCUACUCUGGCGUAGAAAUCUCCAUAGACUCGAAUCCCAACAAUAACGGCGCUUCCUUAUCCCUAGCGGUAAUCUCACUCUUACUCUCACCGCCCCAGCUGUACUCCCCAUCCAAGGCGGUGACCACACCGCACCCCACCCCACCCGCCUAUAUAUAUGUGUAUGUAUGUACACGCCGCAUUUGUACCCUGUGAUCUGGUUCUCCGACGACGACGACGACGACGACGACGACGACGACGACGACGAAACCCUAGCGAGCUCCGACAAUGGCGACAUUGCUCCCUCUCCUCUUCCUACUACUACUAUCGCCCGAUCUCCUCUCCUUCGCGCAGAUCUCGCUCCCUCCCUCCGCCGAAGCCCCUUCCCUUUCCCUCCCCCCGUCCGCGUCGGCCCCUUUCUCACACCUCUCGCCCCCCUCGCCGCUUCCACACUCGCCCUACUCAUCCCCCGCGCCGUCUCCGACACCGCCGGGGCCAUCGCCUUCCCCAUCGCCGGCGCCGGGGCGGGAGGAGAUCAAGGCCGGGGGAGGCGGCGGCGAGGCGGAUCAGGGGGAGGACGACAAGGGGGGAGGAGGAGGAGAGGAGCGCAAGGGGAUGAGCGCGGGGAGGAAGGCGGGGAUCGUGGUGGGGGUGGCGGCGGCGGCGGCGGCGGUGGGGCUCGGCGCCGCCGUGUACAAGAAGCGCCGGGACAACAUCCGACGUUCCCGCUAUGGCGGCGGCGGCGGCGGCGGCGAGUACUACGGAGGUAGGGUUGAGAUGAUUUGAUCUCCUCCUCUUCGCCUUCGUGUUCUUCGUCUUCGUCUUCGAUCUCGGUCGCAUAGGUUUUUGUUAUGCGUUCGUUCGUCUGCUCGUUUUCGGAUCUUUUCUACUGGGAGUGGACGAUGAGAAAAAAAAAAAAGGUACGCUUAUUUAAUAUUUUCAUCGAAAUUAUUUUUGAUUCGUUAGCUAUUACUUGAGAUGUGGUGUAGUGAAAGUGGAAUUUAUAGGGUUUAUUACUAUUGUUAUUAUUAUUAUUUUGGCAUAUGAAUUUGAAAUUUCGUUGGGAUCAGUUUAGAUCUGAAUGGUGGAUUACAAUUAUACAGGUUCUUAAUUGUGACGAGUUAUUCCUUUUUGUUAUAUAUUUACUUAAAAAAGAAAAAAAACAGAAUGAGUUAUUAUGCGCUCCCUUUGAAUGAUGUGAAUGCAAGGUGGGCGGAUUAUUAGGCACGUGAGACGCAUGUUAGGGGAAUGUGGAAAUGCUUUGUGUGUGAGUGUGUUUGGGUGUGAUUUGUUCAUCAGUUUUUCAUUUUCAUCCCCACUUGUUUAGUGGUGUUAUUAUUUUAUUAUUAUAAUAAUAAUUAGGAUAGAUUGUUGUUUUGGUCUUCAAACUUUGAAAUGAGUAAUAACUUUGUUUUCAAACUUUAAUUUUUUUGUUAUAAUUUUUAUUUAAAAAUUUUAAAUUAUUAUAAUUAAAUUUUAUAAUUUAACUUAGUUGACUAUAUAUUAAUUUUUUUCCAACAAAUUAAAGCUUACAUGUCGAAAUGUCGCUCACCCUAAGGAUUGAGGACGAAAAAGUAUUAUUAUUAUUAUUGCUGUAACUUAUUUUGCUCGUACCGUUCAGAAAAACUUUGGUUUACGAGGGAACUCAUCUAAAUUAAGAUAGUUUGAUUAAUAUUAUAAUAUAUCAGAUAAAGCAAUUUACUUCAAUCAAUUGGAUGAACUGUUCAUCAUCUGGGUACCAACUGUAGCAAUAGAUACUGCAUUUUAUUCAAUUUAUUUUAGAAAGCAUAAGUUUGUAAUUGGGUUGAAUUGUCGGGUUUGGGACUUAAUCCGACCCAAUUUACAACCCUACUUGGACCAUAAGUAAACCCUCUUCUCUUUGAGUGUACGUGUUAGCUAACCCAUCAACCGAAGUGAAAUAGUGUGCAUUAGAUUUGGGUUGGGUCUCACCAUAAAUUAAUAAUAGAAUCAUGGACCUCUGAUCGAAGAGUUACAGGUGCAUUCCAUUAAAUUUGGUAGGUAUUUGUUGAUUGAAUUUGAUUAUUUUCAGCGAAUGCGAUUCUUUACUAAUUUGUUUGGCGUUACCUUUUUUAUAUUAUUAUAUAAUAUAUUUCUAUUCUUCCAAUGAGUUCUACAUUUUGCAUAGAUCACUUUAGUCACUCUAAUUGUUCAGAUUGCUAAUUAAAAAAGAUCUUAAAACUAUUAGGACGUCACAUAUUCUUCCGUUAGGAUUUCUUCGUCAAUCUCAAUCAUGCAUGUACUUUAGGAUUACAAUAAUAAGAUUUGGAACUAUGACAUUACAUGCGAUUUACUUUAUGCCACUCGGUUAGUUUCAAUCACGCAUAUAGUUUAAAAUUAUGAGAUUUAGAAUGAUAUGAUGACAUGAGACCUAAUUCUAUGCGGUUGAUAAUUUAGCUCUGAUAUCAAAUAUGUCGAUCCAGUAACUAACUUAAUUCUAAUAGCCUAUUGAAAUAAUUAAGCCAGAUUAUUAAAUCCAAGUCAGGUGCUGGAAUACUUAACCAAGCGUUGCGAGAUGUGAGAUGUUCACUCGGUGCCAAACAAUGUCUCUUUCUUCUGUCCAAGAUGGUAUUUUAUGGUCAUGAAGCAUUUGGUUAGAAAAUAGGGAUAGAAAUAGUCCCUUAUCCCUCUUUAAUAUCCAAACGUUAAUUUUUUAUUCGAGAAUAAUAAUUCUCGGUUAUCCUCACCAACACCUUUAUUUUCUAUAUAAAACUAUCUAAAAUUAUUUUUAUCCCCGGAAACAAUCCAAUUUUCAUUCAAACACUAUUUUUCUUAUCCCUAUACUUGUAUCUAUCCCUAUAAUAGCUAGUUCUUACUUAUGCCUGAACCAAACGGUAAAUGGCAGUGUACCCUUAAUUCAACCCAACAAAAAAAAAAAAAAAAAGGUGUGGAAAAAUAACUAUUUUUUGAAGUUCAAAAGAGUCCACUUGUUUACACCCGUUAGCCUAGUUGAUCCACCAUGUGCGCGUGUUUUCAGAAAUUUAAUCUUUGAAAAAAGCGUAUGAACAAUAGCUCAUUUUCCUUGUACCUAACAAAUUGCUAAACCAUUUUUUUCUUUUUUCUUUUCUUUUUUUCAUCUAGUGUUAUAAACUAUUGCAUUAUGCAUGGUGACUAACCAAAUUAUAGCACAUUUUAAAAUGGCCGGGCAAGUAUACAAUUUUGUAUGAGCAUUCUCUUAAUUAAUUUUUAAUUUUCCGAAGAAAUAUAUGGAAUUCACUAACUCAAACUGUGAGUCUAAUUAUUUUUUAGCAAUUUAUUGGACCUUCCAUUGCACCAAAGAGUUGAAAUAGAUUAAAGUGGCAGAGCACGUUUCUUCCAACGAACUCGACAAAAUGAGGGAUUGAGAGUGGAGUAAAUUCCGGGAUUGCUUCUAUCAAACCGCUGCUAUUCAGUACAAACCUGACCAUGGACCUGUUUGUUUGUUUGGACUUCAGAGGUUAAACUCGUGAUUUUGAAAAAGUCACAGAUAUUGGUGUUUGUUUCGGUACCGAAGUUGCAAGAUCACUCCCACUCCCCGAUGGGUCAUUCAACUUCAGUAGCAUUGGCGGCGUGGGGAAGGCGAUUUCACGUGAGUCGCAAAUUCCUCGCUCUCCGACAAUCCACUUCCAAAAGGCCUCUUAAACUUGCCAACAAGUCCCAGGAAAAGCCUAAGACUAUAUUUUAGAUCAUCUAUAUACAGAUUAACAACUAACUAAGAUGGUCAGCUUCUUGAACCUAAUUCGAAUGAUCAAUUCACUGGUUGGUGCAUACCGGACAUUAAAGCUUGCGAUUGCGAAGUCUUGCUACGUGUAUUGGAUCGUCCCAAGAACAAAAGAUAUUAGUUGAGCUAUCGAGCUCAGGCGCCAACCAACUGUAGUUUAGCUGGUUAAAGACUUAAUUUGAAACUGAUCUGCUUUUAUUGUUUUUAAAGGCCCAAAAAUCCCAAAAUUUUGAAGUGUUUUUAAUCUUCUAUCCUCCAAUGCAUAAAGAUUAGCUACACAUGCCUAGAUACGGAGGUCUAGUAAAGGGCCUAGAGAAAAACUCAUAUUUAUUGCAUAAAGAUAUUACCUACAUAUGCCUAGAUAUGGAUUCGGAUUGGUUUAGAUGUUAAGACUAGAGAGAGUAAUGUUGAAGAGAGAGUUUAGCUACUCAAUAGGUAUUAGGGUCAUGAGGAAUGGUACGAUUAUUGUUUCGGAUCAUUGGUGCUAAUCAUUAAUUACAAAAAUCCGAGCUGUUAGAAAAAUGCAACCAAUUCAAAGCAUACAGAUACAACAUCCAAAAAUCUCGAUUAUGAUUCGGCCAAAUAAGUCUCCUGCCACUUCGAACAUGACUUGGCCCAAUCCGACCAGCCACCAUUUCCAACAUGAUUCGAACUAUAACUCAGUCUCCCGUUAUAGGGCAGGAUGUUGGCCCUUUUAAGUCAACAGAUUGAAUUUAACGAACGAGAUUUUCCAGUAUAAUCGCAACCUCUCAGGCGGGAUUUGAUAAUUCGACCCAACAAGAUCAUCUGAUCUACCCGAUUCAUUUCCCAAACUCUCACGAGCCCCAACACCUCUGAAUCGCUAACCCCUCAUCCAACAUCGCUCAACACGGUUUUAUCCAAUCCAAUCUAAUCCCAAGAGUAAGACCCUCUAUUAUAAACUGCAGCGACAAUGGCAUACGCAUGUAGAGAGCAAAUUUUUAUGCAUAAACAUCAUCUGUGCCUUACUGCUCUAAUUCAUAAAUCGGAGAAUCAUUUGAGUUAUUCGUGACUCGGAAUAAAUAAAUUUUACGUAUAUCUAUUCUCGAAACAGAUCAACUAGCAAGGACGGAGGAAUAACUCUUAGGAAACAAGAAAAAAGCCGCAGUUUUACCUCUCAAGAAGCAUGACCAUCUCGCAGUGAGGAGUGUGAGGGAACAAAUCGACGGCCAUCGCCCUAACAGGCUGGAAUGGCUCGGAAUUAGGCAUGGAUUUUGUACGGUACCUAGCGAGACCGGCACUGCUCAUGUUCCGCCACCCUCUAUUGCCUUUCUUCUUCUCCGGUCUGUCGGCAGUUGGCGUGCAAAGCUCGAUUGCGUUCGCCACCAAGCUCUCCGGAUUGCACGAAAUAUACCUAGUGAAGGAGAAAAAUAGAAAUGUCAAAAAAAGUAUCUUUGAAAUACAUUAUCAACAAAAGUCUUAUACAUGACUAUGGAAAACUAUAAAUUUCUUCUUAGGGAGCUAAGAUGUGGCGCUUACACAAGUCGCCGAAUACGUGGAUGAGUCCUAAGAGCUUUGAUCACCUGGAAAUCAUUGGAAGUGUGAUAUUAAUAUUACCCGAACAUGCCAAUGUGCAAAAUGAAAUACUCGCUGACAAUGAGCAACUUUAAUUCCUUCGUUAAUCAUAAACAGAAGAUUUUUACAAUAAAAGAAGCAGAACUGCAACAAAAAGGUGCAACAUGCACAGAGUUACCAAGAAAUUACCACAGGGUGAAGUCCAACUCGUGGAGGAUCAACGAUAGCAACAACUUUCUUGAACUGGCGCACAGAAGAAACAUCUGCCACUCCUUUCUCUUCGGAAACAUUGUUGCGCUCUGAAGUGUUCUCCUGAAUGGUGUUGCCGAGCCCAUUAGUGCAACUUCUCAAGAUUCCAUCAUUAUUUUCAUCAUCUUUUUCAAUAUUCCCAUGACUUUCUUCAGUGCUGUCUUCCAUUUUUUGGUCGUUCUUAUCCUCCAAACUUGCUGGCACAUCCUCACCACUGUUCUCUGUGGCAUUGUUGUCUUUCUCUAUGGUAUCAGUUUCUGAGACAUCAUUAGAAACUAUGCUAUCCUGCUGAGGUGCUCCAAGAUACUCUUUGAGCAGAGACCCCAUCACAUCCUCUGCCUGUUAAUACCCAUCAUGGAAAUAUAAGAUUAUUUCCGCAAUAAAAAGAAUGAAGCUGAAGUACUUUGAGAGAAGAAUACAUCAAAUGCCGUGACGUUGAGAACUAAUCUCUAAGUUUUAACACCACAAAAUCACGAAACAUUUUACUUAUUCCCUCUAUGGGAGCAAAAAGUCUACUUUUAAGUGUUCAAUGACAAACAAAAAUACUCUUGAUUAGGCAUGAAAUGCCUAACAUUGAAUUUGUAAUGCACAAACUUGAAAUUUUACUAACUAGACACAUAAUCACAAGGCAAGCCCAAAAUAUUAGACGUUAGCUAUAAAUAUCACAAUGAAUUCAGUUGCAUUUCUCCAAAUAAUAAUUUGCUUCUGUAUUGGAGUCAUCCGGAAGAUAUUCUUGGUAUUGAUACAAUCAAAUUCUCAAACUCAUGGGCAGACUCAUUAUUUUUACACUAGAUUUCGGAAAUAAAAUCACGUGAACAAGUAAUAUAAACUGCUAGCAGGUGAUAUUAUUGUACUAAAAACAUGUUUGACAACAUAUGGUAAAAUUACAUAUAAGGUUCUCCUUCAUUCUGCUUUCAUGCACAAAUAAAUAUAAACCUAUCUUUGAGUAAUGUUCAAAAAAACAUAUCAACUGACUCUAAUGAAAACGGCUAAUAUGUAUGUACGCCUUUUCCUUUUCCAGUUUUCCUAUUCCAUCAUCUUCCUCAUGCACUUACUUUGAAAGCAUCCAAAAUAACACAGUUCACAACAGCAACUAGAAACUAAGAGAAUGAAUUGUUAUCAUUCUCUCCACAACCGAUACAGCAAAGCAAGUCAAAAGUGAAUCCUUGGGAUUCCAAAAUUAGUAACUUACAUAGCAUCAAACCGAAAAAAAAAAAAGUUGCAGUUAAGGAAAAGAAACUCCUAAGAGUAAAACUCACCUUUCCAGACACAAACCUACAAUUUUUUAUGCCAUUAAUCACUGCAUUUCUCUUUGCAUCUGAUACCGCUGAUUCAUUCAUUUCAAUGCCAACAACCUGCAUACGAAUAGUAGAAAUUUAUCAAUCGGAAUGAACAAUCAAGAACAAAUUACAAGGAAAUCUCACCACCUCUGAGAUCAAUAUUCUAGCUUCAAGAUACAGUUAAGAUAGUAAACAAACUACUAAGGUUAUGCUGCACAAAAUAUGAGGCUCCAUAUUGAGCAGAUGAAAUGAACUGAUCAUUCUACCGAGACAAAUUAGAAAACUACUAUAAUAUUAUUUGUGACAAAUAAACCAGAGGGAAUAUUAGGUUUCUCAUACAUGCAGCAAAAGUACUGCCUAAGGCAGCUUAAAUUAGAACCACAAAAUCACAUUCACAAAACAAAGGGCACCAGAAAAAUGAGUGGUUCCAAUGUAAACAACCGAAUGAUGAAAGUGAAUGAGAUCUUCUAGCUGUGUUGAUAAGAAAGCAAAUACUAAGAAAAGACAAACCUGCAAUUUUAAUCAAAGAUUUAGCCCAGGCCAGAGAGGCUACUUAAAAGUGGGGGAAAGAAAAAUCAAAGAUGAGUACCAUUCCAACACGGUGUGCUAAAGUAAGGCCAAUAGCUCCUGUCCCACAACAUAUGUCAAAGAGCAAUGUAUCCGGACUCAGGUCAGCCCAAUCACCAGCAAGGCUAUACAACCUUUCUGCAGCAAGAGUAUUAACCUGUAGACUUGUGAGUGGAAAAUGCACAUUUUUCUAAUCAAUCAAAAAAAAAAGCGACUCAAAAGAAUAUAGUGGAGUUUCUAACUUGAAAGAAUGCUGUUGGUGAUAUAGAGAAGCGGAGAUUGCUUAUGUAAUCAUGAAUCCUUCCUUCAGCGAUAUCAAGCUUUUCUGAACUAGCUUGUCCUUCCAUUUUUGGCACCAGUAGUGGAAUCAACGGACAAUCAGCUGGUGCGGCAUUUGAUAUUCCUUUGUGAUCCUGCAUGAUAAAUAUUAAGUUCUCAUAGCAGUAUCAAUAAAAAGUAAGACUCAGAAUUAUCCUUCUAACAUUGAAACAAGUCUGAAAACAAAAUGGAGAGAAUUAUUCUUCUAAAAGUGAGAGCCCACCUGCACAAUUAUGGUUGUUAGAGGUAGUGGAGGAGCUGAUGCAGCUGCUCCGUGUACAAGAGCCAUGGACAACUUGGCAAAUUCAUUUUUCAUCACAUCUUCAUCAACUUCCGUGGAACAGACCUGCAUAACAGUAGUAACAUAAAUUCAUAAUGCAAGAUAAAAUGACUAAACAUGUUCCAAAGUUGAGGCCUUUAAAAGUUUAUUUUAUUUUACAUUACUGAAUUGUGUUUUUCUUUAUCAGAGAAUACAUAGAAUUUUCUGCCUCCAACGAAUUACUUGAGAAAAAAAUUUUGAUACAUUAAUGGAGAGAUUUGUACAUGUAUAUAGUGCAAUGUGCGGAAAAACAAUACCUAAACUGUACAAAUUUGAGCUUUUCCAGUAAGAUGAGUUAACCUGAAUGAUAAGCAUGACUUCUGCUAUUUGGAUCUCGGCAUUUUCAGCAGUAGCAAGUUGACCAGGAACCCUUCCCUCUCGGACCUAAUUAGGAACUCCAAGAGAAUAAGAAUCUGCAAUCUCAUCUCAAAAAGAUGUAAAUAAUUAUGCACUUCCAAACUGUAGAAAAGCAUACCGUAAAUUGACGCCAAAAACCAGUGUUAUCGGUUCUGCUCCACACAGGUAAGGCGGAGGACUGCAGGAAAUCUUGAAAGAUUGAAGCAUACUUUGAGGAAACUCUAGACACAUUUGGGCAGUUCACAGGUUCCUCGAUUGCUGUCAUACCCUCCCUUCAGUCACAUGGUAACUUAAUACCUAUUAGUAACUAUACAAGACUAUUGCUUCACAUGAAACAGGGAAAAAGGUGAUAAAGUGACCUGAAAUUUCCAAGCAUAAACCCCACUGUUCGUUUGCCCUCUAAUGAAUAACCCACAGAAAACUCACAUUUGUUGCGGUAUCCGUUUAUCACCGGUGACUCUAGUAUGCCUUCAAGCUUGCAUGGAAGGCCACCUAGAUGAUUGAAAAAGGCUAUUUACUCCAAUGUUAUGUGACAUGGGUAAUAAAGAAAAUAGAACAAUUUCAGUUGUGCAAUAUGACCAGAUGUAGUAAAUAUUCAACUUUGAAACGCGUCACCCUACCGCAGAAAUGUUGUGUAAUGACAAUAAUAUGCAAAUAUCAAACAAAUGCAAAGUUGUUUUACCACAUACAUACAUGAAAAUUUAUUAAGACAAUUUAUCUAAUAAUUAUUAUUAAAUGAUCUGCCACUUAUGGACGCCUAUGUAGAUUUUUUAUGUAGAAAAAUGCCCACAUUGUAUUCAUGAAGAGGAUAUAUGCCAAGACGAUACAUCGAGUCAAUGGACAUUACCUAUCUCCCUAGAUUUAAUAAUCCAAUCCGGAAGUGGAACACCAUCUGGACAAGCCUUCCGAGCAUUCCGAGUCUACAAUGAAAUGGAAAACCAAGAAACUCAUAGCCACACAAGCAUUAAGAUAUAUUCAAGAAUUGUGAAAUAAAAUAUGAGGCAUAUUAUAGAUUACAUAGUUUUUACACAACAUAAUCCACAUCCAAAAGACACGAAACUAUCUCACCAGUCGCUUUAGGAUUUGGAGCAACGAAUUCUUUUUGUGCUCCAACUGAUCACUGUAGGGCAUAUGAGCAAGUGGAGUGACCACAUCACGGGCACUUUUUGUUCUCGAAGACAAACCUUCCACGGCAGAAGUUUCUUCAUUGUCACUUCCCGACUGAUUAUCAGCAUGCUGCCCUUUGUUUUGAUGAGAUUUACGGAUGGCAUCUGCAACCUUUAUUUCCUUUCCACCAUUGGACUUCUCAUUCAAAAUCUACAAAUAAUUCAAAAGUGAAAGAAAAUUACAGACUUUCCACAAAUCCUCAACCUGUCCAUUAAGUACAAAAGACUACCUCAAUAGUGCUUUUGAGCUGUUCAGUAUUCUCAAAGGUCACAAAACCAACAGACAUUCCCUUCUUCUUUUUCAUUGUCUUAUACGAAAUUCCCUGAAAAAAGUAGUAAGCUUUGGUCACAAUCCCAUAUAAAUAUGGAAAGCUUGAGCUUGUUGAAGUUGUGAUAAAUAAAGGCCUAUGGCAAUGUUAUAUCAAAGUAUGAUUCUAUGAUCAAUCUCGAAGACAGUAGAGAUUCCUAGAUAAGAUAAUAACAGAAGAUAAGUAAGAUCUACUUAUACUGACAUAACAAAGAGACUAUGACAUAGCAGGCUAAAGCUGUUUCCUAAAACUGAAUACACUGUAAGACAUGAAACUAUCCUAAAACUGUUUUCCUUCAUUUUUUGUUUGUACUGAAAUUGAACUAUCAUCAACUGUUAAACCUAAACUUGCAAAAUGAAACACUUUCUAGGUUUUUCUUAUUUUACUCAUCAUCUUACCAGUUUCUAGCUUUGCCAAUUCCGUCGAUUUCAAUGGAUUUGGAAGCAUUUGUGGCAUUUCACAUAAUACGUCCAAAACCCACCAUUCAUAAUAUUGAAUUUGGUGAAAUUUCACUUGCUCUUUAGUUAUUAAUAUCCUUAGUCGAAAAAUGCUUCUUCAUAGAAUAAUUCUAUUAGUUCUGUCACUAUUUAAUGAACAACAGAUAUGUUAGGAAAAAGUAGACAUAUUGAAAUGAUUUCCCAUCCCUUCCAAUUGAAUCAAAUUGAGAUAUUUCGAACCGAAAUCAAUAGAAUUCUCUUCAUAUUUGAUUCCAAGGAGCCGAUUUUCCACUUGCCUGAUCAUCAAGGAACCUCUUCAACCCCUCGGAGUUCCACUUCCUCGGGAGGCCGAUGAGGCACUUGUCGAGCGACGCCUCGUCCACCGUCGGCGCCUCCUCGCCUUUCUCCUCAUCAGCUUCUUGGCGCGGAGGGAGGUGGGAUCCCAGGUGUUGUCGGGGCGGGGACGGAGCUCGGCCUCGCUGUGCGCGUAGCGGCACGCGUCGCCGUGGCUACAUCCGCGGCCACCGCCGCCGCCGCCGCCGCCGCUGGGGUUCCGGCGCCGGUAGUACGAGCACAAGCUCGUCUUCCACAAGGGGUUCUUCCUCUUCGUUGUCUCCGCAUCCUCUUCUCCCUCCUCCUCCUCCUCCUCCUCCUCCUCCUCCUCUUCCCUCUUUCGCUUCUCCAAGGAGGAGGUGGGUUCGGCGGCGCCUCCUCUCGCGUGGGCGCCGCAUCGGUCUCCAUGGGAUCGAAGUGUUGGGGUUUUAGGGGCUCUGACGCAAAAUCCCCAAAUCCUAUUUUUUUGGUUAUUACAGGGUCGAACCUGGGUCGAACCUGGUCCCACAACUCAGUAAAUUUAUGCUCUGUUCGUUUAUUGGAAACUAAUUCUCUGAAACCAGAGUUUGGAUAAAAAUUAAUUUUUUACUAUGAUUUGUUUCGUAGAAAGCCAAUAAUAGCUUUAGAACUGUAUUUGUCCUACUUUUUAUAUUUGUUUAAUCAAAAAUUUUCAUAUUAGCAUAUAAAAGUGUGAAAAGAAGUUACAAUAAUUAAUUUUUAAUUUUUUUCUCUUCUUUGCACUUUUUCACUUUGGUACACUGUAAUUUAAAGUGUAUCGAUUUAAUACCCCACAGUUUUAUUUUUCUCUUUUUAUUAUUUUUUAAUUAUUUUUUUAUUAAAUUAGUGAUAAACUUAAAACUAAAAAGUACUUAAAAAAAUAUUUGAUAAAUCUAGGUGGAAUAUCUGAAAUUUUUUGUAUAUAAUUUAACGAAAUAUUAACGAAAGAGCUAACGAAAAGAGAAAAAUAAAAUUACAAGAUACUAAAUUAAUAUACUUUAAACUAUAUGAUACUGAAAUGAAAAAGUACGAAAUUACAUGGAUGGUAUUUAAAAUUUGCCCUAAAUUUUAUUUAUGACGAAGCCAACAAUAAAAGUAGGCAUUUUAGGCAUUUUGGCUCGAUUGGUUAGAGAUUUAAUGCCCUUUACUUGUACUUACUAUUAGAUUAUCCUUUCUCUUCGUCAGAUUAUCCUUAAGAAGCAGCCACACAAAUAUCGUCAUCUUCACUGAAACUACGAGUUUUCAUAUCUGGAUGAGAGAUAACUGGUACUUCUUAUUUCACAGAUUGCACAAUUUCAAUCAUCACCUAACAUACUUAUUCCUCAUAAAUAAUACACUUUAAUUUGCAUUCUCAUAUCUAGAAAAUACACUUUGCUCCCACUGUUUGGUUAACUCGAUCACAAGCAUGCCGCUUCGAUCGCGAGGCUCUUCGUGACCCCUCUACACGGAUCUCCAAACAUCUCGGUCGACACUCCGACGCUACAACUCCUCGCUCCAAGACAAGCCUACAAAGAUAUUUCACAAACCAAACUUAAGAACAAAGAAUUUUACUUUCAUUUGCCAAAUGCCUAACUUCUACUGUUGCAGAUACAAUACAUAUAUAUAUAAUAUAUAUGUACCUCUUGAACGACGGCAAGGGUGGUAGAACUACUGCAUUCGCCGUGGCUGUAACUUCCGCAUGCACCAUUCGGGGUCCCGAAGCUUGCAAACUUGAUUGCGGAGAUGACCUGGUUCGGGUUCGGGCACUCCAAUCGGACCAUCGGACCGGGCCUCCCCAUCUUCUUUUCUGGAGUCAUAAAAGCAUCUACUGGGGCUGGAUGUAGCUCGGAAACAUGUGCACACAAACUCCCACUCUGCUUAACCGCGAAAGAUAUUUUAGUCGGGUCCCCGCCAACCUCCUCGAAAAGAACCAAAUCAUUGCUUCCCGAUCGGAGAAACGACCGAGGAACGUGAUACCUGCUUAUAUAUGUUUUGUUCACAUUAAUUUAGCUCAUUUCAUGUGUUCUGAUUACAAAUUUUUGUUCUUAAGUUGGACCGGCGAUUUCAAUUUCAUCCCUAAACUUCAGCAGCAGUUGAAAUUUUCCCGAGAGUUUCAACUUAACAAAGGGAAGUCCAUGACUGGCGCAUUUCAUUUGGUAGGGUAAAAGAGAGUACUUAAUUAUUUCGCUGAACAAAUUUCGAGGAUGAAACUACUAUGUUGGAACUAAGAAAUUGACAUCCAGGUUAAACUUACAGAGAGUAAAUUCGCGAUAAACCCUGAAAACAGAAGAUCGACAGAUAAUAGAAAUUCUUACAUAGUUUGAGAAGGUUUCCCGCAGUUCUUGAGGCAUUUGCCAGAAUUGUAGGUUCCUUUGUAGCUGCAAGAGGUGACGCAACCGUUCGGCGGAGCGAGGUAAGUGGGCCAAAACCGGCCAAUACUCUGCCCGUUCACCCAUGCCUCUCCUUUCCCCAUGCCCGUAAAGUCUAUCGCGACCGGGCCAUCACCCUCUGGGGCAGCAAACUUUGUCUGCGUCAUUGGAAGGACGUGAUAAGUUCGUCGAUUAUGUAUCAUAAUCUUGUUAGUCUAGAGUAUAAAAUAACUUUAAACAACAAAUGUGGGAGGACGGUAGAGACGCCAAACACCGACCUUGUACCAUAUCAGAGGUUGAUUCAUCGGCAAGGUAGAAUCUGAGACCCAUUCAGAAGAAUCAUCAGAAUUCUCAUAUAGCUGCGAGUCUUCCCCUUUAAGUCCAAUCUGCAUAAGUAAAAGUAAACCGUGAAUUCAAGAAUAAUCUUAACAAUAGAGACAUAAGCUAAAUAGACCGGCAUAUUACGAAAUUAUUUGCGUAAGUAACCCACUUAAUUCGGAAACAAGGUGAUGGAACUGUUAUUAAUGUACUAUUGAACAACCUGGUAUGUCCACAGUUUUGAAGAUAAAUCUAAUGUGCCAUUUGGUCCGCUCAACUUUACCGGACCGGUAACUCCAGCACCCGAUAAAUCAAAGAAUGCCCCAUAAUUCUGAAAAAUAUAAAGAACAAAACGAAUUCAAAGAGAAGAUUAGUAAAAAAAAAAAAAAGCGAAAUAAAUAGGGGGGGAAAAAUGAUUCCUUUGAAGGGAGGUUAAGAAGAACCUGUAGACCAACAGUGGCGCUUAAAAGAUCCAUAGUGUUCUUUCCUGGUGCGAGCGUAAUAAGCUUCUGUACUGCAACUGCUGCAUUGCUACUGCUUCCCAUCCCACUAGCUGAAUAAACGUUACAACAAUGAAAUUUUAGAUGCUAAAGUUCAAACAAUAAAAUGCAAACCUUUUUCAGUUUUUCGUCUCAGAUUCAAUUUAUUCAGUUCAACAUGAAACGCAUUACCUGACAAUUUUCCGUUGACAAAAACUCGAAGGACGUGACCAAGUGAGUUCACGAGGAGAUUAGAUUGAGUUCCAUUUAAAAGAAACGGCUCAUUGCCGGUGAUCUCAAUGCUGCAAGAAUACCAUUAAAACCCAUUGAGUAGUCAAUGUUAAUCCGAGGAUAAGCAUUCCACGUAAACACGAUGACGACACAAGAAAACUAGUAAAGAAUAAUCCUCUUCACCUUGUUGAAUACCAUAGAUAAUCACUCGCAUCUGCAGUAGUAUUUAUUUGCUCUAGCAAUCCAGUUUUUGUGAAGGCAUCGGCCUUUGAGAUACCAACAGGUUCUAUUACAUAGCUCCAUUGUGAUUGUGGUGUCCCAGAGGAAUCAAGAGAAUCGUCAGAGGUUUGAUUGUAGGAAUUUAGAUACCUCAUCUCCGCAGAAGAGGUUUGGGAGUUUAUCUGCAGAAAAACAAAUUUGAUCAGUUCAAGGCGUGAAAUACUGCCUUUUGUUUAUGUCGUGAAACAGAAAGUUUCCAGAAAAAAAGUAUUGAGAUAAAAACAUGAAUAGAUGUUCAGCAGAAAGCACAAAGUACCACCUCACUUGGACGUCUGCUACGACACUCUACAAGUGCGAGCAUAAACAUGAAUAGUUAUUGAACAAUUCAAAUUACAAUAUAAUACCUGAGCGGUAUUGAAUACGACAUUCUGGCAGUCGGGUAAGAUGCUCACAGACCACGCAGGUAGAUGAUAUGACUUCCCGUUAAAAGUAACAGUUGCAUCAGAUUGGCUGUCGAUAUUCGCAAGAAAUGCUGUGCAAGCCCCUGCUGUCUUAUACACAUGAGCCUAAAGAAGAAAAUAAAUAAAGAAGAAGAAUUAAAAAUAAGAGAAAUCAUAACCGUUAUGUUCAAAAAUGCACCUAGAAAAAACAAAUAUAUAUAAAAGGAGUCAUAAAACAAGACAAUUAGACACCAAUUUCCUGCCUAUAGUAUCGUAAUUCUUUGGACUAUGAUGAUAUUCAAAAUGAAAAUGCAGUAAAAUGAACUAAAGCAUGCUAAAUGUCAUGCACGCAAACCAGUGUUUUGAGACACUGGUAAUAAUAGUGAGACAAGUACUAAAUUCAAAGGAAAAAAUUAACAAAGGAAAAAGAUUUUCCAAAUUGUCAAAUAAACAUACUUUUGAAAUUAAAUUAUCACUUUGUUCUAGUCUGUAAGAGUAUGGUUAUGAAAUACUGCAUUUUAACUACUACCUGUAAUAACAAAUCCAGUACAAACCAUCCAUAUUUUUUUAUCUUUGAGCCAGCCAAAGAUAUUACAAUUAGCACAUGAGUACAAAUUAUACGAAAAUCAAUGAAAAUAUAAAAAAAUUGUACAAAUUAUGCAUGAAAAUACAAUAAAAAUAAGGCACUAGUUACCUCCAGGUUUGUACCAAGAGAAGUAUAUGUUGGAUCAGUUGCUAUCAACGCAGCUUCGCAAAGCUUUAUUGAUUUGUGUAGAUCUCGUAAGUGACCCCACUUCGGCUGCCUAAUGAACCCUGCAAUCAAUAAAUGAAGAAAGUGAAAUAAAUGGAGACACAAAACCUUUCUGAAAAAUAUAUGACUUACAGUACCAGCAGGAAAUGUAAGAUAACAAGCUUACCAUACUCGUCUAUCGGAGCAUCAUAGUCAUAACUUGUCGAAAUAAAAGGUCCCCCUGAACUGCGGCCAAAAUUGGUUCCGCCAUGGUACUGACGAAUAGUGGAGAACGUUAUAACAAACAGGGAAAAUCGAACAUCUCUUAGUAUAACAAGGAAUAGAAAUCCUAACAUAGCAAGUUUUAACUACCAACUCAGAAUUGAUACCAUGUAGUAGUUUUGGAAUGUACCACCACGUUCAAAGAAUCGCGCAACAGCAAACGCAAUGUCUUCAACGGGUCUAUAUGGCACUGCACCGCCAAAAGAACGAUACCUAUUUAAACAAGAAAGAAUUAUAAACAACCUUGGCGAUCAUAUAUGAAUAUUGCGCCACUGGAGAUCCUCUGUUUAACAUGCGUGUAUCAAGACCUUAUUAGUAAGCUUCUCUUCGAAGAGAAUUGUUCAAUAUAAGUUGAUUUCCAUCAAACUUAUGCAAUUGGUGUAAAGCCCCUUACCAUCCGGUCCAGUUUUCCGUCCACAUCUUUGGUUUAUUGUUGGAGUUUGGAGUGAACUGAUCACAGUAGAAACCAUUGCAAGUGUUGAUCUGCAGAUUUUGCAUCGUGAUAAACACAGAUUAACAUCAAUAUAUGAACUCACUCCAUCACGAAUGGCAAAUUGCGAAUAGACAAAGAUAGUAAACAAUUUUGAUCAAAUCGGUAAAUAAGCUCGGGACAAAGUUUAUCCUCCUUGUAGCGAAGAUAUGAUCAGACAUGAAGCACUUACAACAGGGUCAGGAGCAUCAGCUUGCUGGCACAUUACCCAGGGAACGCCCGUGUCGAGUGACACAGCCAUCGAUGCAGCCCAGUUGAUGUACGUCUUUGCUGCAGGUCCAUAAGCCGAGUCGAUGUUUCCAUAUUCAUUUUCGAUCUAAAAACAAGUUGAGGACGCGCGAAAACAUUAUUUACAUCUGAGAAGCAACAGUAUAAGAUUUUCAACGAAGAUGAGAACUUUGAAGAGUAACCAAACCUGGGACAAGAUGAUGGGUCCGCCUUGCGAUGCAUAAAGGUUCUCCUGCUUCAUCAUAUCGACGAUCUUUGCCGUGAAUCUUUGCAUCUCUGCCUAGAAACAAAGAAGACCCAAAUAAGCUAAGAAUUUUGGUUUUUUUAAAAAAAAAAAUUUGUAAAACACAGGGUUAGAAUUAAAUAAAUGAACCUUGAAAGGCUCGUUGUCGGUCCUAAACUUGAUACCAGGGAUGAAAUGUAGCCAAACUGGGAAUCCCCUGCACCAAAUUAUAAACAAAUUAGAGAUAACAAAUUCACACAAAGAAAACAUACAAAAUUAUCAAAUUGGGUGAGAAAUUUAAUCUCACCCAUAAUUCCACUCGGCGCAGACAUACGGGCCAAUGCGGAGAUGAACAUAGAGUCCGGCCGCCGCGACCGUCUUUACGAACUUCACCAGGUCCUUUCUCCCCUCAAAAUCAUACUAUAUCCAUGCCGAAUUUCGUUAGAAAGUAACAUACAAAGAGAAUUGGAUUAACAUGACCAAAAAAUGUAAAGGGUCUCUAUAAUGAGAAUCAUGCCUGGUUUCUAACAGGUUCAUGAAGAUCCCAGAAAACAUAAGUCUCGAUAACGUCGAGCCCGCCGUCCUUCGAUUUCUGUAUCAGGUCCGGCCACAUCUGCACUCAACCAAUUUCCCCAUUCCACCAUUAGCAACUACACUCCACAACAGUAUAAAUUGGCUCUUUUAUCCCUAACAGGGACUAAGACUAUCACUGAGCCAUUUUGUUAUCUAAGGUCGUAGGUUCAAUUCCCCAUAUACAUACACUACUUAAUGACUUACGUCUGUCUAUCUGUCUGUCUAUCUGUACACGUGACAUAAUUUAUUUUAUGACGGUACGAAAAGUAUUUUUUGAGCCGUUUUCUAUUAGAUUGAUCUGAAAAGACACCUCACCUCGGGGGUGCUGCGAGGGUAGUGGAUGGAGCCGGAGACGAGGACGCGGCGGGCGCCGUCGAUGAGGAUGGCGCGGUGAUCGUAGCCGACGACGGCGGCGGCGCCUGCAGCGAUCUCCGAAUCGGAGAAUCUGAUCAAGAAGAGAAGCAAGAAGAGGAGCAUUCUUGAGGCUGCUGGUGCUGCUGCCCCAAUAGGAAUGUCGGUUGGCAAAAGUGGCAAAAGUAGCAAAAGAUGGGGAGAUGGGGUGGGUUUAGCUCAAAAAAUUGUGCUGUGCUUUUUCUCAACGCAUGGGGGGUGGGGGGGGGAUAGGGGAUUAGUUGUGUGCGUGCUGUGUAGUAGUAGUAAUUGUACUAGUAGAGGAAAAGGGAUGCUUCUACUUAUAUAUAUAAUAAUUCAAGAAGAGUGAGUCAUCUCUUUUACCACAAACUUUAAUUUUUUCCCUUUUUUUUUUUUGUUUUUGGGGUUUCUUGUGGGGAGGAGGGAAAGGAGUAUGGUGGUGUUGGAAGCGAGAGAGAGGAGUGAAGCAAAUUAAUGGUGGUGGAGUGGAAGGAAAAAUCAAUUGCAUUAAUUAAUUAAUUAAAAAUUAUUUUUUUUUUGCAAGAUUUGUAUUGUAUUUUUAUUUAUUAUUUUAAUGAAGUGGGGAAAGGGUUGAGCUGCGGCGUUUGUCCUUUAAAUUUGUUUGUUGUGUGUUCAUAAUUGAGCUACGUAACAUUGAUGGCGGGAGGAAAUUAAUUAAGAUUUUCUCUAAUAAACAUAAUUGGGUAUAAUUGUACGGAGACACCCCUCAAUUGUUAGCGAUUUUGAAAUAGAUCCUUACGCUUUUUUUUUCUUUUUUUUUUUUCACCCUUUAGGAGAGUGGAAAAGAUUUCUAGUAAAUUUGCAUAUUUAAAAUAAUAGAGUAAUUAAACUCAUAAAUAUUAAGCCUAGGAAAGGAAAAGAAAAUAUAGAAAACAUAUAAAACAAAAGUAAUUACUUACAGACUAUCCUAGAGCAAGUGGCAAAGUGCUUAAUGGUUGGUACCCGAGGUUUCAAAUUGGAAUAGCUAAGUUUAUUUCUAAAUUAAAUAAACGAAGUGGAUAGCAUGCUAUCUAUCUCUCUAAAAAAAAAAAGCUAUUCAGUAAGUUUCGUCUCUGCUACCGCACUAUCAUUACCUUAAUCACCAUGCAACGCGAUGAUAAGUCGAAUUUGGUGCCCAAAAGAGAUGGAAGAGGAGCUAUUUUUAGAUUUGUUAAAGUUAACAACUUUAUUAGUUGAUAAGAAAAAGUCAAAGAAAAAACUAAAACACAGUAAGACUCGAUUUGAAACUACGGAGAGAUUACAUUACAUAUUGUGAGAAAAUACAAUAUAAGAUUAUAUUAUUUCUGUAUGUAAUAUUGUUAUUCAUAUAUCGCAAUAAGUCAGUUACGAUAUAAUUUUUAUAAUUUUACUGAAAAAUAAAAAAAAAUAUUUUUAUAUGUUUUCGUUUCGGUACUAUUGUGCUAUUAGAAUUAGAAGGACCUCAAUACUAAUGAUUUUCUUACUAAAAAUAAUGGAGGAGGAAUCAUGUGUGUCUCAUUUAGUUAGUGCUUUUAAUUCAAACAUUCUUAGUUCUUCUUACGAAAAAUAAAUAAAUACAAAAAUUAUCCAGAGGUGCCACGUGGCUGCCGGACACUGCAUUUAUAGGUAUAGAUUAUUGUAGUUAUAGAUAUAGGUUCAAGGAGGAGAUCUUUAUAAAUAUGAAUUUAUUUCGAGUUAAAGUUUCCAUUCCCAAAGUGGAACGCACAACAACUUUUCCAACCCCUCACCUGCAUUACGUCAGAGAACCAAACACCAUGAUUCGUAGGAUACAAAAUGUCAAAAAAGAUAUCAAAAGAAAUGUGAAGGGAAAGAAAAAACGAAAAAAAAAAAAAAAAAAAAAGCACACCUACACACAAUGAUUACACUAGUGACACCAAACACCAGGACUAUGAUCCCAUCCAUAUUAUUUAAUAAAAUAUAUAUUAUUAUUUUUUGAUAGUUUAGAUGGUAGGGAGAAAUAUCUCGUAGAUACUUUUAUAAGUCUGGCAUAUUUAUACCUUAUUUAUAUCCAAUAUAAAGACGUCAUGAACAUACGUUUGGCAGAGACUAUAGCUCAUCUUAUUAAAAAAUAUAAAUUUUUCUUUUUUUUCAUGCAGAUGUAAUGUAAGAUGUAAAUAUUUUGACUUUUUGACUAUUGUUGAAAUAUAUUUUUUAUAUAUAAUAAUAUAUAUUUAUAUAUUAAUAAUAUUAUAUUUUAUUUGUGAUGUUUAUGUCGUAUUUGUAUCCUAAUUUUUCGAAAGCUGUCGGAUUGUUUUGACUGAAUCGUGUCGUGUUUCGUAUUUUGUAUUUGUAUCUGCGGCAUUUAGUUAGUGAGUAUUUUUUCAGUUGUUGAACCCUAGCCUCCGUUUGGUUGGGGGUUAAGGGGUGGAAUAACUCCUUAACCCUCAUUUUAUCCCCAAAUAUUUUUAAAAAUGGGUGGGGUUAGCUAAUCCCAUCUCAAAUGAGUUAUCCCGGAUUAGCUAACCCCACCUAACCCCACCAAAUCUCAAUCAAAUAUUAUUUUCUAUUUAUAAUAAUUUACUAUCCUUCUUAUCCCACCUAUUCCAACCAAAUACUAUUUUUUACUAUCCUGGACUAACUCCAAUUCCCAACCAAACACAAAAAUAUUCUAACCCCACCUUAACCCUAAAUUUAACAAUAUUUCUGGAAUAACUAAUUUUUUCUUAACCCUGCACCAAACGGUAAAAUUUUUCUCUUUAAAUUGAAAAUGUGCUCUACUGGCUAUUUAUUAAAGAGAGGACCAUACUGUGUGAAGUUGGUUGGGAAGUAAGGAAAGAUCUACUAUUAUUUAAGUGUCAAAUUUUAAAUAUAAUAAAUAAAUAAUUAGAUAUUAAUUCUGAAAUAAAAAUAUUUUAUUUAUUAAUAAAUCUCAAAAUAUUGUACAAACUAUAUAAUUUAAUAGAUGGAUUUCGACAUUAAAAUUAUUAGUCAUGUUUACCUUCCCGUGAUUUACAUCUUUUCACUGAUUAAAUACUACAACACAUAGGGGUGUAAACGAGCCGAACAUGAGCUGGCUCAUUAAAGUAUCGAGUUGAAAAAUUGCUCAUGUUCGGCUCGUUAAUAAACGAAUCGAACACGAGCUGGCUCACGAGCUGGCCAAUGAAUAAUAAGUUAAAAAGAUUAAAUUGAAUAUAUAUAAAAAAUAAAUUUAUAAAAUUUUAUCCAUUAGACUUUGAUCUAACAGUUGAAACUUUACAUAUAAAUAAGUCUUUUUAUAAUUAAGCUCGCCUUUAUAUUUUUAUUUUGCUAAAAAUUAAAUAAUAAAAAUAUAUAUUAUAUAUAUAAUUAUUAUUUAUAUAUAAAUAUAAAUUAAAUAAAUUAUAUAAAUAUAAAAUAUAUGUAUUCGAGCUGUUAUCGAGUCGAACACGAGCGAACUGGAUUGCCACCUCUAACAACACAUGCUAAUUUAUAAAAUAUUACAAAAUUUAUUUAUAAAUAUAGUAUUAAUUUUUAUUCAUAUAUUUAUUUAUUUAUUUGUCAAUUGUAAUGAAUGGAAAUUUUCUCCAAGUGGAAAGUGAUACGCACGGUACGAUACAUUGUAUACACCGUGGCAUCACCAUCACAAAGUAAUUGUAAGUUAGCAAAACUUUUACUUCGUUGCUCACCAUUUGAACAUCAAAAUCUAGCUUGGAAAAAAGUGAACAAUAUGAUUAAUGAUUAAAAAAUUAAGUAAAAAGAAAAUUUUGUUGUCAUUUUUUUAUCGAGAUUUAAGUCUGCAAAUUCAAUCCGACGGAUAUAGUUUUGUCACAUAUAUUAAAGAUCUUAAAUACAUGAAAAUAUGAAUACGCUAAUACAUCACCUAUGCCGAUCAUCGAUCGCAGACUCUUUGUGGCAAAAUAAAAGCAUUAAUUUCACACAGAAUUGCUUACAAAUAAAAGCAUUUCACAAGCAUAACAAUUAUAGUGUUUAGAUUCAUAAAUUUAAUUCUAAAAGAGCCACGUAAACAUAUCGACUACUGCAGUUAAAACUACUCUUAUUUAUUAUUUCUCAUUACUGUAGCCAAAGAUUUAAAUGUUUAAAAAAUAAUUAUUAAUAUUAGUGUGCUGAAUUAUUAUAUUUUGUAUCAGAAUCGAACAUCAGAUCGUCGAUAACGAUCAAACGUCGUAUGCGUCCCCGUUGAUUUGGCGAGAACGUCAGGGUCUUAUACGGAGAACUUAAGGUAUUGUUUGAUUCGGGGAUAAGCAAAAAGUGGUUAUUCUAGGGAUAGGUAUAAAUUAAGGUAUAAGCGGGGAUUAGAUCAAUUUUGUGUUUGGAUGAAAAUUGAGUUAUUCCUGAAAAUAAGAAAAAUAGCGUUUGGUUAGGUAAGAUGGAAUAAGAAGGAUAGUGGGUAGUUAUAAAUAAAAAAUAAUGAUAUUACCCUCUCUUUAUAUUUGAAUUUAAAUUUUUAAAUUUUAAAUUUUAAAUUUAUGUUUUUAAUUUAAAUUUUUAACUUUUAAAUUUCAAAAUUUUAAAUGAAAAUUUAAAUUUUAAAUUUCAAACUUUAAAUUUAAGAUCAAAUUUAAAUUUGAAAAAUAUAAAAUAUAAAAUAUUAAAAAUUUAAAAUAUCAAAAUUUAAAUUUAAAAUUUAAAAUUUGGAAUUUAGAAUUAUGAACUUUAAUUUUGAGAUUACAAAUUUUAAAUUUUAAAAAUUUAAAUUUUAAAUUUAAAUAUUUAUAUUUUAAAUUUUUUAAAUAAGAAUAGGGUGGGAACAAUUAAUAAAAAUAAUUUAUUAUAAUAAAAUUAUAAAUUUGAUAAAAAUAAAUAUUUUAAUAAAUUUAUAAAUUUUUUAUUAUUAAUAAAUUUAUAAUUUUUUUAAAAUUUCUACUUAAACUUAAAUUUAAUAAAAAUAAUUUAUUAUAAUAUUUAAAUAUAAUUUAUUAUAAAAUUUAUUAUAAUAUUUAAAUAUAAAUAAUAUUAUUAAUAUAGUACAAUUAAUAAUUUUAUAACAAAAAAAUGUAUUAUAAUAUAUAACAUAUUAUAUUUAUAUAAUUUAGUUUUAAUUCAAUUCAUAAUUUUAAUUAAGUUUGAAAUUAAAUAUUGGAAUAGCACUAUUCCAUCAAAAUGGUGGAAUAGUAAAUUCUAUGCUAUUGCGGAAUAGUCGGAAAUAGUAAGAUUUGACCGGGAUAAAAUAUUCCGGCCAAAAAUUAUUUUGUUUGGCGGAAUAGCAGGGAUAACUUCCGUUAUCCCUGCUUAUACCGCCAACCAAACGGAGCCUUAAGCCCUUGUUUGGUUGGGGGUUAAGGGGUGGAAUAACUCCUUAACCCUCAUUUUAUCCCCAAACACCCCAAAAAAUAAGUGGGGUUAGCUAACCCACCUAACCCCAUCAAACUCCAACCAAACACUAUAUUCUAUUCAUAAUAACCCACUAUCUUUUUUAUCACACCUACACAAACCAAUCAUUAUCCUUCUUUAUCAAUCAUUAUCUUUUUAUCCCACCUACCCAAUCAAACACUAUUUUUUAUUAUUCUAGACUAACUCCAACCCCCAACCAAACACAAAAAAAUUUUAAUCCCACUUUAAUCCUGAAUUUAACUCUGUCCCUAGAAUAGCUAUUUUUUUUUUAACCCCGAAUCAAACGGAGGCUAAGUGUCUGCCAUGGAUAAGCUAUAAGUAGUAGCUCCUUGAGUGUGGUUUUUGCAUUGUGUGGUACACGUGUAUUGCCGUGUGAGACUAGUUUGCGUGGAAUGGGGGAUGUUUUUGGCACCCGCGUGCCGAGGCCUCCACGUUGUACGCCCUUGUCGACUUGUUUUUCUUGGUCUCUUAUCGUACGUCACGUGGACAUGAGUCACAUGAAGUAGGAUCCAACAAAGGUCAAAAAAAUAAAAAUAAAAAUAAAAUGCAAAAUAUUAAAUUAAAUAAAUAAAAAUAAAAUACAAAGUAUUAAAUUAAAUAAAUUAUGAUAGUGAGAAAGGAAAAGGAGAACUCGGUUCUUGGUGUGCAGGGAUUGGGUGCGCCAACUCCGUUACGAUUAUGAGUGCGUCCAAAAAGUAUUCAAACGUGUGCACACUUCAUUUAGGUUUAAGGUGUAUUUGGUUUGAUGUAAAAGAGGAUGAAAAAAAAAUUUUCAGCGGAAAUAUAGCUUGCGGCUCGUUUGGAUCAACGUAAAAAUUUUUUCUGUAUAAAAUAGUUUUACAUAUUUGGAUGAAAAUUCUCUCUUUUAUUUUUCGAAAAAAAUAAUUUUUUCUUCAUAGUUUUACGUGAAACCAAACACACUCUCAGUUUGACAUUAAGAUCCAUCUGUUAGAUAAAACGGAGUUAGGGGUAAAAGUAUAUAGGGAUAUGUUUCUGUGUUCUCCGAUCGGACCGCAGAAAAUAUAUCAUAAUCGACUUAUCACGAUAUGUGGAACAAAAUAUGGUAUUUUUUUUAUCGUACUUUCUCACUGCACUUAACGUAAUUUUUCCGCAAUCUCAAAGGAAACCUUAGUCCCAUUCUAUUUUCCAUUUUGAUUUUGACGUGGACUCGAGAAAGCAAAAGAAACAAACGAAUGCACCGCUUACACAUAUUCGUUUAAAAUUUAGAUUGAAGUAGUUGUUUAGAUAAAUUACAGUUUAGAUUAAAAUUACUGUUUUUUCUUUUUUGUUUUUUUCUAUGUCGUGGUAUUGAAGUUUUUUUAAUUUUAUUGUUUGUUUGGCAGAAUAUGAAUGACAUAAAAAUUAAAUUUUUUAUUCUGGGUUGAAGUCAAUUACAAUAUUAUGGAGAGCUUGAGCACAUUUGUUUAAAAAUUCAAAUUGAAGAAGAUUUUUAGAUAAAUUAGAAUUUAAAUUUAAAUUACUUUUAUUAACUUAGCUAGAAAUAUGAAUCAACUAGGAUUCGAACAUGGGUCUCGGAUACCAACUACCAAACCCUUUGCCACUUAGGACCGUCAGUAUUAUUAUUAUUAUUAUUAUUAUUAUUGCAACAAAUAUUUUGCAUGAAUUGUACAUUUGAUUUAUUUUAUUAAUAUAUUUAUAUUAUUAAAUAUCUAACUAAAGAUAAUAUGAUAAAUACAUUGUCGCUAUCUAGGAUACUACUCUAGUGUUAUGUUAGUGCACGCAUAGAAAUAGAUGAAUUUAUAAAUAAUAAAAUGAAAAGGGUCCACCACUUAUUAUUCUACUCAUACAAUAAUUGUAGUGAGACAAAAAUAAAUAGACCAUGUAUCAUUUUUGCAUCUAUAGGUCUUGAUAUGGGCCCAAACCACUUUGUAGUUUAAGGGGUGUUUAGAUUCACGUAAUCACGUAAUCCUCGUAUAAUAGUAAACCAAAUUUAGUAAAAAUAAAACAUAUUAGUUUUGUCAUCGAUCGGGACGCACCAAGAAGAUUCGUUGUAGGUUGUUGUGAGCUUAGCUCCUGAAAAUAGCCUUUUUCUUAAAGAGUUCUAAAAUCAUCUUUUGUCGAAAAAAUAAACAAUAUAGCCUAAUAAGGCUAUUAUUAUUGGAUUAUUUCUAAUCUGAUCAAUUAGCAAGGUAUAACAAGGUUUUAGAGCCACUUCUACACCCAUUAUGUUGCAAGAUGAUUUAUGUUGAAUUCCCGAAUAUGCAAUUGGUUGCCACUUCUGUUAAUUCACGUGAACAACACGUCUGAUCUCCAUAAUGUACGUAAAUAAGAGUGCUAAGAAUAUUCAUAAUUAUUUAAAAUUAGAUCGAUUUUUUAAGUAGUAUUGUAUUAGAGUUGGACCUAAGCUCCACGACAUUCUAUGGUCAACAACGAAAUUAAUAUUUAUAUUCUAAACUUUGGUUGCAGUCAAAUUACAAUUACGUCAAUCCAAAUGCACGCCCCUUAUUUUGUGAGGCCAUACUUUUGCCGCGCAUUGGGGCAUUGCUUUGAGGCCUCAUGCAUUGUUUAUAAGGCUUGGACCAACCAUAUGACUAAGGUUAAUUAGUUAAAUUUAGGCCCAGUACAAUAGCAUCGAUCCACUGGAUCUAAGGGUUUAUAAAAAUUCUCUAAGUUUUAAGUACUUAAAAAAAAUUGAUAUGACGAAACGAGAGAUCCGAGAGCUUUUGGAAGGAUAAACUGUAAAAUUGACACCUAUAUAAAGUAAGUGUACAGAUAGUAUUGCUUUUUAAAAUCUUAGAAUAAGUUUAUUUUUCCGGAAUCGGAAGAGACCGGAGCUUUCCCAUUCUGACCGUGCACCAGAUCUUAACUUUACCCGCUACAAGGGACGAAAUCGCGAUUCGUCAUAGUGUAGUUUUGUAAGUUCUCUCACUAUUUGAUGAAGAGGACGCGUCACCGUACAAUGUCGUGGAGCAGCUACCGUUUGAUUUCACUUAAGUUGGAUGAUCCCGACCGCACAUCUUCUUUAACUACUUUAACUGCCAAUGUCCUCCGACUACACUUUUUUUUUUCAACUUAUUUACACUUUUGCCACCCACCCUAGCUAUGUAGAGGAUUAAUUUCUCCGUUGUAUCCGAUACCUAUUUCUCAGUGUGGAUGAACUGGAUAUACCAAGUGACACCCUUGGAGACGUUCGUAGUAUUUGGACCAAAUUAGCCGCCUUUUUGUUUGAAUCGUCGCGAACGCGAGAACUAACCCUUCUGGCUGCGAUCUGGUGGGUGGUCUGGAGGGGUAGAAACAACUCCGUUUUCCAGACAAUUCCGCCUGAUGCGAGUCGCUCUCUCGAACGUAUUAAACUCUUUUGACCAACUGGACCGUGCUGACCUGAAGCGACACUAGACUUACUCCUUUUUUUCUAACCUUCCCCUCUCACCUCCUUUCCCCUUUUUGGCCUUUUGUCUGUUAUUUUUGCAUUUUCGGAGACCUAAGCUGCUUCCAUCUCUGUACGCUUAGUUCAUUUUACUUAAUGAAUGAAGCUGGUAACUUGCUACCUUAUUUCUCAAAAAAAUAGAGACCGAGUUGAAAAUAACCUUUAGUUGAAUAAAAGUUUAGAUUAAAAUUAGGUUUAAUUAUAUAUAAAAACUCCUGCAAGUCGCUCCAUAUCUUAAACAUCCCCAUACAGAAAAAACUUAAACAAUGUUUCACCUGCAAUUAGCCCGGUGCCUCAUUAUUAUUUAUUUUAUUAUUAUUAUUAUUUCGAAUUUGAGAUUUGAAAUAAAAAAUCUAUAAUUGAACUGCAAAUUCGAAUCCAAAAUCUGAAUUUAGAGUUAAAGCUAAAUCCAAAUUUUGAAUUUGAAUUUGAAAUUAUUAAAUCUUCAUUAGAAAUUGAAAUCUGAAUUGAAAAAAAAUCAUUCAAUCUCCUCUUACAGUAUCUUCCAUGAGGAGCUCCCUAUAGAUUUUUAGUUUGCUCUAGGUGGCCCAGAGUAUUUCUCAAAACCAUAUCAAAAGAACCUGUUAAAAAAAAAAAAAGAAGGAAAAAAGACCUCUGUGAUGUUGCAAAUUGGUACUUCUUAUUUCAUAAAGUACACAAAUUCAAUCAUUGUAUUAUACACUUUAAAUUGUAUGCACAUAUCUAGAAAAUACACUUUGCUCUCGCUGUUUGGUAACUUGAUCACAAGCAUGCCACUUCAACCGCGAGGCUCUUCGUGACCCCUCUACACGGGUCUCCGAACAUCUCAGUCGACACUCUGAUGCUACAACUCCUCGCUCCGAUACAAGCCUACAAAGAUAUUUCACAAAUCAAAAUUAAGAACAAAGAAUUUUCUUUUAUUCACCAAACGCCUAACUAGCGCUGCAGAUACAAUACAGAUAUGUCAUUUGUGUACCUCUUGAACAACGGUAAGGGCAGUAGAACUAUUGCAUUUGCCGUGGCUAUAGCUUCCACAUGCGCCAUGCGGGGUCCCGAAGCUUGCAAACUUGAUUUUGGAGAUGAGUUGGUUCGCGCUUGGGCACUCCAAUCGGAGCAUCGGCCCAGACUUCCCCCUCUUUUGUGUAGUGAUAAAAGCAUCUAGUGGGGCUGGAUGUAGCUCUGAAACAUGUGCACACAAACUCCCAAUCUCCCUAACCGCGAAAGACAUUUUAGUCGGGUCCCCGCCAACCUCCUCAAAAAGAACCAAAUCGUUGCUACCCCAUCGGAGAAACGACCGAGGAACAUGAUACCUGUUUAUAUAUGUUUCGUUCACAUAUAUAUUUAAUGUGAAAUUGAAAUCCAGGUUAAAGUUACAGAGAAUAAAUUUGUGAUAGACACUAAAAACAAACAAAUGGUAGAAAUUCUUACAGAAUUUGAGAUGGUUUCCCACAGUUCUUGAGGCAUUUGUCAGAACUGAAGGAUCCUUUAUAGCUGCAAAAGGUGACACAACCAUUCUGCGGAGCUUGGUAAGUGGGCCAAAACCGGCCGAUACUCUGCCCGUUCACCCACCCCUCUCCUUUCCCCAUGCCCGUAAAGUUUAUCGCGAUUGGGCCGUCGCCCUCUGGUGCAGCAAAUUUUGUCUGCACCAUUAAAAGAACGCGAUGAGUUCGUCGACUAUGUAUCAUAAUCUUGUUAGUCUAGAGUAUAAAAUAAGUUUAACCAACAAAUGCGAGAGGACGGUGGAAACGUCAAACUCUGACCUUGUACCAUAUCAGAGGUUGAUUCGUCGGCAAGGUAGAAUCUGAGACCCAUUCAGAAGAAUCAUCAGAAGUCUCAUAUAGCCGCGAGUCUUCCCCUUUAAGUCCAAUCUGCAUAAGUAAAAGUAAACCGUAAAUUCAAGAAUAAUCUUAACAUUGGUGAGCUGAAUAUUACGAAAUUAUUCGCGUAAAUAACCAAUUUAGUUCAGGAACAAGGUUAUGGAACUGUUAUUGACGUACUAUUGAACAACCUGGUAUGUCCACGGUUUUGAAGAUAAAUCUAAUGUGCCAUUUGGUCCGUUCAGCUUUACUGGACCGGUAACUCCGGCACCCCAUAAAUCAAAGAAUGGGCCAUAAUCCUGGAAAUAUAAAGAAUGAACAAAAUCAAAGAGAUGAUUAGAUUCACAAUGAUCCACUUACAUAAAUGAUAUACGUGAAAAAUAAAUACUGGGAAAAAAAAAAAGAUUCCUCCAAAAGCAGUGGAAAGAACCUGUAGACCAACAGUUGCGCUUAAAAGAUCUAUAGCGUUCUUUCCUGGGGCGAGCAUAAUAAGCUUCUGCAGUGAAAAUGAUGCAUUGUAACUGUUUCCCAUCCCACUAGCUGAAUAAAUGUUAUAACAUGAAUAUUUUAGAUGCUAAAGUUCAAACAAUAAAACGCAAACUAUAUUUAGUUUUUUGUCUCAGAUUCAGUUUAUUCAGUUCAACAUGAAAUGCAUUACCUGACAAUUUUCCAUUGACAAAAACGCGAAGGACGUGGCCAAGUGAUUUCACAAGGAGAUUAGAUUGAGUUCCAUUUAAAAGAAACGGCUCAUCGCCGGUGAUCUCAAUGCUGCGAGAAGACCAUUAAAACCCGGUGAACAGCUAAUGUUAAUUCGAGGAUAAGCAUACCAUGUAAACAAGGCUAUGAGACAAGAAAACUACUAAAGAAGAAUCGUCUUCACCUUGUUGAAUACCAUAGAUAAUCACUAGCAUCUGCAGUAGUAUUUAUUUGCUCUAGCAAUCCAGUUUUUGUGAAGGCAUCGGCCUUUGAGAUACCGACAGGUUCUAUUGCAUAGCUCCAUUGUGAUUGUGGCAUCUCAGAGGAAUCAAGAGAAUCAUCUGAGGUUUGAUUGUAGGAAUUUAGAUGCCUCAUCUCUGUGGAAGAGGUUUGGGAGUUUAUCUGCAGAAAAUCACCUUUUACUAGAUCAAGAUGUGAAAUAUUACCUUUUAUGAUGUCAUGAAUAUAAAAGUUUCUAGAGAAAUUUUUUUGAGAAUACAGACAUGUACAAAUGCUCAAUAAUAAGAACAAAGUAUACGACUAUCUUGUAUUCUCAGACCUCCUGCAUUGAUACAAUGUUGAAGAAUUCGAAACAGACCAUUUUCCUUCGAAAAGAUAAGCCACCGGAGAACAUUGUUUUUAUAAUUUGUAUGCAACAGAGACAUCCGAACCGAAUUGGCUAAAGAAUAUAGCAUAAGUGCAUAACACAAGGUAUCGUUUUUGAACCGGAAGUAUGAAAAAUCCGUUAAUUACUUCGAUAGACAAACCUGAGCGGUAUUGAAUACAACAUUCCGGCAGUCGGAUAAGAUGCUCACGGACCACGCAGGUAGAUGAUACAACUUCCCAUUAAAAGUAACUGUUGCAUCAUAUUGGUUGUCUCUAUUUGCAAGAAAUGCUGCACAAGCCCCUGCUGUCUUAUACACAGUGGCCUAAAGAAGAAAAUAGAAUCAGAAAAAAAAUAACUUUUAUGUUCAGAAAUGCACCAAUAAAAAAAUAAACACAAAGACUAGGAUUAUGUAUGUUGUAAAACAAGACAAUAAGGCACAAAUUUCCUGCCUAUAUUGUUGUAGUAUUUUGGUCCGUAAUGAUACUCAGAACGAAAAUAUAGUGAAAAUAUAAAAUGUACUAAAUCGUGCAAAAUAUGAAAUAUUUCAUUUUAAGUCCUUCACUAUAAAGCAUCUGCAUAGUGUAAAUUUGAAGCAGCCAAAGAUAACUAUAAUAGCACAUGAGGGGUACAAAUUGUACAGCCAUUGUUGCAAAAUAUGAAAUUUCGUUCAAAUUAUGCAAGAAAGGACAGUAAAAAACAGCAUUAGUUACCUCCAGGUUUGGACCAAGAGAAGAACUAGUUGGAUCAGUUGCGACCAACGCAGCUUCACAAAGCUUUAUUGCUUUGUGUAGAUCUCGCAAGUGACCCCACUUUGGCUGCCUAAUGAACCCUGCAAUCGAUUUACGAAGAAAGUAAAAUCAACUGAGACGCAAAACCUUUCUGAAAAGUGUAUGACUUACAGUACCAACAAGAAAUAUAAGAUAACAAGCUUACCAUACUCGUCUAUCGGAGCAUCAUAGUCAUAACUCGUCGCAAUAAACGGUCCCCCCGAACUGUGGCCAAAAUUGGUUCCGCCGUGGUACUGACGAACAGCGGAGUACAUAUAUAACGAACAGGAAAAUAAGAAGUUAUCAGAAUACAACAAGGUGUAAAAAUCCUAACAAAGCAAGUUCUACAUACUAUUAACAACCGACUCAGAGGUGAUACCACGUAGUAGUUUUGGAAUGUACCACCACGUUGAAAGAAUCGAGCAACAGCAUACGCAAUGUCUUCGACUGGUCUAUAUGGCACCGCACCGCCAAAAGGAAGAAACCUAUUUAAGCAAAAUAUUAUUAUAAACAACCUUGCCAAUCGUAUAUAUGAAUAAUGUGCCACUAGAGAUCCAUUGUUCGAAGAGAAUUGUUCGAUCGAUUAUAGUUGAUUUGCAUCAAACUUAUGUCGAUUGGCAUCCUAAAUAAUACAUAAAAAGUUAUGCAGAUCAGGCAGAGAAGAAUGUAACACCCCUUACCAUCCGGUCCAGUUUUCCGUCCACAUCUUUGGCUUAUUCUUGGAGUUUGGAGCGAACUGGUCGCAGUAGUAAUCAUUGCAAGUGUUGAUCUGCGGAGUUUGCAUGGUGAUAGUCACAGAUAACAUCAACGUAUGAACUCAAUGCACCAUCAAUAACAAUUGCAAAUAGACAAAGAUAGUAAACAAUUUUGAUCAAACUAGUGAAUAAGCUCAGGACAAAGUUCAUCCUUCUAAAAGCAAAGAUAUGAUCAAACAUGAAACACCUACAACAGGGUCGGGAGCAUCGACUUGCUGGCCCAUCACCCAGGGAACGCCGGUGUCGAGUGACACGGCCAUCGACGCCGCCCAGCUGACGUACGACUUCGCCGCAGGUCCAUAAGCCCAAUCGACGUUUCCGUAUUCAUUUUCGAUCUAAAACCAUGUUGUGGACACGCAAAAACAUUAUUUACAUCUGGAAAGCAACAGCAUGAGAUGUUCAACGAAGAUGCGAGCUUUGAAAAGUAACCAAACCUGGGACAAGAUGAUGGGUCCGCCUUGCGAUGCAUAAAGGUUCUCCUGCUUCAUCAUAUCGACGAUCUUUGCCGUGAAUCUUUGCAUCUCCGCCUAGAAACAAAGAAGACCCAAAUAAGCUAAGAAUUUCUUUUUCUUUUUUUUUUAAAAUUGUAAAACACAGGGUUAGAAUUAAAUAAAUGAACCUUGAAAGGCUCGUUGUCGGUUCUAAACUUGAUACCAGGGAUGAAAUGUAGCCUAACUGGGAAUCCCCUGCACCAAAUUAUAAACAAAUUAGAGAUAACAAAUUCACACACUAGCUAAAAGGGAGAAAAAUAAAAAAAGAAGACAUGCAAAAUUAUCAACUUGGGCGAGAAAUUUAAGCCCACCCAUAAUUCCACUCGGCACCGAUAUAUGGGCCAAUGCGGAGAUGAACAUAGAGUCCGGCCUCCGCGACCGUCUUCACGAACUUCACCAGGUCCUUUCUCCCCUCAAAAUCAUACUAUACUCAUCCCGAAUUUGAUCAGAAUGUAAACUACUUUAAGAAGAGGAUUAACAUAACCGAAAAAUAGGCUCUAUAAUUAACUGGAAUCAUGCCUGGUUUCUAACAGGUUCAUGGAGAUUCCAGAAAACGUAAGUCUCAAUAACGUCGAGCCCGCCGUCCUUCGACUUCUGUAUCAGGUCCCGCCACAUCUGCGUCCAACCAAUUUCCCCGUUACUGACAGUCUCUAAAGUAAGUGGCAAAAAUUUGGUAGUUGGUACCCAAGGUCUCAACUCUUAAAUUCGAAUUUUAGUUGAUUUAUAUUUUUAGCUAAGUUUAUUUAUAAAUAAAAUAAACGAAACAGAUAGCAUGUUAUCUAUCUCUAAAAAAAUAAAAAAAAAAACCAAUUUUCCCCUUCCACCAUUAGCAACUAUCAGUUCUCAAUAGUGAAAGUUAGUUCUUCUAUGUAUAAGAAGGACAAAGAGAGCACUAUUAAAACCAUUCCUGAGCCGCUUUCUAGUCCUCUCAAUUUUGAAAGGUUGCGGGUUCAAUUCUCCAUAUACACUACUUAGGAGUAGUUUGGUUCGAUAUAGUUAUAAAAAUAGUAUAGUUUGGAAGUAUAUACAGUUUCAAAUGGUGCAGUCAUAAUUAUGCUUAGUCUGUUUGAUUUUAUAUAGUUACAACUAUUGUGGUUAUAUUUUUUUCUGUUUGAUAAGCUGCAGUCGAGAUUUAUAUUUGUAAAUUCCGUCAAUUUUUAGAUAGAAAGGUGAGAUUACCUCUUCUGAACAUAACAUAGUUUUUUAAUUAUUAAUUAAGGCUUUUAUAUUUAUAUAUUAUAAAAUUAUGCAUGAAUUUAAUGAAUUUUAAAUGAAAACAUAUUAUAGAUUUGGUUAAAAAAAGAGAGACAUUACUGAACUAGCAGACUGGAAAAAUAAAAAGCUUAUGAAGAAAAUUUAUUGAACUCUAACAAAUAUUAUUAAAUUCUACCAGAUUUCAUAAAUAGAUAUUUUUAGGAAAAAAAAAGUAAAAAAAAAAUCAUAUGAAAAAAAAAUCACACUUUAUUUAUUUAUUUUUUUUAAUGGGUGAGUCGACUCCGGCUCAACUGCUGCAGUAGGUACUGCAACCACUCAUGCAGAUGCAAAUGCAGCAAUUAGGCCUAACUGCAUCAAAUCAAAUAAAAAUUUAAUAAAUACAUGUAUAUAUUUUUUAACUACACUACAGUUGAAAAUAUAUAAAAUCAAACAGUCCCUUAAUGACUUAUGUUUGUCUGUGCAUGUGACAUAAUUCAUUUCAUGAUUGUACCAAAACUAUCUUAUGAGUCGUUUCCUAUAGAUGAUCAAUAAGAAAAGACACCUCAGGGGUGCUGCGAGGGUAGUGGAUGGAGCCGGAGACGAGGAUGCGGCGGGCACCAUCGAUGAGGAGGGCGCGGUGGUCGUAGCCGACGGAGGAGGAGGCGACAACACCUGCUGCGAUCUCCGAAUCGGAGAAUCUGAUGAAGAAGAGAAACAAGAAGACAAGCAUUCUUGAGGCUGCUCCUGCCCCAAUCAUGUUCAAAAGAAGCAAGAAAAAAAAUGUGGGUCGACAAUUGUACCAAAAUGAUGUGGGUUAGCGCAAAAAUUGUCGUUUUUCAAAACAUGGGACACAAAAUAAACUUUAUGCUUCUUCGACGUGGAGUAGUUUGUGUGCAGUUAGUAAUUAUAGUAAUUAUUAAGAAAAACUUCAAAUACCCCCUUAUGGUUUCGUACUUUCUCACUUUAGCACCAUAUGGUUUAAAGUGUAUCAAGUUAGUAAUAUGUGGUUUCGCACUUUUUCACUUUAGUACCAUAUAGUUUAAAGUGUAUCAAGUUAGUACUAUGUGGUUUCACACUUUCUUACUUUAGUACCAUGUAGUUUAAUAUUUUGUUAAAUUAUAUGCAAAAAACUUCAAAACAAUUCAAAAUUUUAAGUUAAACUUUUUUAAAUGACGUAUUGAAAGAGUUUUGGCUUUUAGUAAUCCAAAAUACACACCUCCCUCUCGUUAAUAUUUUUGGUGUAAUCUUGCACUUAAUGCUAUAUUACCAAUCCAAUUACAUACCGAUAAACUAAACACAGUAAUCUUAACAGAAUUGUCUGUAAUCUUGUCAGGAUAAUCCGAACCAAACACACCCUAAGACCUAAGCCCUCCAU